AAACACCAAACCUGUAGGAGCGCAUUUAGAUCGACUUAGUUGUUGCAUGGUAAAUUUCUCAGGUGGUGGGUUGAACUUGGCGCGAACAAGAUGACCUUCUUCAGAGACAGAUUGGUGGAACACUAUUUUUGGUGCUGCGCCAUGGUUUUUGAACCUCAAUAUACAGCUUACAGGGAAAUGACGACGAAGCUCACUUGUAUGGUGACACUUAUCGAUGACGUUUAUGAUGUAUAUGGGACACAGGAAGAACUUGAGCUCUUAACAGAUUUUCUUGUGAGGUUAGUGUAAUAUGAUUACUAUCAUCAUUUUCCCUUGUAACUAUUGUUGCCCAGAGAAACGAUAAGCAAUUAAAUAGUCCCUGAAUGACACAAGGGAUACAACAAAUUUUGAUAGUUCUAUGAUAUAAAUUCUCUGAUGUAUUUUGAACAUAUCACUUUUUAAGCUAGAUUGUUUUUUUCCUCUAUAUAAUUGAUUGGUCUGGGCAAUUAAAGUAGUAGUAAGUACUAACCUUCAUUGUUAUUACUAAAAGUGUAUCCGGUGCUGGUAAAAUUUACAAAAUGUUGAAAUGUCGAUAUCUUAUCCAGGUGGGACAUCACAGAAAUCGACAAGCUUCCUCCAAUAAUAAGGGAUAGUUACAUGGCCUUGUACAACACGACCAACGAAAUUGGGUAUUGGACGAUGAGAGAGCUAGGAAUCAACACCAUUCCUUACAUGCAAAAAGUGGUAAUCUCGCUGAAUCUUUCACCUGAUAAUUUCUAGCCCGUGCAAGGCAACUCACUUUUCUACUUCUGACUUUCGUAAUGAAACUUCUAUUUAAACAUCUGAGAAUUCGAAAAAUGUACGAGAGAAGAAUGUCCCUCGGCUUUGUCAUUGACACACUUUUUUCGAAUUUCAAUCCUCUAGUGGGCGGAUGAAUGCAAGGCGUACAUAAAGGAGGUCCAUUGGUACAACAAGGGCAUCAAACCGACACUGAAGGAGUACAUGGACAAUGCGGUGGAUUCAAUCGGAGGGCUGAUUAUGCUGUUGGGCAGCUACUUCCUAACCACGGACAAAUUGACAGAAGAGGGGCUUGAUUACGUGUCGAAAAUUCCGAGUGUCAUGCAUUGCUCUGCCAAGAUCCUUCGACUCAACAAUGAUCUCAGUACCUCAUCGGUAAAUUACUUUGACGUUUACCUUUCUCCUUUUAUAUAAUCGCUUAUGAAGAGAAAGCACAUCAUUGAUGGAUUCAAAAAUACGUGCUAUUCUUUUUAAUAUAUUCGAUGAGAAUCCUGAGACUUAUGUUUGUGAAACAUCAAUCUCAUUCAUGGUCAGUAUGAAUUGGCACGAGGAGACAACUUCAAGGCUCUAGAAUGCUACAUGAAUGAAACCGGCGCCUCGGAACAGGCCACACGCGAGCAUGUCAAGCAAAUGGUGCACGAGACCUGGAAGAGGAUGAACAAAGACGUGUUUGAGGACUACCCAUAUUCUGGGUUCGGGCCUUUUCUCGGCGCUUGUCUGAACUUGGCACGAGCUUCUCAGUGCUUUUACCAGUACGGAGACGGACACGGCCUUCCCGACAACGAAACAAAGGACCACCUUGUGAGGGCACUAUUCGACCCUGUGCCCCUCGAUUAGGGAUGCAUAUUACCGACGGAGGUGUCGUUGUUGGAGAGAGCCUAUCGACUUACGUGUUAUUAUUAGCUUUUGGGGUGGGUGGCUCUGGAAGCCCUGAGACUUUGAAACUGUUGUAAUUGAAGCCUAUACGAUAGAUGGGCAUUGUACGAGCUCCAUAAAAUUUGCCGGGGAACCUCAUGCUAUUCGGGGGUUUGAGUUCUGGUUGAUAUACAUAAUUGAUAUUAAAAUUUGUGGUGACUGUUGAUGCUUAAUUUUUAGUUAACGCGUCAAAAAGGUAAAAAAAUCGAGAUUUAGAUUUCCGAUUACGAUGGAGCCCGUUUCUCACUAAAAAAAUAUCGUUUCUCAUUUCUUUAUUUUGUAUUGUUACUUUUAAGCAAUUUCCAAUUUAUUUUCGAGAAAAAAUCAAAAAGUCGAAUGGUUGACUUUCGAGUUGACUUUUAGAUCAAUUCUUUGAUCAAAAGUCAAUCCCGAGUUGAAAAUCGACUUUUCACCUAAAUUUCACUUUCAUCAAAUCAAUUUUUCAAAAAUUCAAAGAUUUGACCAAAAAAUCAACAUUUAAAAAAAACCAAUCAAGUAAAUGGUUGACUUUUGGUGAAAUCUUUGAUUAAAAAAUAAAAAAUCCAUUAAAGCACUUCUUUUAGCGUCAAUUUGAUUUGUAUGUCGAAAAUUUCACAAAAUUCAACUUGUUUUCCAAACUUUUCAAUUUUAGGUUCUAAAUUGUCCAAAAAUGAAAUUACUUUUAUUCUAGUCACGGUUAGGUGUAGUUCCUUUUAUGACAUGGACUAUUUUAAACCUAUUUGUUCACUUGAUUUUGCAAAUUACCACAUUGAAAGGCAAGUCGCCAUUUUAAGCCCUACUUAGAGAGCUAAAAUCUAUUCUUCAUGAUAUACGAACAGAUAAUCGAUUUUCACUCACUUUCUUAAGAUAGGUUCGAAUCCGAGACUAAUUUUGAGAAAUUCACAUUAGAACUCACCGAUUUGAGGAAUUUUACUCUCUUGAGUAUAAGAAAAUCAAGCAAUUGAGUUUCAAUUAGAGAAAUUCAAGUUGACCCAGUCAAGUCUAUGGUCCAAUUGUAUGGACCAAGGUCCAAUUUUAAUAUUGGAUCUAAGUUCAUUUUUGACAUGAGCUUAAACACUUCAAUUUAAAGCCAAUUUGAAUACAUUAGAUGAUUCUACACAUGGGUAAUUAGUCAAAUAGGUUUAUUGCAACGUUAAUUGAAACCAAUUUCAAAUAAUUUGCAAUUUUGACCAUUAAAUGGCAAAAUUGUUCAUUUUAGCCCUUAAGGCUCAAUCUAACGAACCCAUAGUCUUAGUUCAUUUUUUUUUUUUUUUACAAUAAUCGCUUAGUUAAGUCAAUAGAGGGUCCAUAGGUCAUAUUAAUAAAAUUUAAUUGACUUAUUGAAAUGAAAUUGGAAAAUUUCUCCUCAAAUCGUGCAAAUUUCCUCUCCAAUUUGGUCCUUGAGAGACCAAAUUCACAAAUUUUGAACCCAUAAGAGCCACUAAUGCAUGAACUAGCUAGAACCAGUUUGAACCGAUCAAGUACCGGUCAAACUAGCAUGACGGUUGCCAUACCGGACCCUCCAAUGUGUUUUUGCAUCUGCCAUUCCGGCAUUGCAACUAAGAAGCAGCAGAGAGGAGCAGUCUUUCGUUUCGUAACCUCUGAAGCCUUGAUAGUUGCUUAUAUGAUGUUCACUCAGCUAGAUGCUUAUUUCCAUCGUGACCCUUGCGCCAUCAGUUGGUUAGGGUCCUCUUCUUUUUUCUUCUUUUUUUUUUGGGGGGGGGGGGGCUUUCCCGGGAGUGUGCUAAGGGUAAAUAUAUAUCUCCUCGUAAAGAUUCCAAUGACAUCUUCCUCGUACCCGGUUCCAAAUUAUAUCGAGUCAAGGCAAUUACUUCUGUUUGAUCGACCUGUAAUCAGCAAUAUUGAAGAAAAAACCAAACAAAACAAAUGACAAAAAAACUGAGUUUUGGGACACAAACGGCUUAAUUCAUUUAAAAAAAAUCAAAUUUAGAACCCAAAACUUCUUUUUCUUAGAAAAAGGGGAAAACUGACACAUAUGACCUUAGUAUUUCAGCCUAUUAUGCAAUUAUUGUGCCUAAAGUUAAGAGACCAUUUGUAUAACUAUUCCCAUAAAAAAAAACACCAACUCUCUCAAUUGUAAACUUUUCAGCCAGUAUCCCAAUUGAUGGAUUUUUUCUUUAUUGAUGGGCCUGAGUUGGCCCGUCCGCCCAAGUUGGGCCCAAAAAGCCCGGCCCACGGGAAUAGGGCCCGUGGAUGGGGGAAGGUAUAAAAGGGAGGAGAGAGAGAGAGAAGACACCCUUUUGGCCAUUUUAACGUACGCUUCUCACUCUCUCUUUCCCUCCAAAUGCUUAAGGCACGUUGUUUCCCUUUUCAAGGCGAAUUGACAUCAUCGGAUCAGAAUUUCUUCCUCGAUCUUCAGCAUUGGUGUUUAAUCUGUGGCUAACAAGGUAUGCUCGAAUCCGUGGUGUGCUUUACGAUCGGUGAUACGUGUUAUUCCCGGGCUUCGUCUUCCGCAUUGAUUUAGGGGUUUGAUUUAGUGUCGAAUCCGUUUUUCGGGGAUCCGUUAUUCCCUACAUUGGUAUCAGAGCCCUAGUUCACGUUUUCCCGAUCAAUUUGAUGUUUUUUGAUUGAUUUUUCGCAAAAAAAAUUUCGGCCGUACGGAUCGGGGUGAGAAAUCCCGACACCCGAGCGUUGUUCGGCCAUUUUUCUGAGUUUUCGUAAGUCGAAAUCCUUUUCUGAAAACAUGGGGAGAAAGGCGACGUCGAGACGAGUCCGGCGACAUGUCGCACGCCGCCGGGAGAUGCCGCACGCGCGGCUAGAAGCCGCUGCACGUGGGCGCGACGCGCCCGAAGCGCUGGCAAUGGCCAGCGCGUGCGUCACACGCGUCGGUGACGAACCGGCACGUGCGCGCCGGCGACCGGCGAAACAGCACGCGCCGGUCAGUGAACCGACGCGUGCUGACGUCACUCGCUGACGUCGCCCAACAGUCGGUAACCGUCGGGAUGACGUCAUUGAUGACGUCAGCGCCGACAACGGUUGGCCGGCCGGUCACCAGCCGGCAACCCGACCCGACGGCGACCGACCCGACCCGAUCAGCCUGGCGCAUGCCGCGCACGUGUCGGCUGACGUCUGCGUGACGUCAGCCAGCGCACGCGCGCGACAUGUGCGGUCGGUUCGUCCGACCGGCCCGACCGGUCCACCGACCCGCGCGCCCUUUGACCGUUGACUUUGACCGUUGACCGUUGACCGUUGACCGUUAACCAAAAAAAAAAGGGAAUUUGUUUCUUUUUCAUGUAUGCCUAUGUGGUUUAUAUGUAAUCAAUUAUUUAUUCUGCAUUUGUUGCAUGAAUCAUAGAAAAUUAUGUAUUUUCCAUUUUGUUAAUUGUGGAUUAUAAGUGAUCAAUUUAAGUUCUGCAUUCGUUGCAGGAGCUAUGAUGCGUUAUGCACGGAUGCCUGCAAUCCCGAGAAUGAACGAGGGAAAUGCAAGACUUAAAAGGCUGAUGUUAGAUUUAGCUAAAUAUCGGUGGCAUAACGGUGAUUUAGUAUCACAUGUGGUCAAGGUCAAUCAGAUGAUACAGGAAAUCAUCUGGAAUGGUUAUCUUAUGCCGGAUUUUGAGAAGGUGCCGGCUUUGAUGAACACUUUUCCACCUGAAUGGCAAGCGGUGUUGGAUCGGCUAUGGGAGGUCAACGUGGUCCCGGGUUAUAGGAGGCUGGUGGAAGCUUUUGUAAGAGAGCACUAUAGGAUUGAGUUGGCCAAAACUUCAACCCUUAGAUUGAGCGCCACAUGGCGUAGAGUAAAUGCGCCUUGGUGGCGACAUGAAUGCUCUCCAAAAGUUUUUCCAUGGUUGACAAAUGUAAUUUCAGUUUUCUCAGAUGUUUUGACUGAUAGAUUAGAAGGGACAUUCCCUAUUUAUUUCUUUGAUUAAUUAUGUAAUGUUUACUACCUGAUUGUUGUUGAUGUAGCAACCGAUAUGUUAGUUGUAUCAUGUGAAAGCAUUGUUAUUUUAUUCGAUGUUAAGAUUUUAUUUGCUUUCUGCUAUUGCUGGUUGCUGUGGGUAAUUAGCUGUGGGUAGUUUAGAAGUUUUUGUAGCUUCAUAGAAUUGAUUUUGCAUAUGACAAUCAUAUUAAUGAUAGUUUUAAGUUAGGAUUUUUGGAGGAUGAUUGGAAACGUAGUGACCUUUUGAUUCUAAAACCUUACUUGAAAUUGUUCAUUAAUAUGAUGGGUCUGUGCAAAAGGGAUGCAUAAAUGAUAGGCAUUAAUUAUUCGUGCAUGUAUGUCUGAUGUAUUCAGAUCGAUGUUUUCAGCAACUAAGAACGUAAUUGCUGAUAUGAACGGCAACAAUUGUGAAAUAUUGAAUAUGAAGAUUCAAUAUGUGCUGGAAAAGCAAGAAGCACUAGAAGCUCUUGACCAUGUUAUGGAAGAUCUUGAGGAUGCUGUGCGCCACCUUGAGCUGGUAGAGGACCACUUAACGGCAUGUGAGCUGAAAAUAAAUAUUUGCAAUGCUGGUUUUAGCUCAGAAAGGGCUUUGAGCUCUAAGCGCAAGCGUAUUGAUUCGUUCAAUAUGUGGGAAUGCAAAGGAUCAAGUCCUUAUUGCAAGAGAUCAAGAGUUAACCAACACAAGAGAGGAAAACGUCAUCAAGUGAAGAAAAUGUCAAGGGUGAGGUGUUACAAUUGUGACAAGAAGGGUCACUAUGCUCGCGAUUGUUGUGAGCCGAAAAAGGUAAACACCUCUUGUACAUUUGAGAACUUUGAUUAUGUGUCAAGUUCUGAAUUAUUAGCUGAAUCCAAUUCUUUGUGGACUGUAGAUUCAGGAAAGACAGACCAUGUAGCGAAGGAUAGAGAAUCCUUCGUGGAAUUCCGACGAAUACCAACUGGAACUAAGUGGAUCUAUGUGGGAAACAACUCCAGAGCUGAAGUUAAAGGGAUUGGCACCUGCCAACUGAACAUGUGUGGUGGAUGCACCUUGUUCCUACAUGAUGUUCUAAAUGCUCUGGAGAUUCGUCAAAAUUUAAGUGUUUGUUUUGAUGUUGGUUAAACUUGGUUUUAGUAUGAACUUCCGUAAUAACAGUGUAGAUUUGUAUUUGGAUACAAACUACUAUGAUUGUGGUCACCUUCUAGAUGGUUUUAUUGUACUAAAUGUUGAUUGUGGUGAUGUCAAUAUAUGUUAUUCCCUUGUUUCACGUCUCCUACUUCAUAUGAUAAUGAUGUGAAUGUGUGGCAUGCUAGACUUGGUCAUAUUGGCCAACAACAUAUGAAUAGACUAGCCAAAGAGGGCUUGUUGGGCAAUAUUGAAUAAGUCGAUUUGUCCAUAUGUAAGCAUUGCCUAGAAGGGAAAACGACAAGGAAACCAUUUGGAAAAGGAAAAAGAGCUGACGUUCCUCUGCAUUUAAUCCAUUCUGACGUUGGUGGUUCAAUGAAUGUGAGAGGAAGGCAUGGGACUGUUUACUUCAUCACUUUUAAUAGAUGAUUAUACUCGAUUCGGAUGUGUCUACUUGAUUUCUCAUAAAUCUGAAGCAUAAGUUGUUUCAAAAGGUUUAUGAACUUGGUUGAAAAUCAAUUAGACAAGAAAAUAAAAGUAUUUAGAUCCGAUCGAGGUCGAGAAUAUUUAUCUGAUAAGUUCAGAAAAUUAUGUGAUGAAAAAGGAAUAGAAAGACAGUUGUCUAUUCCAUAUACUCCUCAACAAAAUGGUGUUGCAGAGAGAAGAAACAGAACCCUACUGGAAAUGGUUAGGUCCAUGAUGGCGCAUGCUAACUUACCUAUCACCUUUUGGAGUGAUGCGUUGUUAACUGCUGCUUAUAUACUUAACCGGGUGCCUUCCAAAUCAGUUAGUUCCACUCCAUAUGAGUUAUGGACAGGUAGAAAACCGGACUUAAGUUUACUUAAGCCAUGAGGUUAUGCUGCCUAUACUCAUAUGUCCUCUCACAAGUUUGGAAAAUUGAGUCCCAGAUAAAAGUAGAGUAUUUUAAUGAGAUACUCCGAACACUCGAAAGGGUAUGUGUUCAUAGGUGAGUAGGAAAGUGGGAGAAUAACUGAAUUUUGAAUCACGGGAUGUCACAUUCUUAGUGGAUGAAUUUCUUAAGAAGGGCGAAAUAGGGGAAGAUUACUUCCUAUUUGAAACCUUGGAUCAAGAUAAUGAUAUUAAUGGAGUUCAUCCAAGUGGGAGUAAUAUGAGAAGUGAUGAAUUGAAUUCAACUCAUUCUCAAUUACAACCAUAUGAUGAGAUGAUAUCGUCAUUAUCUAAUCCGAGUGGGAGCAUGAUGGGGAAUGAUGUGCUAAGUGUACAAUCUCCCAUACGGUGAACAAGUCGCCAAAGUAUUCCCCGUCAAUGUUUUGACAUUGAAAGGGAAACUUUAAUGGUUGCUCCACAAAAUGAGGAUGAGCCAAGAAAUAUUAAUGAGGCUCUGAAUUGCCCUAAUAAGAAAAAAUGGAUUCAUGCAAUGAAAGAGGAAAUGGAGUCAAUGAAAUCAAACCAAGUCUAGGAACUGGUUGAUCUUCCAAAAGGACGCAAAGCUAUUUGGAACAAGUGGGUUCUCAAAAUAAAGCAAAAGGCUGAUGGCUCGAUAGAAAGGCAUAAGGCUCGCCUCGUGGCGAAGGGGUAUAAUCAACAGGAAGAAAUUGAUUAUAAAGAUACAUUUUCUCUUGUAGUGAAAUUUACCUUGAUUCGCAUUAUUCUGGCAAUAGUAACUAGUAUGGAUCUUGAGUUACAUCAAAUUGAUGUAAAGACUGCUUUCCUCAAUGAAGAAUUAGAGGAAGGAACAUAUAUGGAACAACCUGAUGGUUUCAUAGUAAAAGACCAAGAAGAAAAAGUAAGUCGACUUUUGAGGUCGAUAUAUGGUCUUAAGCAGUCAUCAAGACAAUGGUAUAUACGUUUUCAUAAUGCCAUAAUGGCAUAUGAUUUUAAAAUGAUUGAUGAGGAUCAUUGUGUAUAUAUCAAAAGAUCCAAUAAUCAAUUUGUGAUCAUAUCAUUAUAUGUUGAUGAUAUCCUGAUUGCCGGAAGCAAUAUGGAGUUGGUUAAUACUGUCAAGAGAUGGUUGUCUUCCAACUUUGAGAUGAAGGAUAUGGGUAAAGCUGCAUACAUUCUUGGAGUUAAGAUUUUGAGAGAUCAUUCGAAGAGAUCGUUGUCUCUUUCGCAAGAAAUCUAUAUAAAUAAGGUUCUUGAACGAUUUCGUAUGCAAGACUGUAAACCCAUAGACACUCCUAUUGCAAAAGGUGAAGGAUUGAGCCAUAGACUGUGUCCAGGGACUCCACAAGAGAAGGAACAAAUGAAACAUGUUCCUUAUGCUAGUGCUGUUGGAAGCUUGAUGUACGUUAUGAAGUGUACAAGACUUGGCGUAUGUUUUAUAGUUGGAAUGGUGAGCAGAUACCAAUCCAAUCCAGGUCAAGCACAAUGGAAAGCCGUUAAAAGAAUACUAAGGUAUCUAAAGAUGACUGCUGAUUAUACGUUGAGUUAUUAAGGAAAUGAUCUGCAACUCAAAGGCUAUUCUGAUACUGAUUGGAGAGGAGAUUUAGAUGAAAGAAAAUCUAUCUCUGGAUUUGUUUUCUUACCGAAUAAUGGCACCAUAUGUUGGAGCAGUAAGAAACAAAAGAGUAUAGCCUUGUCCACGAUGUAAGUUGAGUUCGUGGCAUUAUCAGCAGCAGUGUAAAAAGGUAUUUGGCUUAAGAGAUUUUUGGAUCAUUUAGGUGUUAUUGGAAGUGCUGCAGAUUCAUUGUUGGUUAACUGUGAUAGCCAAGCAGCAAAAGUGUACACCAAAUAUCAAAAAUAUCAUGGCAAGACCGAACGCAUAGAUACCAAGUAUAAUUUUGUAAAGGAUAUGGUUGCACGAAAAGACGUGAACUUAGAGUACAUACUACGCAUAGAAUGGUAGCAGAUCCUAUGACAAAGCCAAUACCUAGAGAUGUGUUUUGUGGCCAUAUGAAAUUUCUAGGAUUGCGUAGAGGCUAAUGUACUUAAUGUUGUAAUUUCCCUAAGUAUUCACAUUUGAUGAAUUUAUGUUUUCAUCAUUAAUGCCUAUGAAUCUUUGUUUGAUCUUUAUGCAUCUUAAUGCUUAGUGCAUUAUUUUAAGUUGAAAAAGUAUGUCGAACAGAUAUGAGAUUAGCCCACUCACACGGCUAAUCGCCUCUAUUUACUGUGCGAUAAAUAGAGAUGAGACUGUUUUUAAGCUUAUUAUCUAGGUGAUAAUCGAGAGCUCAAGCUUAAAACACGUAUGUCGCCUUAACUAGGUGUUAAGAUGAGGAUAUAAUGCUUACUAUGUCCGAAAGUAAAAUACCCCACAUAUUUUACUUUAUCUGUCUACGAUGCCAGAUGUGAGUUUUGAUAAAUUUUGUGAAUGAGUAGAUACGUGAACUCAAGUUAGACAUUGGGUAUGUCUGAACUAUCAUAUGUACGGUAUUGAAAGGUGUAGACAUACGCUCCAUGGGAAAGGAGUUAAUACCGUAAUACGUAUUUCAUACUACGUAUGCAUGAGACGACCAAUAAGAGUGGCAAAAAGUUUGAUCUCAACUUUUAUGCCGUGUGAGACUCUUGAGGAAUAGAGUUUAUCAGUUUUAGUCCCCUCAUGACUCUUACUUAUUCUCAAAAUUUCUAUUUAGUGUUUGCUAUCUUAGGAUGUUGCCAAUGGUCAUAAGUGAUUCGAUCUAAUGGGACAUUUCUAGAAAAGCAAGCUGAACUGAAAUUGAGAGUUUGAAGGAAGGAGGAAGAUCGAAUUUGGAGAAUCACAUUGUAGUUUUGUAUUCACCGGUUAACCAAUUAUAACUGUCUUUGGGAUAAUCAUAAUUGUGAAUACAAUAUAUAUAUAUAUAUAUAUAUAUAUAUAUAUAUAUAUAUAUAUAUAUAUAUCAUUGUUUAAAAGAGAUCAAGAGAGAUAUAAAUGUGAUCGAUUGAUCUAGGGUACUGCAUACUAAAUCUACUCAGGAUGUGAUGCCCAUUAUGAGCUGCUAUAUAUUCCUAACAGAUGUAUGGCAACAAGCUCUCAAAGUAUGCUGGUCGCACGGAUUAUUCACCGGUAUGAAUGUUGAAGAGAGGAAAAGAGGAUUCUGUUUGGCCCACCAUGUUAAGUGAGAGUCUAUGAUGGAUUUUUCUCUGAUGGGGUUGAGUAGGGCCUGUCCGCCCAUGUUGGUUUUGGACCACCAUGUGCGAGUGGGAGAUGAUGGAUUUUUUCUUUAUUGAUGGGCCUAAGUUGGCCCGUCCGCCCAAGUUGGGCCCAAAAAGCCCGGCCCAUGGGAAUAGGGCCCGUGGAUGGGGGAAGGUAUAAAAGGGAGGAGAGAGAGAGAGAGAAGACAUCCUUUUGGCCAUUCUAACGUGCGCUUCUCACUCUCUCUUUCCCUCUAAACGCUUAAGGCACGUUGUUUCCCUUUUCAAGGCGAAUUGACAUCAUCGGAUCAGAAUUUCUUCCUCGUUCUUCAGCAUUGGUGUUUAAUCUGUGGCUAACAAGGUACGCUCCAAUCCGUGGUGUGCUUUACGAUCGGUGAUACAUGUUAUUCCCGGACUUCGUCUUCCGCAUUGAUUUGGGGGUUCGAUUUAGUGUCGAAUCCGUUUUUCGGGAAUCCGUUAUUCCCUACACCAAUAUUAAUUGAAAAGUACACAUGGAAUGGAAUGUCGCAUCUUUAACGGCAUUAUCGGAUGGAAUCAUGAGUGGGGCCAGAUUUGAGUACCUACUGAAAAUUUAUGUUUCUUUUUAGACAAAAACAAUUAGAGCCAAAAUUAGAACCUGAGCUAAAGUUGGUAUUUUUUUUUUUAUAAGAAAAAUUAUUUAGGACAGAAUUAGGACUUAAGAUAAAGGUGAUUUUCUUUUUUGGACCAUAAGUAAAACCUGAACUAAAGUUGGUGCCUUUUAAGAUAAUUGGAUCGACACAACGAGAUACAAGUCCUCGGAAUAAAUUAAUUCAACAAAACCGGCAGUGAUCGCAGGGAUUACAAAUUCAUUUUGAGGGGAGUAGGUCUUAUGUUGAUUUGGCAUCUCUCUUUGUUGCCGUAAUUCAUCUUCGUACCAUCGCACAUCAAUCCUCUCGAACCAGUUCCCUCUUUUUAAUCCCAUAAGGGCUUUCACACAAAACUUCUGCUUCUCCACCUUGGCAUGUCGUUGGCCCCCACCAGACAAUUCUACCGUGCUCUUCUCAAGAAGCGAGGAUCUGCAACAACCCAAACGGAGGAAACUGAGUUUCCCUCUAGAAACUGUCGAUUGUGUGGAAAAGAAUACAGAGGCGAGUGCGACAAUUUAGAGCAUCAGAAAUUACCAGUUCGACGUUGUAAUCGCUAAAGGGACAACAAUUGAGACUUCUGGUCAAUGCCGUUGAAGAUGAACGUCCCGGACAUGGGAACAAAUUGUUUCGUUAUGAGCUACAACAAACAGAGAACGUGGCUUUAAAGCAAAAUAUAGCAUCUCGGUUCCGAUAUAUAACCAAAAGAAGAGCUGAGUAAUAGCCCGAGCUAUUUGGAGCACUCGACAUCAACGAAUUAACUAACGAAGCUAUGGUGAACAGAGAUGAUGAUGCAACCUUGAUCACUUCCUGAGACGCAACUCCUCCAAUGAAAGCAGCAACAGCGUGAAGCUCUGCAGCACCAAACCGGCACAUUUCACUAAUAAGAUCCUCAGUCAAGGUUUGGCCAUUGCAGCCCAAGUCGCUGAGAAGACUGACUGCUGCUGUCUUCAACCGAGAUAUAUCCUCGUCCAUCUCACUGCAGUGCAUUCACCAUGCAGAGAAAUGCAGUGAUCAGGUAAUGACUUUUAAAAAGCUUGCUGGAGGAAAAAUGGUAGAUUCAAUAUCGGCAAUACUUACCCAUCAAACUCUCCAGGAAAGCUGUUAUAAUUAGCAGCAAACCGGUCAACAGCUCGAAGCAGUAUAUAGAACCCCACAGCAACACUGAUUGACAAGAACCACAGAUUUUCAGAUGACAGGCAAAAAUGAUAGUCUUUUCCAGCAAUAAAAUUUAUUUGCUAGUCAACUUGAAAAAAUUAGUGGAAGAUUGAAACAAGCCAUGUGGUUGAGCCAAGAUUAACAUGGAUCAAACCUGCACUAGCCAAGUCCAAUUUGAUCCAGAAGAUACAUGAACUUUGACUCAAGCAAGUGUCAGCAGAAAAAGAAAAAAAAUUAAAGCCUAAUAAUGGGAAAUAAAAUGAAUCGUCCGGGGUUAAGAACAGCCCAUGCUGUCAAGGAUUAAUUCCAAAAGAAUAAAUGCCAUUCCAUGUGACUGGUACCAGCUUUACCAAUGUACUUUUCUAAGCACACUGACCAUUCCAUGUCAUAACGAAGCAUUCACCACAUCCCAACAAAGUAACAAUAAAAAUGUAUUUAAGGGAAAAGCUGUUAUCAUGGAAAAAGAUAAGUUAGUGAGGAUAAUUUUAUGAUGAGUAUCUUCAGAAUUUCUGGUAGAACAGAUGGACUCUUGAAUUUAUCUUUCAAGGAUGAGGUCCAUGACUGAUUGAUGAGCACCCCAAAAGAGUGCUUAGAAGACCUUGAAUAAAUUGUGAACUUCUAAUUCUUUGUUGGAGAGAGGGGCUCUAGGUCUCACGAUCUAAGCAUGCAUAUGAAGCAUUUGCAACUGCAUAUUUCAGCAGGAAAAUAAUUUAAGGGAUAUAAGCUAAAACCUAUCUUACAUGUAUUCUUCAUCUGCUAAAUACUUCUGAAGUUCUGAUAGGACUGGAGAAUUAAACUCGUCCUCGACUAGGCGAUACCUGCAUACCUACAGCUGAAAAAUGUUAUCUCUUCAUUUUCGGGAAAGGAAAAGAAGAGACUUAAGAGAAGUGAUAAACAAAAACGAAAAAAAUGGAUUCUAAUAAUGCUACAUAAUUGAAUCCAGGAGGGAAAAAAUCUGAACUAGGCAGCAAUUUUAGCUUAUAUGUAGAAACUUACAACAGGAGUCAACAGCAAAACAGUUAAGGAGCACACAAGCAAACUCAGCAGCAUCACUAAUCUCAAUGGACUCCAAAGCGGCUUUGAUAAGCUUACCUUACACCAUUCUACUCUGAAUUUACUAUUUAAUGCAGUACACCAAUUUUAAGCAUGAACUAAAUCAUGUAAAAAAUAACUCACUUUGAGUUUUCGUGCAUUUCUGCAGAAGCUUCGAAUAGUUUGUUUUGAAAUCAUCUUUGUCUCUCUACCAAUUUUCUUCAAAUGAUUCCUCACUCGUUGCUCCAUAACAAGAAAGUCAGCCUCUGCCUUAGCUUGGUAGAUCUUCUGCAGGUUUACAUAAUGUCUGCAAAAUAGAAAUGAUACAGAAGACAUGUCACCAAAUUCUUCUCACACAAUGGAGAACAAAAACAGCAUCAUUCAUUCCUAAGCCACUAACUCUGUUGAAGAUGUCAUAUCUGGUAUUGAACCCUCAAGGGGUGCCUCUCCAGCACCUUCAUUUGCAAUAAAUUCCUGCAAAGAUAAAGCAACAUGAUGCAUGAAAUUCCAUCUUAGGAACAAAAUAUAUCUUGCUGGAAAGUCAUAAGUCAGCCAGAAGUUCUACAGGCAGAUCAGCACAAAUAGCAAUUGAAAUUUUCCACAAACAAGGGUAGUAGGAAAUGGAACCUAAUUAUAAAUCUAAAACUCCAUUGUAUUGUAAACAUUGUGCUUCUAAUUGAUGAGGUUCUAUUGAACUUCUACUCGUAGAUCUCAAAUCACAGCAACUCAAAGAGACCUGGAAAAGGAAGAUCUCUUUUCAGUGUCUACCCACUGAGAGAUGAUGCAAGCAUUCUCCUAAGAAAUAAAUAACAAGAACAUGUCCUCUGAAAUGGAAGAAAGACAUGCACGGGUUUAAAUGAACAAGUUCCGGGGUUCAGUUCAAACCCUUAUCGCAUCCUGUUAAAUGUAUUUGCACUAUACUUGUCAUUUAAACCAUUCAAAGACAUGUCAAGUACGAUACAACAAGAAAUCCAUGCGAAUUACCAGUUCAGUAAAGAUAACUUCCCCCCUCCCCAACCCAAAAGCAGGAUCAAUGGAAAAACAAAGCAGAGAUCAAGGGAGUGAUCAUGUUCAUUUCAUAAGGGGGCAAACAUAAGGAACUGGGACAAUUUGUCAUUUACCAAAUUUCCAGUAGAGUGAUCCUGUAACGAGUCAUAUUGAAAGGGAAAAUUACUCAAUCAAUCCUAAACCCUUUGUGUAGACGCUAUUUCAGUCCCAACUUUCCAAUUAUGUCAAUGUAGUCCUAAACUAAUUUAGAAAAUUCCAAUGUAAUCAUUCCAGUCAAUUUUGUUCUAAUAUUGCUAAUUUGGUAUUUGGUCAUCGCUAGAAGUCCUUAAUGGCAUGGCUGGUGAUUUGACAUGGACAAGCAUAGACAAACUAUGCCAUUUUGCUUAAUCUUUUGAAUUUUCUUUCUUCUUUGUUUUUAAUUUCUCCUUUCCCUUCUACAAUUCUUUUGUGGCACUGUUCAUCUUCACCUUCUUCGUAUUAACAAUACCACCAUCUUCAUCUUCCCAUUACUAUUCAUCUUCAAAACAAGCCACUAACCCAUUUGGACCUAGGAUAGACCUAGAGCCAAGGCCGACUAGCCCCCUGAGCUAAGCCUUAGACCUUGACUGUCCCCAAUGCCACGUGUCCUCAUCCUCACCUGUCCCGUUGCCGCUUAAAGGCCAUUGAUCUCACUUGUCCCUCGAGCCAAGCCUUGGUAGCUGUUAUUUGAAGAUCUCUUGUCAACAAUCAUCUGGAAUCCGAUUCUUAAUAACUUUGACUAUUACUGCUUUUCCGAUUCUGGGUGCAAUAUGAGAUGGUGUAUCUCCAUAGCUCAACCAUUCAUCAUCUUCAACCCAAGAUUCAUUGUCUUCAACCCAUGAUUCAUCCUCUUCGAGAUUGCUUCAAGCUAUGGAACGAAAAUUGAAAGUAAAUGGAACUUCUCGCACAUUGUCUUCAACCUAAGAUUCCUCAUUUUUUGUCCUUUUUCCUUUGGGAAAAUGUUACAAAUGGUCCCUGAGCUUUCAUCUAAUGUUUAAUUUCAUUUAUGAGCUUUCGAUUUGAUCAAUUUAGUCCCUCAACUAUUAACAAAUGUUCCAUCUAGUCCUUUCGUGUAUUCAAAUUGUUAAGUGAUAACGUGGAGCAUUAAUUGAUGAUGUGGAACUAAGUUGAAUUACUAGAAUUAGGAGUCAAUAUAUAUCUUAAAAAAGGAAAACAAAUUAAGGGUCAACUAGAAAUGAGAGCACUAAUCACAAAAGCAGAGAGAAAAAGUGGUAUGUAUCUCUUUGUUGGAUGGUGGCCACAAUUUGACCUGUUUUAAAGGUAAUUUCCACGUGGAUAUUCCACAUGUCAUUUUUUAUUUUAUAUUUAAGAGACUAAAAGCCAUGUAAGCCAAUUCCGUUAACUUUAACUAAUGGAGGGACGAAAUUGGUCAAUUUUCAAAUAGUCAGGGACUAGAUCGGACAUUUAUCCAUAAUUCAAUGACCAAAUUGAACAAAUUAAAAGUCUAGGGACAAGAUUGCACAUUAAGUAGAAGUUUAGAGACUGUUUGAGACAUUUUCCCUUUUUCUUUUAAGGCAUUUCAGGGGUUUCUUGUAAUCUUGAGGAGCUGAUUCAGGAGAUAUCCUUGACCAAGAAAAGCAUACUAAUUCCAUUUUGUGCCAAAUUUUUCCCCUCUAAUUCUAUGUAAAUGCUUCGCUUCAUGAUUUUUUUUCUCACCCCCAUAGGAUUCAAGGUCACUGAGCCCCCACGACCUCAAUUCGAGGUCGUCGUCCAUGGUGGCUCAACCUUAGAUUCAAGUUCGCUGAACCCCCACAACCUCAAAAGCCAUGGACAACCUUGACCAAGGUUGUCAUCCAUGGUGUCUUGACCUUAGAUUCGAGGUCGUCUAACCCUCACAACCUCAAUCCAAGAUCAAAGAAGCCAUGAACUACCUCGACCAAGGUUGUUGAGUCGUCUCAAUGGUGGCUCAACCUUCUCUUGUGAAGCUCAUAGGCUGCAAGUCUCGUUUGUGAAGAUUUCCCUUGUCCUCACCCUUUUAGCUUCACUCGUGAAGAUUUCCCUCCAUCUUCAGAAAAGCAACAUAGAAAAGAAGAAGAUGAACAGUAGUGCGGAAAAGGGGAAAAAAUCAGAAAAAUAAAGAAAACAACAUAGUUUUGAUUGAGUUGCACAUGCCAGAUCACUCGCUAUGCUACGUAGGACAGCUGACAAAGACUAUACCACCUCGUCCGCAAUUUCCAACGGCAAUUAACCACAAGGGCAACAUUGGAAUUUAACAUAAAGGUUUAAGACUACAUUGGAAAAUUUAAGACUGGAUUGACAUCAGUACAAUAGGCUUAGGACUAAUUAGGUAAUUUUUCCAAUUGAAAAGCAUCACUCCAAAAGACUCCACAACCCAUCCACCAGGACCUCCAAUCCAAAUUGAUUGGUAUAAAGUACCAGCUAAACCAUGUCAAAAUUGAACGAAUAGCUAUAAAUGUUACAGACAAGACUUGGGAUAACUACCUUCAAAGCUGCCACCAUCACCCAAAAAUCUGAUGAAUUAUGAUGAAGUUCUGCAGCACUAUCGUCUAUUAUCUGCUUCAAUUCUUGACCUGGUAAAGAAACAAGAUUGACUAAGUCACUGUUCACAUGCAGCAGCAACAGCUCGAUUUUAUUACAAGAAAACUGCUUAUAAAUAAUACAUGGAGCAAGCAUUACUUUUCCACUCACAAAGAUCCAUCCAUAUUGAAGAUGCCAUGGGAAGGCACUUGAAAAUGGGAACAAGAAAGUCAGGCAUCGAACAAUUAAUAUAUAUGAGGGGCCUAUAGGCAAAUGCUAUAUCCAUACGUGGAACAGUGAGCUUUAGGAUUUAGAUGGCAAUUGAAACAUAUAAAAGUUCAUCACGAAAUAAUAGCUAGGGGAAUAGAGCAAAGAAAUAAAAUCAUAUAUGCGCUUUUUGGGGGGAAAAAAAGAAUUUAAAUGGGAAAAAUAAUGUAUGGAAGGUAUCUAUGCCAACGGAACAAGAAAGGACCCUUACUAACAAAAGAGGAUGGAUGGGCAGCAAGAACCUUUUAAUGAGAAAUGUAGGGCAUAUUAAGACCGAUCCACAAAAUUUGUUUACCACAUACUACAAUAAAGUGUAAGUAGAUAUAUCUGAAUAAGUGAACCAUAUUGAAGCAUGGACAAUGCCACUUGUAAAUUAAUUAUGUAAAUCAAUCUUUGUAUCUCUAAUAUUAUUUUUAAGAAGUAUAGAGGUGACAUAUCAUCUCAGACAAAGUGCACGUCUAACCUUGUGUGUAAGGUUUAAGAUGGCAUAAUCAACCAUAUGAGCAAUUUAACAAAAUUUGCCACCAAAAAAAUAGUCAAAGCAAUUGGAUCCAUUAAGACCAAUAUAAUUAGAAAAACUCUGUUCUUGCUUGGAUAGAAAUAGAACAAAGAACUUCUACCCAGCUCCCCACAGUAACUGCAAGCAAGCCCUAUUAAGAAAUAUUGCUUAUCAGGAAUAUAGCUAUGCAUGAGGUUGUUUAACCCGUCACCGAAAGAGGUCUCGAUGAAUGUCGCUUCUAUCCUCAUAAUAACAAUAUGCUUACUUCUACAACUUACUAAUUCCUUGAGGAGCAAAGACCUUAAAGGAUGCCUCGACAGCUUCCCUGUAGUUGUCUUCGUCCAAUGCAAUCAUCCUGGAUUUCAGAAGCUCCUGAAAUGUUCAAUAUCAUUAAUAUCUUCUGUUACAGCCUAUCAUGAGCAAAGUGAUUCAGUAUAAAACAUCAAAACUGAAUACAAACCUUAAAUUCUUUCUUCUCUUCUCUAGUUGAUGGAAGCCUGCCGUUGUGAGAGUCUGCCCAUUCAUUUGCCAUCUUAACAAGAAUGACAACAUAAGGUAUGUGCUUGUGAGCAACUGGAUCUGCAGUGGUCAGAUCAAUGCCUUCUGCAAACCUGACAUGGUAUAUUUUAGUCAUAAAUGAUGACCUUAUCUACAUGCACUGCUUGUAUGAUGUAUGGAAGAACAGAAUGGACUAUGUUUAUGACAUAGCAUGAAGCAGAAGAAGUUUUCUAGUUAGUUGAAGCAUUUUGACAUUUAUGAAACCAAAGAGUCAUGUGUCUUCAGUAAUAAAAUGCAAACCUCUUCAAUUCGGGCCAUGGAUUAUUUAAACGAAGGUCAUCCAGAAAAUGAUCUGGCUUUGACUCAAUUAUCAUAUGCUCCUGCUACAAAAAGGGAUGUUAGAUAUAGCGCAUAUUUGUAACAGUAUAUGCACAGAUUUCUGUCUGACUCAAUACACGUUUCUCAGUUCAACAUUAUAAAGAAAUCUGCAAUUCUAAUUCGAGCAAAUCACAUCACUUGAUAACAAACCAGUGUUAUUUUAGAAGUCAAAAGUUGGGAUUACAAGAACAUUACUUUUACACUGAUCCGCACAAGUCCCGUAAGUCCAUAGGAACGAGCAAAUAUCAACUUCACAUUUGCCUCUCUACAAAUUCUAUCGAGCUUGAUCAUAGAGUCUUCUACCAGCUGAAAGAGCAAUUACGAGGAUUCAAUUGUGCACUCAGAAGAAUAAAAAACAAGUAUCUACUGCAAGAAUAGUACAGUUCUUAAUGCUACAAUCAAGCAAAAUGGAUUUUGAAAAUUUACAUGGAACAACUAAAGAGAGCAUACAACAGUAGCUUACAACUUCAUACCUGAGUAGCCACCACCAAAGUAAACUGAGAGAAGAAUGAAGAGUUUGUCUCAAUUAGAGCCUGAGGAUACUCCUCAAUAAACUUUGCUUUAACUGCAUCAUUCAACUCUUGAAGGAAAGAGCACACACACUUUGCCUUGGAUUCCCCAACGCUCGAUUCAUCCACUAAAGUUUGCAGAGCCAUUGAGAAUGUAGGAAAAAAAAAUCCCAAAAGAAACUGGAAGGAUAGCACAGUUAAGGCACAAACCCAUGAAGUUAUUCCCAAGGUCCCCGACUUCAACUUUCGAUCCAUCAACCACAGUGAUGCUCCCGACCCCUCCAAGAACAAGAUUUUUUAACGUCUCAGAGCCAGUAGGACCACAAUUAAGCAAACAUAUACUGGCUUUCUCGAGAGCAGCCUGACCUUGCUCACCCCAGAUCCUGAGGUAUCAAUAUAUUCACAUAAAAACAUGUGGAAACACGACAGAGUACUUUACAGUGACCAAAGGAUCUACAUGCAAGUUAAAGACCAUCGACAUUUAACAAAGAAAUGGCAAAGGUUUCUCUAUCAAGUUGACCUCCACCUCUUUAAGCGAACCAUGUUGCAUUAAGUCGAUCAAUACCGAAAAAACUAAACUCCUCUUUCAAUGAACACUUCAGCACUCUCAGGCAAACUGUAAUGCAAUUCCAACAAAAUGAAGUAAUCGAUAAAAUGUGAAUUUCUCCGUAUCUAAGGCCCUAGGUGCAAUCGAAUGGAUGAAUUGCCAAUAUCAGAAGCGUAGCUAAAAACUUCAAACACACAGAACUUUCCACUCAACGCGUUGCCAAGUGCAACCUCGGACUCUCGUCAAAACAAAAUUAGGUCUGCGAAAGUUCUCUUCCACUCUCGCUAAAUCAAAUCUGCCAUAUUCUAAUUUUUAUCGAGUCAGGACGGGAAUAAUCCAGGAAACAUCGAGCUACAACAAAAGCACUCGAUAGACAGGAAGCUGCAAGCGGAGUACCGGAGCUGGCGAUCGUAUUUGAUUUUCGGCUCGGCCAUCGCGGUCCGAUCGUCCGGUGACUAACAAGCGGAGAAGCUUCGGUCACUUGCGACGAACCGACGCCUCAGCAUAAAAAACAGCGAGUGUCCUACUCAGCUCCGGAGAACCGCCUCGUCCGAAAACCCGUCGCUCGAGCCUGCGAGUGAAGCGGAAAGGACCUGCGAGCACCGCGAAAGCUUCAGUCGCCGGCCAGGAGGCACGAACGUCCGGAGACCGCGCUCAGGCGCGAGAUCUCUCGCCGGCGAACGAACGAUCGAUCGAUCGCCGGCGCAUGGCGCUGGAGGAGAAGAAAGAGAGAGAGAGAGAGAGAGAGAGAGAGAGAGAGAGAGAUUUACCUGGGAAGGGGAUCGAUAGCUGCGCGCGCUCGAGCGGGCGAGCAGAGCUCGCAGCGAGGAGGGAAGUGAGGGGAGGCGUUCGGCUGCUUAGAGCCUAGGCUAUGUUUCGGCCGAGCGGAGUCGAGUCGAACAGUGAGAGUACGGUGGGCCCGUAUCGGCAUGGGCCUCCCUCAGGGCCCAUCUUUUCCCUGUAUGCAUUCCCUUUUUCCAUUUCGAGGAACUUUGCAAGGAAAAAUGAUAUAAAUUAUUCAUGAGCUUAGCCUCUGUUUAUAAUAUAAUCUCUCAAAUUUUAAUUUAUUAAAUAAGGGUUCCUGAAAUUUUGGUGCAUGAAAAAUGUUCAAUGUUAUCAUUUCAUUAAUUCAAAUUCUGAGAAAAUACUGAAUAUUUUUGUAUAGUUUAUGGAUUAAAUUGAGCAUAUCCUAUGAUCAUAUUGAACAAAUUAAAAGUUCAUGUACCACAUUAAACAUCAUGUUAAAGUUCAUGAACCAAGUUGAAUGAAUCAAAAGCUCAUGAAUUGCUUACACAUUGUAUCAAAGUUUAGAAAUCAUUGUGUUAUUAUCCCAACUUGAAAAUACAAUUGCUUCACUCAUCCAAGUAUAUGACAUGUUGGAUCAUUGCAUUCGUGUAUUUUCUCUCGUGCCAAAUAGGCAUCAGCUAAUACAUGCGUGGGCAAGUGAUUUUGGAUUAUACAGAUUUUUGCGGUUAAGUGCAUGGGAUAGUGUAUGGAAAUGGAAGUCGAAGGAUAAAAUACAAAAUAAAAGAUAGAUUACAAUCCCACCAAGGUCUAAAGAAUGUGCCACUAACCAAAAUGAAGAUCAUGAUAAAUGAAGUUAAUUGCCAAGGCUUAAAGGACAAACCACCUAGCAAUUGUAAAGGACUUCAGGACAAGAGGAGCUCAUCAUCAAGACCCAAAGGAAAAUCCACCAACUCAGGAUAAUCCACUCUCCAAGGAUAAAUAGAUCAAAAUAAGAGUUAUCCAUUCUCCAAAGAUAUUUACUCAAGUAGAGAAAAUCCCAUGUAUUUUCAUUCAUCAAAUCUUGCCUAGUUACAAUUGAGAGAUUUGCUCUAUUUAUAGGAGGAAGACAACUUAAGAAAUAGAAAAACAAUAAAUAGGCAUGGGAACUAGCCUAUCCUUAAAGACCUAGGAACUUAAAACUUUUACUCUUGGAACUUACAUAAAAUUAAAGACUCCUAUGAAAAUAGCGAUGCAUUUAAUGACUUGGGAACUUGCAUUCUUGAUUCUUCAACCUUGCAAAAUUCGUGCUCCCAAACUUCAUCCAAUAACCAAGGAAGUUGGUUGGCCUCCCAUUAAUAUGUUGUAAAUAAACUUCGAGAUCAGCAACUAAUAAAUCAUACUGAGAAAUCAGUGACUAAUAUAUCAUACCGAGAAUUCGGUAACUCAUUAACCAUUGGUGUCGAUAACUUCGGUGACUCAUUAAUCAUUAGUACUGAUAACUUUAGCAUAAUAGUUUGGUACCGCUUUAGUUUGAAAUUUCAAUCUCAACCCAUUGAAGCACGUUAUACUCAAAUUCUAACUUGACUAGCAAUGAUGGUGCUAAGUGGGCUGAUGGAGUCAAGUUGGAUGCUUUCGCAUCAUCGGCAACUAGACAACCAGGUAUUUCACUAGACAGUCGUCGUAGGACACAGCACAUUACGUUGAAGAGAAUUCAUAGAACUUGAUAAGACUCAUUUUGGAGCUAGCAAGUGAGGUGUUGAUCGUAUUGAUAUGUCGUCACUCAGGUUGUUAUCUAUUAUCGAAUUCGCUAGCUCGACAAGGUUGACAUAUGGCAAAAGGUGAGAUGCUUAGGCGGCAAUCUCUCGACUAGAAUAUUAGGACCGGCCUAGUGAGAUCAAUAAACAUGAGGGCUUUUAAAACCUCAGAGACAAUGACAACGUCAAAGUGACCAAUUUGAAGCAAACGUGCUAGAACAAAGUCAAUGACAGAGUAGAGGCGUCGUUUCGGAUGACAAAAAGGAUCCCAUGCCAAUAGGCGUGACACUCGAUGGUGCCAUCGCUCCUCCAAAAUUAUCAGGUCAGCAUAUAUUCUUCUGCGGCGGCUUCCUAGGAAAGCCUUAGGCCACCAAGGCCAACUAUGUUUCACCACGUCCAAACUGAACCUUUGCUUGUGUGAUGCGAUUAGUAACUUCUAGCGAUGAUCGGAAUCAUAUAUUUCACUUAGAGGAUUGGCGUAAUGUUCGUAUCAGCCUCGGGUAAGUAGAUGUUUGAGUCUUCGUUUACUUGUUUAGAGGCAUUUAAUCUCUCAUUUCGCUGUGGAGUAAUUUGAUCCGGGCCUUCUAAGUUUCAAGAGUCCGUUCGAGAUCCGGGAACCUCUCUGUCCGCAAGAAAAUAGCCUGCCAGGGACAGGGCACGAGCUAGCUUUAAUUGCCGCUGUCAUGAACAAUCUUCAUGGGCAAGAUUGGCGAGCUACAUAUGGUUCAAUAGCGAUCGAAUUCCAUGAGAUGGUUCUCUCUAGCUCAAGUGAAGGCAAAAUUGCUCAAUUGGCGAAAAGUACACAAAAUAUGCUCAUAAGGAUAUAGACGAAUACACUUAGGGUGCGUUUGGCACCAGCUUUGCCAAGUACCUUUGGGUACCCAAAGUCCAUUUGCCCAAAUAUUGGGUGUUUGGGAAAAAAUUUUAGACCUGCCUUGAAGAAAUGCUGGCCUUCCAAAGGCUGAAAGCCCAAGGUAGGUCCUAGGCUGCCUUGGGCUUUCAGCAUUUUCGGAAGGCCCGAUGCACUGUUCAUCUUCCCCUUCGUUGAAUUCUCAGAUGUCGGCAGGCGAGGUGGCGAAUCGGCCGGCGAGGUGGCGAUGGGUCGGCGAUGGGUUAGAGAGAGGCCGACAACCGUCGCCACACCCCGGCGACCAUCAUCGACCAGUCGCGCGACCCAGAUCUGGGUCGCGGAGGUCGCCUGUGUCGCGGCGAGGUCUGUCGCCACGACCUCCGGUGACCCACGACCUCGCCGCGACACAGAUCUGGGUCGCGGAGGUCGCGGCGACCCAGGCGACCUAGAUCUGAGUCGCGGAGGUCGCCGCGCUAGGCGACCCAGAUCUGGGUCGCGGAGGUCGCCGGAGGUCGCGGCGACCCAGGACCUCGCCGCGACCCAGAUCCUCUGCGACCUCGUGGUGACCUGCGCGGCGUGGUGGGUUGCGCGACGGCGCGGCGAGGGUCGCCGCGACCCUCGCCGGAUCGCCUACCCUUGGCGGGUGCGAAGCCUUGGCCGGCGGUCACUGACGAAGCCUUGGCCGGCCAACUUUCCUUUUUUUAAAUAAUAAAAGUAUUUUGCAAAUUUAAUUUAUCCAAAUACUAUUUUGCACAAGUAUACUUCACAAUGGACUUUCACAAAUAAAUUUACUAAAUACACUUUGCAUUUUGGAAAACACCCUUGACUCAAAAGCCUUUACAUUUUCUCAGUAACUUUCCCCAAAAGUCUUCCCAAACGCAUCGUUAUAAUUCUUGGUUCUGGCAAUAUAGCCAACCUUAAAAUUGAGGCGAAUAAAUCAAUUCCAUCCUACAUGCUAUAUUUACAGUUAUAUAUAUCUGCCAUCUAUGGCGGCAAUUGUCAAUUCGUGAUAGGGCAAUUAAGUUCCUAUAAGAUUGAUGUUAGCAAUUUUAGGAUAUUUACGAAAUAAUAGAUUACGUCUUUAUCUAUCGGUUAAAACUUUUAGAAUAAUCAACGGUAAUUUCAUAAAAUCUCAUAAUUACCAUGUUAAGCUCGUAUCAAUGACAAUCGCUACACAUGAUUUUAUAAGCGCACGAAAUAAUUACCUAAACUGAAUCCAAGUUCGAAUGAACUUUUUGAUUUGCCGGAGCUUCCGUGGAGCAUAAACGUGCUCCAUGGAAAGCAGCGGGAAGUGAGGUGACGCCGGAGGUUGAAGCCAAGGCGCACUUUUGCACUGCAGAUUCGCCCUUGGAGAAGUUCGAAUUGGCCUACUCCAACUUGCCAACAUGCUUUUAUUCAAAUGCCGUGGAAAGUGCGUGCCCCAUUCCCUGUCAUCGUCCCUUUGCGAUCGGUAAAGGCCAGAGAAUCGUCAACGUGAUCGCCGGCCCCACGGCCCCACACCGGGGCGGCUUUUCUUCUGCAUCCGGCCGUUCGUUGGGGACCACCUCCCCAUCUCCCUAUUUCUCGGCGAAACCCGGCUUUCCGAUGCUUUCCACGGCGUAGCCGCUUUUAAAAAAUAUCCAGGAGCCUCUUGGCAACGGGCCACUUCCACCACACUAAAUCCAUUAAAAUCGGUCAUAAAUCCAUACUAGUGUUAGUUGAGUUAGUUAUAUUGAAUAAAUGUAUUAAAAAUGAGUAUAAGUUAAAUCACUCUCACUUCGAUUUGGUUAUAAAUUUUUGUAAGUUAUGUUAAAUAUGGAAGUAUUUUAAUAAUAUAGAUCGAAUAAGGUAUUGGUCAUUAAAUGUGUAUUAUGUGGAACAAAACGGGAGGACUAGAUCUAUUUGGAUUGGAUGACUUGUGAUCGAGUUCGUUCGUUUGACGGGUCUAAAUCAUACUUACUCUCUGAAGCUAUUAUUUAGGUAACGAUCAAACUCAAUUCAAAUGCAAGAAUUCGAUUGAAAUUGAUUCCCGAUUUCGAGGCUGGAGCCAGCCUGAUGAAUCAAGUUCUUGGGUUGCGGUGAUUUUUUUGAAUGAUUUCUUCUUUUCCUUUUUGUUAUUUAUUAUUAUUAUUAUUUUUGUAAAAGAAAGUUUGUGACGUAACCUUAUCUAGAAAAGGAAAGUUAUUGUUGCCCCCAAAAAGAUUGAAGCAUGGGCUCUAACAUGCCGAGCACCCACUUGUCAAAGAGCAUAUUCUUCGUAUAAAAGAAAACACAUUUGAUUAUGCAGCAAUCCCUUUAAUUUAUUGUAGCAAAUAAAAUAAAGAACUCGUUGAACGUUCUUGGUUUCAUACUUCUAUAAUCAAGGAAAUGCAGAUGCACUAGAAAUCAACUCGCUCGAGCACCAAUGGCCGCCGUUGGUUGCGUAACCGAAAUGGUAGAAUCUUUAGUAGUCUAAAAACAUGACCGCCAGUCCGAGUUUCGGUAAAUACAAUAUCUCUCUUUCAUAAAAAUUACAUGACAUCUAAACUAGUUCUCGCGUGGCAAAUGCAAAUGACGUGACGUUCUCGAGCUCACCUCAAAAGACUGAUGAUUGCCAUGCCAUGAAAAUUUUUUCCACCAUAAAUGACCUCUUAACUUAUCUGUCACAAGUUUAACAUUUAUUUUUUGUUAUUCGAUUCCCUAUCACGCAAAAAUUAUCCGGAGAAUCUUUAAUACGUAGAAAUUACAUAAUAUUUCGAGUUUUAAAUAAAUCUUACAACUAAAAUCUAGAUGCAAUUUUUUUUUUGUCGAUCUUAUUUUAUUUUUACUCUAGCUCCUACUCUCAAAUUUUUGUUACGAUUUAUUGUUGGGUAUCGAUCUACACUUAAAACCAAAUUAUUUCCAUUUCAACUCCCUAAGAAGAGGGAAUUUAAACUCUCCAUCUCUCUCUUUUCAUAUGAGAAGGGUGACUACAAGUAAAUCUCGGUGAUUAUCUAGAUGCAUAUUUAUCUAGCAGUUUUACGUCAGCUCCUUGACCAUCAGCUUUGAUUGCCAAAUAAAUUAUAUUCUUACAUUCGUUGGAAAGUUAUUAUAAAUAUCACGAGAGUCAUCUUUUCUUCUUUCUACUUUGGCCAACAAAUCAGGAAAAAUUAGCCCGAGACAAAGCAUGAAACGUAAUUAAAAAAACAUCAUUAUCUUUUACAAAACAAACUAAAGGCGCUGUCCUACAGACUAUUCACAGCGGGGGGAGAAAAGUCGCCUCCAGCGAAACUUCCAAAAUAUCCCCCGUUCGCGCCGUUCGCUCACCGCAGCCUCCAGUGCAAAACGCCCAAAUUUUCAUUUCUCGCCGCAGCCGUCCGAUCCUCAUCGCACGGCCCGACGGAGCCCCUGCGGCGAUUCAACGGGCCGUCAAACCCUCACCGACCAUCGACGGCGCGACGAGAUCCUCGAUUCGAUGCGGACGUUGCGCUCCCGCCACCCCUACGUGGCGACGCUCCAUUGCUGGUAAGCACGGGGGGGCGAAUAAAUCAGGGCGCAGGGGAACAUGGCCCUCCCCCGCAAUAAUCUCACCAUUUGCAGCUGGGUCGUCGGCUCACAUACUCUUCUAGAAGAGUGGGGCACGCAGCUCUAGGUCACCACGCGCAUCUCUCUCUUCUGUCGUUCUCUGCAAAUCGCCUACGCAGAAGAAGCCGUGAACGCUAGCUCCUCCUCCUCCUCCUCCUCCAUAACCACUUUAGCUUCGUCUUCGCAUCGGGAUUCGACGUGGUCUUCUCUCUCCUCUGCAACGACCCUUAUCUCCAUCCCCAGAAUUAUUGGCCCGAUCAUUUAUGUGAUUUUGCUGCCGGGGGUGGGGUCGCCGCCAUGUAUAUAACGAGCGCCUCGGCUUCGGCCUCCUCGUUCCUCCGAGCUUCUAGGGCGCGCCUCUCCGGUUCGCUGUCGUCCGCCGCCUCCCGCGCCUUGGUCGCUCAGGGCCCGUGCCCCUCGCCCUCGGCCGGCCAGUGCCGAUCGCUCAGCUUCUCCUCCGCUUUCCGAUCCCUCCGGAGCUCGGUGCCGCGGUGGAGCCACGGCGUCGAUUGGAGGUCGCCCGCGAGCCUCCGCCCUCAGAUCAGGGCCGUCGCCCCCGUGAUCGAGCGCCUCCAGCGGAAGUUCGCCACCAUGGGUAACUUUUACUCUCUGUUGAUCUCCGAUGAUCUUGGAGUUAGCUUGUGAGUCGCGUUGGUCGGGCGGAGUUUGUUCGGGGCUCGAUCUGUGCCGCCGUCCUCGCGUUGGGUAUGGCGGCUGCUGAAGCUGUCAUUGAUUCGCGAGUCACGCGAGAGUCCGAAAGUACCGUUCACCUCCCGAGCUGUUCCUGAGUAGAUGACGAAAAUGAAAUCGAACCAUCUGUCCGUGUCGGUUUUUUGGGUUUGUUCUUUGGGUAAUCAUGCUGUGAAAAGUUAUCUGUCCCUUUCGCUUUAUUUGUUGGAUAUGUCUGCGAAGCAGUUCUCAUGUCUCAGUCAUAGCGAACAUUGAGCUUGGUGAUUAGCCCGAUAAAGAAUGGUAUCAAAGGGAAAACGUGACUGUGGAUCUCCAAGUUGACUCUCGGCUGUCUUAACUAAAAGAGUAAACGUUGGAGUCCUCAUGCUCGCGUAGUCUAAUCUGAUCGCCCCAAAAUAAGAAUGAUGCUAAAGGAAAAGCUGCUUAGAAGUGUUCAAUGCCUUGCAUUACUUUGAAAAAUGCUAGCGGGUUCUCACGGUCGAGUUCCUUCUGUAUACGUUCAUUGGUUGGAUAUUUAGGGAAGUCCAAGUUUAAGAAAUGUUCUUGUAGACUCCAUCCAGAAUAGCUUUCACAUGAGUCAGGGUUGAUCACUUUUUCUUCUCAUCGUGGAAUUACACAUGCUACCUUGUUCUAAAGUUUUAUCUAUUGUGGGGAUGUAACUCUGCUGUUCGUCUGCUUGUUUGCAGCUUCAGAGAAUCCUUUCAAGGAGAUCUUAACUACUUUACCGAAGGCAGGAGGUGGCCAUUUUGGAAAAUUUUACAGCCUUCCUGCUCUAAAUGAUCCGAGGAUAGGUAUUAUUCUUGAGCGUGCUCUUACCAGCAUAGGAAUUGCAUUUCUUCUUAUGCUCCUUUUGUAUCAAAUUCUGCGUAAUUAUUAGCUGAUUUACAUUGCUAUCCUGUUGUAGACUUUUCCUUGUUAAUUCUCCUUUCCAGCUUUUCCAUUCGUUCUUUCUUUAUCCUUCUGUUUUUCCUUUUUAACUUUUGGUUGUCACAUAGUUUUCAUUGACUUGGCUGGACCAGAAAAUCCAAUAUUACAUGUGAUUGGAAAUUACUGGAGACUCAUGAUUUUAAAUCAUUUUGAGUACCCAUUUAUUAUGAGUGGCAAGACUGAUGACGUGCCUUGCAUUUUGUUCUGAUGGUGCAACAGACAAGUUGCCAUACUCUAUCAGGAUCCUUCUUGAAUCUGCUAUCCGUAAUUGCGACAACUUCCAAGUUAAAAAAGGGGAUGUUGAGAAAAUUUUAGAUUGGGAAAAUACUUCUCCAAAGCAAGUUGAAAUUCCUUUCAAGCCAGCUCGUGUUCUCUUGCAGGUAGUCCUUGAUUCAAUCGAUCUACUUGUUGCACGAUAAUUUAAUUGUUCUUUACAAGAAUUUUCUUUUUCCAGGAUUUUACUGGCGUGCCUGCAGUCGUGGAUCUGGCAUGCAUGCGUGAUGCCAUGAACAGACUUGGCAGCGAUUCAAAUAAGAUUAACCCCUUGGUGCGUGUGAUCUCUCUCAUUUUCCUAUUAAGUUAUGUUUCCAGCAUCAACGGCACCGAGAAUUUAGCUGAAGGACAGUGUUGUUCUUUGUGCAGGUUCCUGUGGACCUCGUGAUUGAUCAUUCAGUCCAAGUUGAUGUUGCAAGGUCAGAAAACGCUGUUCAGGCAAACAUGGAGCUUGAAUUCCAGAGAAACAACGAGAGAUUUGCUUUCCUGAAAUGGGGGUCGACUGCUUUUCACAACAUGCUUGUUGUUCCUCCUGGCUCUGGUAUUGUGCAUCAGGUAUGUGAUUCGUACAGGAGGUCCUUCACGUGUUAUUUUGACAUUUCAAUCAUCCAGAAUUCACGGUGUUCUGUCCUUUACAGUCUUUCUUUAACUGGCAGUAUGUGAUUUGAAUGGGAGGUACUUCACAUGGACACUGACAGUUUCCGUUUUCUUAGAUCUGUUCACUCUGCAUUUCUGGUCAUUGUGCAUAUUAGCUUACCACGUGACUCUGAUAGGGCCUCUGACUAACUUAUGCCCUCCUAACUUUUGGAAACAGUUCCUUUAAAAUUUUGCUCUUAACAUUGUGGCCUCUAUUUUCAAUGUCUUAAUUCAUGUAGCAUGUUUAAAAUGAGAAAACGAAUUUAGGAUUGAAUGCGUAUGGUUUUAUGAUGCAAUGUACUUUUAUAAGUUUCUAUGUCAAUUGUUUAGAUCUUCAACUUUCCAUAAUUUAAGUUGUUACUUUGUUGCCUGCCACAACGUCUUAAGAAGUUCUAAUCGAUCUUUAAUGAGUUUAGUUUUCAAAGCCAUAAUAAAUGCUCCUUUUUAUUAUUAUUUUUAAUUUUUUUUUAAAUUACAUCUAUGGGUACUUCCUUGAUGUGAGAGAUCAGUAUAUCGUGCAUAAUCUGGAAAUGAUGCUGGCGGCUCUCAAAAGAUCGUAGGUUGAUGUCGUACUGCACAAUUGACCUUAGCAAUUGGAUUGUAUAUUUCUUUUGACAUCUGUUUGGAUUGAGGUGGACCCAUACUGAUUUGGUUGCUUGUAAGGAUGUCAUUGAAGUGUCUUGGAUUUAUCUCUUUUUUAACCCCAAUAUGACGGUAACUUGAAAUUUCAGGUCAACCUUGAAUAUCUUGGAAGGGUUGUUUUCAACACAGAUGGCAUGCUUUAUCCCGAUAGUGUUGUUGGAACUGAUUCCCAUACAACCAUGAUUGAUGGGUUAGGAGUUGCUGGUUGGGGAGUUGGAGGUAUCGAGGCUGAGGCAGCAAUGCUUGGCCAGGUAUGAUAUUGAUGGACCUAAGCAAUCCCAUUCUCUGCAAAUGCAUGAUUUCUGACCUUGGGAAUGUUUCAUUUAAAGUGAAAUCUAAACGACAGUGUGAUAUUGAGUCGUAGUGAUGGUUCACUCCUCUUGUGGCCUCCUAAUUGUGGUGAUGACCAUCAUGUGUGUGAAUGUGCCACUUAUUACUUUCCAGUGACUAUCAAGAGUUGAUCAUUGAUUUACACACCAUUUAGUUACCAUUUUCUCACGAGUUUCCCUCAAGUACUUAAAAGGAUGUUUUUCCUAGACUGUUGUGCAGACUUUGUGAAAUUUUUCCGGCAUUUUCUGUGUUUCCUGUUGUUCUUAGCUUUUGCAAAAUUCUAAAUUUCUAUCUAUGUCGAAUUCAAUGCAGUGUAUUGCUCUAGCCAUUAUAAUGUGUUUAUGGUUAUAGUUUCCCUAGUUCUUUUAUGUGUUGAGGACAUAAUCGUUUCUAAUACGUUUUGCGUAAUAUUUGUUACCUUUGCAGCCUAUGAGCAUGGUGUUGCCUGGCGUUGUUGGGUUCAAAUUAUCUGGGAAGUUGUGUGAUGGUGUCACAGCCACUGACUUGGUCCUAACUGUGACACAAAUGUUGAGGAAGCAUGGAGUUGUUGGCAAAUUUGUUGAAUUUUAUGGUAACUUGAUAGUUGCCAUAGCUUCAUCCUAGCUUGGUUUGUCUCCCCUUUAGUUGUAUACAUGGUCUUAGAUUGAAUGUGCUUUGCAGGGGAUGGUAUGGGAGAGCUAUCAUUAGCUGACAGGGCUACCAUUGCAAACAUGUCUCCUGAGUAUGGGGCAACCAUGGGAUUCUUCCCCGUUGACCAUGUAACUCUGCAGUAUCUGAAGUUGACCGGAAGAAGUGAUGAGACCGUGAGUCAUUGACUUCACUGACUGAAGCUUGUGUCCUGAAAGUAUCACCAGUGCUUAAUUAUUUCUUAUGGUCCCUGCAGGUGGCGAUGAUAGAGGCUUACCUACGUGCAAAUAAGUUGUUUAUUGAUUAUGAUGAGGUAAAUCUACGAACUUGCUUUUUACCAAAAAAAAGAAAAAAAUCUACGAACUUGCAUUCUCAGUGAGUGGAAGCUGUUAGAAGUAACUGCUUACUUCCUAUUAUCAAUUGCAGCCUCAACAAGAACGAGUUUACUCAUCUUACCUGGAGCUGAAUCUUGAGGAUGUUGAACCUUGUAUCUCAGGACCUAAGAGGUAUAAGUUUCCUGCCAAGGGUCUCCAUAUCUUGGUUCCACAAAUUCAUGCCAUUUGCAUGGUUUAAUGAUUUUAAUCGGUAAUCCACAUUUAGCUUCAGUGUGCAACAUCCUUAAUUUUCGUCACCUUUUCUUCCCAGACCUCAUGAUCGGGUUCCUUUGAAGGAAAUGAAGGCUGAUUGGCAUUCUUGUCUUGAUAACAAAGUCGGCUUCAAGGUUAGUUUUCUUUUGAACAGCUACCUUUGAUUUCAUAAUCACGCGAGGUCAUACUAGUUCUUUCUUCUAAUUUUGCCUUGACUGGAUCAUUGACAUGGAAAGCUGCCACAAUGGUACAAUACACAGGAAAAUAAAUUCUCUUGCUAUCAGACUAAGUGAGAGAUUUGCUUUGCAGUUCAUGUUGCAUUUUUUCUUUUUCUGAUGAAGUAGGAUCUACUAUCUUCAAUUGAGCGCAGUCAUUUUAAUCUUAUUCUGCAAUGUCCUGUGACAUCUUGAUUAAAAGCCCUUGUCAUUUCGUCCACAAUAAAUUUUGUAGAUAUAGGCAAUAGGCUCUUCUUCCUAAUUCACUUUUUUCUGGGAGGCAUUAUUUUCUCUAAUUACAGCCUGCCUAAGUUGUUAUCCUGCAGAAUCAAACUGAUGCAAAAUCUUUUUGGAAUUUCUUUAAAGCUGGGUGAAAAUACUUAGGAUAUGAUAUUAUGUUUAUUUAUUUGAAGCGUGGGUGGGAGUAGAUAGCCUAUAAUAUAAUGUUGGUUUGUUUUUGUUGUAAUACAGGGUUUUGCUGUACCCAAAGAAUCACAAGAUAAGGUGGCAAAAUUUUCAUUCCAUGGGCAGCCGGCUGAACUCAAGCAUGGGAGUGUUGUGAUUGCUGCCAUUACUAGCUGCACCAACACAUCGAAUCCCAGUGUCAUGCUCGGAGCUGCUCUAGUAGCGAAAAAGGCUUGUGAACUUGGAUUACAGGUUCGCUGUGAUUAUAAUCACUGUCCAUCUCUAUACCCUGUACUCUUUCCAGGAUCAAGCUUCUUUUUACUGUUACAUUGAUAAUUCUUGUUGGUGACCUGAAUUGUGACACCAGGUCAAGCCAUGGAUCAAAACAAGUCUUGCACCUGGCUCGGGUGUUGUCACUAAGUAUCUACUUCAGAGGUACAAUUUUGGGAUAAGUUAGCAUAGUGUAGUAGAAUAUCUUUAUGUUGGCAAUGAGGAGGCAACCUGAUAACUGUAUUUUUGAUGUUGAUGCAGUGGGCUGCAGAAGUACUUAAACCAGCAGGGAUUUAACAUUGUGGGAUACGGAUGCACUACUUGUAUUGGAAAUUCUGGGGACUUGGAUGAAUCAGUUGGCUCUGCCAUCUCAGAAAAUGGUACUGUUAAAUAUUGUCUAGCAUGGAGACAUACUGCUGUGUGUGCUUCCUUUGUUUAAGCAUUUGCAUAAGCAAUUGCUUCUGGACAUCAUUGAUCAGAUUAUCUAAAACGGCUUAUUUACCUGUCACGCAGAUAUUAUUGCUGCUGCCGUACUCUCGGGUAAUCGAAACUUUGAAGGGCGUGUUCACCCACUGACUAGGGCUAAUUAUCUAGCUUCACCUCCUUUAGUAGUUGCCUAUGCUCUCGCUGGCACGGUAUGUAAUGAUAAUUGAUGGCAAUGUGGAAUUUAUUAAUUUCAAGUAUAUAAUGAAUAAUAACUUGUUAGGGUUUUUGAGUUUAUGACAUUCUCUGUUUUAAUUCGAGAAGGUAAAUAUACCCAAUCUAGUAUUUUGCAAAAAGUUUACAAAUAAAAUAGGUAAAACUGUUUUCAGGAUCGAAGUUAUAAAUCAAAGUUUUUUUUUUUUUUUUUUUUUGUAAAAAUUUAUUAUCUCAAAUAAAAACAAGGGAAAAUCCUCUUUUAUGUGAUUUUUCAGUGUGGAGAUCUCUUGCUGGUUUCGGAAAUGUUAACACUUGUGCAAAUUCUUUUUUUCAUUAUCAUAAUUUUUAGUGUGGAUACUACCAGGCACCUUGAUUUUCUUCUAAGGUGAUUAUAGGCCAUUAUUAGUCCGAAUUCUGAUCCUAGUUAUGAUUCUUUGACUGAUCAUUGACGUGAUCCUCUUAGGGAUAUUUGUACACUGCCAACAUUUGAUUUUAUAUCUUGAUGCCAGGUUGAUAUUGACUUCGACAAAGAGCCAAUUGGAAUGGGGAAGGAUGGUAAGAGUGUUUACUUCAAAGAUAUCUGGCCAUCGACAGAGGAAAUUGCACAGGUAGACAAUGUGUUAUAAUUUUGAUUUAGCAAGUAAUGUUGGGGUUUGGUUGAGUCUAACUAUGGUGUCCCUUGUUAUCAGGUUGUCCAAUCAAGUGUUUUGCCGGAAAUGUUCAAAAGCACUUAUGAAGCUAUCACAAAGGGCAAUCCCAUGUGGAACCAGCUCUCUGUUCCUGCUACGACCAUGUACAAAUGGGACGCCAACUCUACCUACAUUCAUGAGCCUCCAUACUUUAAGGACAUGACCAUGGAUCCUCCUGGAGCCCAUGGAGUGAAAGAUGCAUAUUGCUUGCUGAACUUUGGUGACAGUAUUACGACUGACCAUAUUUCCCCAGCAGGAAGCAUCCACAAGGACAGUCCCGCAGCUAAAUAUCUACUUGAGCGUGGGGUGGAUCGCAAAGACUUCAACUCAUAUGGAAGUCGACGUGGGAACGACGAAGUGAUGGCAAGGGGAACUUUUGCCAAUAUUCGUAUUGUUAAUAAGCUUUUAAAUGGCGAAGUGGGUCCCAAGACAGUUCAUAUCCCUACAGGAGAGAAGCUUUAUGUGUUUGACGCAGCAAUGGUAAGUUUCUGGGAGUUCUCUGUGCUUUCUAAUCUCUUAUUUCCUUAAUUUGCUUGUGCUUAUUUAAGACUAUUUUAAAAUAUGAUCGACUAUUUGCUUGUAGGUGUUGCUAUUUAAAUGAAGGGAAAAUACCAAACGCACAUUUCAUUUUUGAUCAUUUACAUACCUUAAGCAAAACCCUACAAUAGAAAGACCAAAUUGCUUCUGGCAAACUCAUUGUAGGAUCUGGGUGGUUUAGUUUUCAGUUGGUUUGAGUAUUUAAGGUGGCUGUCAGAAUUUAGGAAUUGGGGAUGAGCAUUUUUGGAAAGAAAUCGGUGUGUCUAAAAAAGGGGCAGAAAUAAUUGAUUGAUGGGAAGAUGCGAAAUGGUCUCCAAAGGUAAAACUCAGUGAAAUAUGUGUUGGGUAUUUUGAAAAAUAGAGAUAUGGAAAUGGUCAUUGGGUGAAAAGAAGAAAUGUUUUUGAUAUUUUCCUUAAAAUGAAAUGUCAAUGCUUGUGUGUGUCAUCCCCAAAAGGAUAAAUAUUUUCGCGUCAUAUCACAGUCAUCAGAUAUUUUGCGACAUCUGUAAUGAAAAGAAGAUGCUUUGCUGCUGUGAUUUUGAUAAUUGCUGGUAAAAUAAGUUCUUUAAGUGGAAAGUGUGAAAAAAGUGAACAUAUAUAUCUCGGAAUUGUUUGAAAUACUUUUGGGCGAUUCUGUUCUCAGAAUGAUGGGAAUCUCUUAACCUGUCUUAUCUGGUGUAAUUUUAGAAAUACAAAUCUGCUGGACACGAUACCAUUGUUCUGGCUGGAGCAGAGUAUGGUAGCGGGAGCUCCCGAGAUUGGGCAGCCAAAGGGCCCAUGCUACUGGUGAGGUCACUUGCAGUGUAACAAGCCUAUUUCAUUUUCCACUGGCACUGUCUUAUCCUCGAGACUUAUUUUAAUAUGCAACAGGGAGUCAAAGCAGUGAUUGCAAAAAGUUUCGAGAGAAUUCACCGGAGUAAUUUGGUGGGUAUGGGUAUCAUUCCACUCUGCUUCAAGGCUGGUGAGGACACGGACACAUUAGGAUUGACUGGUCACGAGCGUUACAGUAUUGACCUCCCGAGCAAUAUUAGUGAGAUUAGGCCUGGCCAAGACGUGACUGUCACAACCGACACAGGCAAAUCUUUCACCUGCACUGCCCGCUUCGAUACUGAGGUAUUUCCUGCAUCAUCUCCUUAAUAUGUUCUGGUCAUUCCUGAGAGGUAGUAUUUUGGCCACAAAUUAGAAAAAAAAUAUGCAGAGGUAGUGUUUUAACUAUAUUCUGUACGGAGCUAUAUAGCCUCUCUAGGUACGUACCAAGUGAAUUCGAAAUAGAGAAUUUCGGAAACUACUACUGUGUGGUUAAAGCUUCAAAAUUUGAUCAUGUUUCAGGUGGAGCUGGCGUAUUUCAACCAUGGAGGAAUUCUUCCGUACGUCAUUAGGAAUCUUAUUAACCAAUAAGUCAGAAAUGUCGGCAGGCGGCUUUCUCCAGCAUGGGAGCUGUUUCACUUUGUAAAAUUUGAGAAGAAAAUAAUGUCUCGAUUACAAAGAAAAAUCCCUGUCAUGGGACAAUUUUUUGAGAACUUCCGCUUAUGCAGGCUUUAUUUGAUAUGCGUUUGGAGUAAGAAUUGCGUUUCCCUUUUCUACUUGUGUUAAUGGUCUGCCCAUGUUCUUAAAUGGUGGAGCCCUUGUUGGUUUUCCAUUAUUGAAAGCCACAUCAAUUUGAAUGUAAGUUAUAGAUUUGCAAUUAUAGCUGCGGUCUCUGUAUUUGUAGUGCAAAUCAGCAAUAACAGGUACUUUUAGCAAUAAAAUAGGCUUUUCGGCAAGUGACGUGACUCAUGAGAGCAAGCAGAAUCGAAAAGCUUAGCUGAUUAGUUCAGUUUUGCCGUCUAGUUCUUGCGAAUGGAAAAAGUUUGCCUGCAUAUAUUCUUCCAUGUAAAAGCGCGGGAAAAUUCAACUCAAUUUUGAGAAUCUGGAUUGGCGAGAACAGGUAAAUUUUAUAGUGCCAUCCAACACGAGAGAACUUAGUGGGGAUAAGAACGGUAGGAAUGUCAAAAUUUUUUGUACUUGAAUGUAAAGGCUUUCUUUUCUCUCACUUAAGUGUCACAUUAGAGUAAAAUCGAUCAUUUGAGUGUCAGUUCUGCAAAAUCAUUGUAUGUGAAAUUUUUUAGAUUUUCUUUUUUGGAAGGCUAGCAAGAGUUAUUGGUGACCCUCAUUGGCCAUGCAUCCCUCACCUAGUCCACCUUACCCUCUGUCAUGAAGGCCCUAGGUGAGGCUAUUGGGGCCUUGCUGACUGUUGGUGAGAUUGUGAGGACCCUUGUUGGCUCUAGGCGGUUGCGGGCGAGGGCCCUCAUAGCCUCGUCCAUUGCUAGCAAGGACCUAAGGCCGAGGAGGUGAGGGCCUUUGCCAACAGCCUCACCGAAGACCUUCGUAGUUGAGGUUGAGGUGGCCUUCAUCCAAAUUUGGCAAGGAUUUUGCAGCCGGUGAGGGUUGUCGGUCACCCUCGCCACGACCCUCAAUGGCAUUAAAGAAAAAGGAAAAAAAAUUACUAAAAUCAUAUAAAAAAAUUAUCCACGUUAGUGCCAGCAAAACCACAUGAGAUGAUUGACAUUUACGUUAGAUUUUUCUGGCAAGGUAAAUCAUAAUUGAUACUUAAGUGGUCGAUCUUUCAAAUAUAUGGCAUUCAACUAAGCUAAAAAAAAAAGAAAAGUUUUGGCACUUAAGUCGGUGCCGUACAAAAGUUUUGGUGCUUCUAGUAUUUCUUAUCCCAAAAUUAGUAUGAAGCACAACCAAGUAUAACUCCAGGAUAAUUGAUUUUAGAAGUGUAAGGAACCACCAAUUGAAAUAAAACAAAUAAUACUAAAUUAACACAAUUGUCUAAAUUGGUACAAAUUUCAAUAAAUUCAAGGAUGUGUUUUUUUGGGGGAAAGUGUUUUUCAGGAAAUGAUUUUUCGAACUUUUAGAGCCUAUUUGAUAAUCAUUAUGUUUUCUUGAAUAAUUUUUGCUUAGAAAUAGAUUUUUUUGAUAUUGUUCUCGAGACAAGUUUCUGAGUAUAGUAAUUGUAUAAAAUUUAUAUUCCUGAAAUAGGGAUGCAUUUGGUAAGAUUUCAAUUUUUUUUUUCUGUAACUUAUAAUUUCUUUAAAAUUUUAAAUAAUUUUAUUACAUUUUUUCCCUUCUUCCUCUAGCCGAUUGCUAGCCUCGGGGUAGUUUCAUUGGCCCUCGGCAAGGUUGCCAGCUCUUGUUUGGUUGGUAAUCGGCUAUAGUCAAGGCCAUUGAUUGGCUAGAGGAAGAAGACUAAGAAGAAACAAGGAAAAAAAGAAAAGAAAAAAAAAAGGAAAGAAAAUUACUUGAUUCUCGAUGUGUUCCAAAAAUAAAGAAGUAUUUUUUUUUCAAGAAUAAAUCUAUCUCCGGGAAUAGAAAAAUUAGUUGACAUUAUCAAAUGGAUUUCUGUUUUUUUUUGUUCUUUUUGUUUUGAGGAACAAAAUAAUAAAAAUAUUCAUUGUUUACCAAAUAGGGCAUUACUCGUUUGGUUUGCAAAGAAUAAGUAUUCAAGUGAAAACACUUUUUAGUAAACGAAAACAUUCAUACAUAAAUUUAUGAAAGAGAAUCCUUAAAUCUAACGAAAUGAAACAUCGGAAUUGCCCAUCUCGAAUAUUUUAAUAUUGUUUAAUUUAUUUUACUUUAUAACUUAUUUGAAUAUUUACUAUUUAUUUUUUAAUUUUUUUUUCAAUUUUCUUCUUCUUUAGCUAGUUGUUGGUGAUUGCCAAUCGGCACAAGUGAGCUUGAGCCUCACUAGCUAGCGCCUGUUGCUGGUAAUUGGUUAUCGCUGUGGCCCAUCAACUAAUGGAGAGAAAGAAAAAAGAAAAAAGAAAGAGAAAAAAAAGAAAAGACUAAAGAAAAGAAAAGAAAAGAAAAAAUAUUUAAACGUUUGACUUUGCUUUUGCUAUGAGAUAAAGUCACGGGAUUAAAAUCACUUUUCGAAAGAGAUGCAAACAUCAAAAAAUGUUUUUGCUCAUAUAUCACCAAAUAAAAGAAGGGCACAAAAAUGAUUACCUAAUAGAUUUAAUCUAUUGUAAAAUAACAUUUUAUUUUGGAUUACAAAAAAUCAAUUAAUAAAUAAUUAUAAAUUGUUGUAAGGUUUACUUUUGAAAAUUUAUAGCUCAUAAUAAGCUGUUAUUCUCGUAGUAGUCAAAAGACUCUUAUGCUAGUAAAGCCUUAAAGGAAAAUUAUCCAUUUUCUUGAAAAAUGAUUUUUCAAAAAGUAUUUUCUUUUAUCAUGUAAUUUUCCCUAAACAAACGCAUUUUUGGGUACUUUUCAUCAAUUGGAUUAUGAGGAAAUAACAUGAAUGAUCGUUCUAAGUUGAGUAAUCCUUUGGUAUGAAUCAGCUCUAUUGCAUCAAACCAAUGUAAUCUUAUCUCAUGCCCAAGAGAAUUUAUUCACCUUACAAGUUUCGACAUGCUAUCUGAAAUCAGGGUGGAUUUGAUCGACAUUCGACAGGCAGUCGCUUUGGGGGGAAAGACCGUUCCUGCCUGGUCGUAGCAGCAACGUUGUUACAAAACGACACCAUGUGCAUGGCCAAGCCACAGGGCAUCCUCGAAUUCGUAUAACAGACCAGUGACAUCUUGGAGGUUCUUUCAACUUUUGACAGCCGUACCAUGUACGCUAGCCAAUACAGCUAUAGAGGGGGCAGAAAAUGCGCAAUGCCCUUCUAGUCUCUACUUCUAGCGAUUGAACUACCGUAGACUACAAUUGCUUUUAUGUUUACAUGGACUAAUUCAAUACAGAGCCUAACAAGUCAAAUUCAUAUUGCUUUACAGCCGAUGCUGCAGAAGUCAUGAACAGCAUGGAAAACAAGAGGAGCGCAUCAGCACAGACCAGGGUUAAAUCAAUCGACUCAUCAUUGAUUAGCCUCAGCGGUUGUACAAAGCGCCAACUCACAAACUAAUCCAAGUAUUUCCAUGGUUCUGUUUCUGUCAAGUCCUAGACUAAGAACUAAGGAGACGACAUAGCCUAGACCCGGCUUAGAUCACAGAGACACAUCAGCAAGACGACUAUGGCUUGCGAGAUAAACACUGACGAGCUAAAACUUUAACGACCCUCCAGAAUGCUCUCCAAAUGCAGCCUCCGGUUGUUGCCAUCGAACCCUCUGUCACCUAUUCUCACUUCCGAUAUGCUUCUGUUUCUCAGCUUCGACGCACUCAGCAGUUGCUCCACAGAUGAAAACUUGCGAUCUUGUGUGUGCUUGAGUAUUUGCUUCAGCUCCUCCUUUGUGACCAAUACCCUCACUCUCAGGACCCCACUUUUGCUGGAUUCACCGAUAUGGGGUCGGUUGUCUCUGACGACUUCAUCGACGUUAUCCUUCAAUUUGAAGCUCACGCUCUUCUUCAUCUUCUCGUUCUUGUUCUUGCCUCCAUGCACACGUAUUGCUGGCUCCAACUUGGAUUGCGAAAUCUCAUCCUCAUGAUCUCGAGCAAUGACUUUGUUACUCACCAAGCAAUUUCCCAUUUUGCUUUCUUCUCCCUUUUUCUUUCUCAAGAGCUAAAUGUGUGAAAGAAUCAAGAAUGCUAUUCGGACGCAGGGAAUAUAGGAGAGGCUGAAGGGCAAGAGCACAUGAGCAGUCCCCUUUUUGCGCCGGUUCUUUGGAUGAAAGGCAAGUGGACAGAUUCCUUUGCUUGUUCCAACCACCUACCCACGUACUCCGAAUUUGACGUCCCAUUUGUUAUUGUCUGUCUGAUUGUUUUUGGCUUUUUUUUUUAUCCUUCCGUGUACUUUAAGUCAGCAUGGCCGUCUCCUACCUUUAUAUAUCUAUAUAAUAUCUGAGACCCGUUUGGACGUCCGACUAAUUCUUAUCGGGCGUGGCUGUUCCCUCGUUCUACUUAACUAUAGAUAAAUUGAUCUGUAUUUCUAAUAAUAAUCUCCCAAAAAAUGCGUAAAUCUGAUGAUUCAAAUCUACAUAUCUAAUGAGAAAGACGAUCACGCUUAACACUUGAGCAACCAUCAGGUUCCGCAGCUUUUAUAUCAUUUUACUUGUUCUUGGUCAACUGUAUAGAGUAGAGUAUGCGCAAGUAGUUGCUGCAAGAUUCAUAAUAUUUUAUUUACUUUACCAGGAUGGGGCGGCAGAUACUCUUUCUAAGUCGGCCCAAAUUUCAGUUUAACGUUUUGCAUAAUGACAAACGAGGAUCUCGCGUAUUAUGAGUGUAUCCAGUUCGAUGUAAUUGGUGCAGACCUCUACUAUUAUUUUUACGUAAAAUACACGUAAAUACGAGAUUGUCAAUAAAAUUUUCAUCUUCCGAACAUUUACUGCACUUACACAAAUGGAGUAAAACUCAUUAUACACGUAGGGAAUAGAGAUCUACAGAUAGGCGAGCAAAGCAUCAAGCUUCUUCUAUCUUUAAGAAGAGAUCCUGGCUCAACAUCUCCGCCACGAUGGUCAAGUUCAUCUCGUUCGGCGGUUAAGAAAAUCCACGAAGGCUUUAGGGAUGUAAAAUGUCUAUUAUUAUAUGUACUGAAAAAACAAUUGUAUCAUGUCAUGUUCACUAUAUAAAUAUAGAUUUCUUUUGAUUUAUCAUUAAAUAGCACAAAUAAAUAAUGAUUUCCAAUUAUUUAACGUGAUACUUUAUGAGAAACUGCAAAACAUAGGUAUAUAUUUAUAUGCAAAUUUCAAGUAAUUAAUGUAAACCAAUGAUUAUAACAUUUUUAUACUUUCUUAUAAUAGGGUCGAAUAUUUUCCACAUAAUUUUAAGAAAAAAUGACGAGAGAUACCCUUUCAUGUCGCGUAUCGUCAAACUUUGUUGUUGUACAUUUCUAAUAGAGGUAGUAAUAAAGGUGUAAGCUAACUCAACUUAGAAGUCUCAGGCAAUUCCUGCAAUUUUAUUUGGAGAGACAUUUCGGAUUCGAAUAAUAAUUAAGAAUCUUAGUUCCAUAGAAAAGGUGAUGAAGUAUAUUUAUGAAGAUUAGAGAUUUUCUUGUUAGAGAAUAUUUUUAUAAAUAUUAUUAUAUAUUAGGGAUAUUAUUUAAUAUUUCGUGAUUAUCUAAGAUAACUAAUUUCGUUUCCUAUGCAUAUUGUUCGGGUAUAAAUACCCUCCUCUAAUAAUUUGUAAAGACAAGUGAUGAGUAAAAAUGUAGUCUUUAUUGAUUAUCUCUCCCUCUCUUGAAGAUCCUAGAAUAUUUGCAUGGUAUUAGAGCCAUCAAGAGGGAAGGAAUUAAAUCAAACCUUACCUUUUUCUUCCUUUAUGCUGUCUUUAGUUGUCUCAUCUUCACUAACUUCUUGAUUUUGUCGACACUCAACAACGCUACUAUGGACAUUAUUCGUUGUGGUACUCUCUUCUAAUUGCGAGCAAUAUCGACGAGUGAAGUCUUCAUCAAAUAUUCAAGUAGCUGUGAGCAUCAGAGUCAAGUACACUUUAUUGGGCAGCCAAACAUGAGCGCCAUGAGUUGAUGUCAUCAAAUAUCUAGGUUGCUAUGAGUGCCGGAGUCAAGCACACAUUGUCAAAGUAGCCAAAGAUCAUUGUGGGGUGAUGCGGUUUGGUUUGCCACAAUUCAUGAUUCUAUCAACGUUGUAUGAGAAAGAUAUAACAACCUAGGCCUUAUUGUGUAAUAUUGUCCGCUUUGAACACUGAGUCUUCACGGCUUUAAAAUACGUCACACAGAUUAGAGGGACUUAAGCCUUAUAAACUAGCCCCAAGACUUCCCCCUAAGCGAUGUGGGACAGGAGAUGUGCCCUUGCGCUUGGGCCGUCACACUCUCCCCCCUUGGGAGAACAACGUCCUUGUUGUGGAGCCACAUGCGGUUGGGAGUCGGCUCUAAUACCAUUUGUAACGACCCGGGCCCUAUUGUGUAAUAUUGUCCGCUUUGGACACUGAGUCCUCACGGCUUUAAAAUGCGACACACAGAUUAGAGGGACCUAAGCCUUAUAAACUAGCCCUAGGAUUCCCUCCUAAGUGAUGUGAGAUAGGAGACGCACCCUCAUGCUUGGGCCGUCACAAAAGAUAUGUCAAUUUUCUAGGGAAAAUUACCAAAAAAGUUAUAAACCUAUUGCAAUUGUGUCAAUUCAGUCCUGAACCAAUUUUUUUUUUGACUAAUAGAGUCCUAAACCUUUUACAAUUAUUCCCAAUCAAUUCAUCUGGCCAAAAUUGGCCGGCUGGUGCCGGCAAGCUUUUUUUAAUAAUAUUUUAUUUUUGAAAUAUUUUAUUAAUUUUUUAUCCAUUUUCCCUUUUUUUUUUUUUCCCUUCUCCCUCUCCCUCCUCCCUCCUUCUUCCUUUGGCUCCGGAGACUAGGCUAGCUCGCCUUGGUGUCGCUGGGGGAGCCCUCACCAGAUCCAGCGAGUCGAGCCCUGUCGGAUCUGGCGAGGGGAGCCUUGCUGGUUGGUGAGCUUACGCCUAGCAACGGCGGGGCGAAACCCUGCCGGAUCUGGCAAGGCGAUCUGGUGGCGCAAGCCCUCGCUGGAUCUGGUGAGGGCUUGCCUUGCGGUCACCGUGCAAGGCGAGCCCUCGCCAAAUUUGGCGAGCGCCCCUUUGUUGGAUCUAGUGAGGGCUCGCCUUGCGGUUGUGAGGCGAAACUUUGCUGGAUCUGGUGAGGCAAUUCAGCGGGGCGAGGCGAGCCCUCACCAAAUCUAGUGAGGAGGGCCUCACCACCUCGUUUGGCGGCUGCAAGGCGAGCCCUUGCCAGAUUCGGUGGGGGCUCGCCUUGCCAUCGCUGGGUGUGAGCUUGCUGACUGGCGAGGCGAGCUUGCUAAAUGAAGGAAGAGGGAGGAGGGAGGAGGGAGGAAGAGGGAGAAGGAAAAAAGAAGAAGAGGAAAAAUGAAAAAAAAAAAGAUAAAAAAUUAAUAAAAUAUUUCAAAAAAGAAAAUAUUAUUAAAAAAAGCUUGCUGACGUUGGUUGGCUGCCAUGUCGGUAUCGGCCACCCAAUUUUGGCCGGAUGGACUGAUCGGAAAUAAUUAUAAAAGGUUUAGGACUCAAUUAAUAAAAAAAAUAAGUUUAGGGCUGAAUUGACACAAUUGCAAUAGGUUUAAGACUUUUUUGGUAAUUUUCCCCAAUUUUCUAAGCAUGUGUUGCUUUAACGCUUGUCAAAUCCGGUUUUUUUAGUGUAAGGUCUGACUUACAUGGUGCUUGAUCACAGACUUUUGAAGAAAUUUGCACCAUACUACAAGUUGGAUGCUCUAGUUUAAGGCGGAGUGAUGAAGUAUAUUAUGGAGAUAAGAGAUUUUCUUGUUAGAGAUAUCAUCAUAUAUUAGGAUAUUAGUUAAUAUUUCGUGAUUCUCUAAGAUAGCUAAUUUCUAAUCCUAUGCAUAUCAUUCGAGUAUAAAUACCCUCCUCUAAUAACUUGUAAAGACAAACGAUGAAUAAAGAUAUGGACUUUACCGAUCUUUCCUCCUUCUCUCUUGAAGAUCUAAGAAUCCUUGGCAUUUACACCCAAACAAUAUGUAUAGGAAAAGAAAUUAGCUAUCUUAGAGAAUUACAAAAUAUUAAAUAAUAUCCUAUUCUCUAAUAAGGAAAUAUCUAGUUAUCAUAAAUAUACUUCAUCACUCCCCCUCAAGUUGGAGCAUCCGGUUUGCAUAUAAUUGGUGCAACUUUCUUCGAAAGUCUGUGAUCAAGCAUCGUGUAAGCCGGACCUUACAUUAAACAAAUUGGAUUUGACAAGCGCUGAAGUAACACAUGCUUAGAAAGUUGACAUAUCUUUGUCAUACAACCUUUAUAGAAUUGUGUGAAAACCCAUCUUGAAUUGCAACAAGCUAAACCGCAUCACUCCACAGUGCUUAUUUUUGGCUACUUGAUGAAGUGUGCUUAACUCCAACGCUCACAACUAAUUGGAUACUUGAUGACAUCACCCCAUGGUGCUCAUGUUUGGCUGCCCAAUGGAGGUAUGCUUGACUCUGGUGCUCAUAGCUAACUGGAUAUUUGACUGCAACUUCGCUCGUUGAUGUUGCUCGCAAUUAGAAGAGAGUACCACAAUGAAUAACAUCAAUAGUAGUAUUGUUGAGUGUCAACAAAAUUGGGAAGUUACUGAAAAUGAGACCACUAAAGAUAGAUAAAGGAAAAAAAAAAAAACAGCUAAUAUUUGUUUAAAUUCCAGCUCUCUUGGUAGCUUUGACAUCAUGUAAAUAUUCUAGGAUUUUCAAGAGAGAGGGAGAGACAAUUAGUAAAGACUACAUCUUUACUUAAUUGGCUUAACUUUACAAGUUAUUAGAGAAGGGCAUUUAUACUCAAAUAAUAUGCAUAAGAAAGGAAAUUAGCAAUCUUAGACCAUCACGAAAUGUUAAAUAAUAUCCCUAAUAUCUAAUAAUAUCUCUAACGAUAUUCUCUAACAAGAAAAGCUCUAAUUUGCAUAAAUAUACUUCAUCGAAAGGUUUGAAUAAUGAGAUGCAUGUGGUUUUACUUUCAGUAAUUCCAUCCAGUCAAUUGAUAGAUGAAUUUUCCCAUCUUAUAAGAUCGCAUGUGAGACAUUCACAUUAGGCCGACCUUGGCCCUCCCAUUGCUCUUCAUGAGCAGGGUCCGACUUAUGAUGUUCGACUCAAGAAGCACCAUGUCUUCGGCUACCUCGGUUGGAUGGACCUGGGGAAAAAAAAAAGAAGAAUUUCUAAAUGACCCGAGUUGAGGCCGAGGCUGUAAGGCUCGCGGUUUCGGAAGUGGAGGCCGGUUUCGAAUGUGGAGGCGUGGAAGCAUGGGCCAUGGUUGGCGGGUCACGAGAGAGGACGGAUCUUGAGAGGGAGCUAGAAAAGUGGGGCAUUUGAGAUGGCCGAUGUAAGGGUUGAAGAAGAGGAAGUGUAGAGUAAAGAGGCCAUUUGGAAGUGUAAUCACCAUUGUCAGAGAGAGAUGAUUUGCUUUGCCUAAAGGGGCAGGCUAAGGAAACAAAGAAAAAGAGACGAAGUGAAGAGGGGUAGAGAGAGUGUGUGUCAGUAAGGAAGCCUGCUUUAAAGAGAGAGGAGAGAAAUUUUAUAAAGAGAAAAUGACAUAAAUGAUUUCAGAAUUCUGGUUUAAAUUGCAAUGUGGUCCUUAAACUUUUAAUUUGUCCAAUGUGGUCCUUGAACUUUAGUUCAUUAUACAAUGUCAUUCAUGAACUUUAGAUAUAUCAAAUUUAGUCCAUAAACUAUAUAAAAAUAUUCAAUAUUGUCCAUGAAUUUGAAUGAAUGGAAAAACAAUAUUAAACACUUCAUAUAGCUUGAGAACUAAAUUGAACACGUAUAUAAAAUUUAAGGACUACAUUGAACAAAUUAAAAGUGCAAGAACCACAUUGGACAUUGGGAUAAAUUUUAAAAACUGCAUUGAACAAAUUUAAAUUUUAUGGAUUAUAUUACACAUUGGGUCAAAAUUAAUGAAUCAUUUACUUCAUUAUCUUUUUGAAAACUUUGACAAGUGGAACCUCUAAACAUGUGUCGAUUAGUGAGUGGAGUGGUCUAUGACUAACGUGGAAACCAUGACUAUUCAAUAUUUUCUCACUUUCAUGAAGUAAUUUAUGGAGUGAUACGACAUCUUUUCGGUUGUCCUCAAUUUGAGAGGCGUAUGGUACACUUUGUCAACAGCAACUAUAGAUAAAGCUAAAAGAAGCUCCUGGUUGGGGGCGGGACCUUUUGGGUUGGAAGCCAAACUUUGUGUUCUUUUAUGAGAUGUUUGAAAGUUUGGAAAGAAUAUGAUUUUAUCAUUAGUAGAUGUAAUUUCACUAAAUUGACAAUAACAAUAGUUGUAGAUCUAUCCCAUUUAAAUUGUGACUUAGAUAUAGGACCCCUUGUUCAAUGAAUUAAUAAUGAAGGGAGAGAUAGCAAGGAGAGAGAGUAGAGAGGAAAUUAUGAAAACUCUAAUGAGUAGAACUCAUUUCUGACAAGUGAUAAUCAAUAAGUGGAGUUGGUGCGAAAAGCCACAACUAUCUAAUAGUUUCUCACUUUUAUUAAAUAAUUUAUUGAGUGAUACAACAUCGUUUCGUUUAUCCUCAAUGCCUAUCACCUAAAUUCAAGAGGUGUAAACACAUGUAAGCCGACAUGCAAAUCUCUAACAACUCCUAUGGAUGGAUGCUAGAAGGGCAGACUUUUUUGGGUCAAAAGCCAAACAUUUUAUUUUUUUGUGAGAUGUUUGAAAGUUUGGAUAGAAUCCGACUUUAUCAUUAGUAGAUAUAAUUUAACUAAAUUGACAAUAACAAUGGUUGUAGAUCUAUCCCCUCAAAAUAGUGACUUAGGUAUAGGACCUUUCGUUCAACGAAUUAAUAAUGGAGGGAGAGAUAGUAAAGAGAGAGAAGAGAUGAAAUUUUGAAAACUCUAAUGAGUAGGACACAUUUUGGACACGUUAUAAUAAGCGGGUGGAGCUAGUGUGGAAAGCCACAACUAUCAAUAGUUUCUCACUUUUAUUAAAUAAUUUAUUGAGUGACACAACAUGUCACCUGAAUCCGAGAGGUGCAAACACUUUUCGAUUGACAUGUUGAAUCUUUAACAGCUAAUAUGUAUGGAUGCUAGAAGGGGGGACUUUUUUGAUUUGAAAGCCAAAUUUUGUGUUCUUUUGUGAGACAUUUGAAAGUUCUCAAAUAGGAUCUGACUUUGUCAUUAGUAAAUGUAAUUUCACUAGUUUAGCAAUAACUACACUACUAAAUUCGUGCUAUUAAGAUGGUGACUUUUGUAUAGGACCCCUUCCUUAAGCUUCAAUUGGAGCUCAUCCAUGGACAACGACUAUACAUUUUGAUCAUGUUUCUCAGUAAAUGUAAUUUCACCAAAUUAACAAUAACUACGCUCCUAAAUUCAUGCUAUUAAGAUGGUGACUUUUGUAUAGGAUCCCUUCCUUAAGCUUCAAUUGGAGCUCAUCCACGGAUAACGACUAUGCAUUUUGAUCAUGAUUUCUCCGUCUCUAUCUGUGGGUGCUGUACGACACCACGUCCGAUGAAGAGGGAGUCUGGUGGAGUCCUAGUUUGAAUGGGAGACAUAUCCUAUUAUUCAGAGCCACCCUAACCAAACAUGAUUUUGUACUAGCGACGUCCCAUUUGAUUUGGAGCGGCUGGAUUUUUGGGGCAUUAGUUUUCGCUUCUUCAGGGGGAUUUUGUGACAUUUGCAAUUGACAGCAAUUGACCUUCAGCUUCGAGAGCGGAGACAUGAAAGCACGAGAUCGUAUUUAUUCCUGACCUGAUGUCGCAAAAAUGUUCCCUUACCUGAUGUCGCAAAAACGUUCUAUUACGUUUUUCUUAUUGUUUCUUCUUGAAAUUUGGCUAGUCCUCACUCAUUUUCCUUCAUAUUUUUGCUUUAUUUUUUUGUUUAUAUUUAACGGUCUCCGGGAGAAUGUAUUUUAAUUUGACAUACUGAUUUUUAUGAAAAGGAAAAUAAAAAGUUAAAGGUUUUUCAUUAUAUUUGGCCUUCAAAUUAUUUCUACUUUAUCUACCAUUGCUAAUACUUUUAUUAGUUUAUCUUAAAGGAGACAACAUUUUUUAAUGACUUUUUUUUUAGAAAAAAUUAAAGUCGGAAGAUGCGUAGCUGGGGAUAAUCGGUAUAGGACCCUUUCGUUAAGCUUCAAUAAGAGCUUCUCCAUGGACAACGACUUUGCGUUUUAAUUAUGAUUUGUCAGUAUCAACAAACAACAACCAUCAAAAGUUACAUGUGAAUAGCAGUUUUUAUCUGUGGGCGUUGUACGACACUACGUACAAUGGAAAGGUGGUUUGGUGGAGUCUUUGUUUGAGUGGGAGACAUGUCGUAUUAGUCAAAGCCACUAUAACCAAACUUAAAUCGAUUUUGUACUAGCGACGUCCUAUUGAUUAGGAGCGGCUGUAUUUUAGGGCAUUGGUUUUCGCUUCUUCAGGGGGAUUUUGUGACAUUUGCAAUCGACAGCAAACAACCUUUGGCUUCGGUAACGGAGAUCUGAAAGCAGGGGAUUGCAUUUAUUCCUAAUUUGACGUUGCAAAGACAUUAUAUGACGUGUUUCGAGGUGUGAACAUCAAAAGUAUAAAAACAUGCUAUAGAGAGACACUUAAGUACCAAAAGUUUCAAAUUUAAGUACCAAAAGUAGAAAAAAAAUCUAAUACUUAAGUGCCAAUGGCAAGAAAUUUCGGCCAAAUUGUUGACAUGACAUUUUUCUAGUGAGAUAAGUGGAAAAUAAUGUUGUUUUUAGCAUUGGCGUGGCUAGAUAAGUGCAAAACAAUGUUUUUUUUUUAGCGCUAACAUGGCUAGAUAAAUCUAAAACAAUGUUAUUUUGAUGUUGAUGUUGCCUCAAAAUUGAAUUUUAAUAUAAAUAUUAAUGAAGAUAAAUUAAAAAAAAAUAAAAAAAGAAGAGGAAAAGGGAACACGUUUGGCAAGGGUUGAGGCCCUUGCCACCGCCACCCCACCAUCAUCGGAAAGGGCCGAUGAUAGUGGGGUGAGGGUCGGCUAGGGUCGUUGGCCACUGGGUAAUGGCCGGCGACCUUGUCCCACUGUUGGUGAGGGCCUAUAGGCCCUCGCCUAGAUCUGGGGUGGAAUGGUCAUUAAGUCGCCCUAGCUAAUGAUAGCCCUUGGCCUUAUUGGGCGAGGUGACCCUCACUGGAUCUUGGGGUUGUGAGCCCUUGCCAGUCACUGGCAAGGGCCACGGCCCCUCGCCUAGGUAGCAAGGCUUCUCCAGCCACAAUGAAAAAAAAUAAAAAAGAUGAGUAAAAAUAGUAAAAAUUUAGAAAAAAUAUUAAAAAAUUGUCUAUGUCAACUUCGAUUGUGCCACAUAAAACGGCGGCUAAUGUCAAUGUUAGCGAUUUUUGGCGAAAAUUGAUUGAAUUGACUCAAUUGAUACAUAUGCAAAAUAUUACAAUACUAGAAAGAAAUCAGUUCAAGGGUCUUUGGGAAAUUGUGUUACAAUACUAGAAAUAGUUUUUGAGUGAUAAUUAUCCAAAGAGUUCUAAACCUAUUUAACAACCAAUAUUGUCUUAAACUUUCAAUUUUAUCAAUUUAGUUCUAAACAUUUUGGCGAUUUUCUAAUGUAGUUCAUAUGGUUAAUUUUGGCCAGCAACAGCUAAUGUGAUCCUCUAAUUAGUGCUGGCUGUCCUACAUGGUAGCCCUAACGUGGAAUAUUUUUGCAAUCUUUUUAAAUUUUUGAUUUUUUAUUCUUUUGUUGGGUUUUUGAUGGUAAAAAAAUUAGUUUAGGGUAAAUUUAUCGCAUAUGUAUCAAUUUCGGGUUUUUCGUGGUAUUAACCUAAAGCAUUUUGAUGGUGAACAUAACAAUAUGCUGACUAACGAACAACACCUUUUACAUGAAAUAAAUCAAUUCCAGGGUCUUCGGGAAAUUGUGUUACAAUACUAGAAACAGUUUUUGAGUGAUCAUUGUCCAAAAAGUUUUAAACCUAUUUAAUGGCUAAUAUUGUCCUAAAUUUUCAGUUUUAUCAUUUUUUUUUAAAACAUUUUGACGAUUUUUCAAUGUAGUCCAUAUGGCUAAUUUUGGCUAGCAAUAGCAAAUGUGACCCUCCAGUUAGUGCAGGUUGUCCUACAUGGUAGUGCUAAUGUGGAAGUUUUUACAAAUUUUAAAUUUCUUGAAUUUUUUCUUCUUUUUCUUUGUUUUUCCAUUGUCCAUCUUCCUGAAAGGGCUAGUGGAGGCCUAUAGGGCCUUGAAGAUGGCCCGCACAAAAUAAAAAAAAUAAAAUAAAAAAGAUCAAAUAUUUUUAAAAAAAUUACAAAUGUAGGACAAUCGAUGUCAACGUCAGCGAUUUCCAACCCAUAUUGACUCGGAGGAUUAUAUUAAAAAAAGUAUUAAAAUGUUUAGGACUAAAUUAAUCAAAUUAAAAAAUUUAAUACUGAAAUAGCAUCAUAUAGCAGGUUUAGGACUUUUUAGAUAAUUUUGCCCUAUUUUUUGGUAGAUAAAAAAUGGAUAAGUGUAUUAGAAGUUCUAGAACUUAUCACGAAAGUGCGAUUAAGUUCUAGAAAUUUCAAAAAGUGCAAUCAAAUCUUAUAAUUUGUCACCAAAGUGUAAUCGAGUUCUAAAACUUUCAAAAAGUCUAAUUAAUGAAAGAAUUUGAUUGGACCAAUUUGAUAAGUUCUAGGAUUCAAUUGUAUUUUUUGAAAGUUUUAAGAUUGGAUUGUACUUUCUUGACAAGUUUUGGGACUUAAUUGCACUUUUUGAAAUUUUUAGGACUCAAUUACACUUUUAUGACAAAUUUUAGGACUUUUAGGGCACUUAUUCGGAUAAAGGAAGUCAAAAGUUAUAGGAUUUUCAUGAUAUUUGGCCAUCAAACUAUUUCUCUUUUGUCUACUAAUGCUGAUUUCCUUUUAUUAGGAGACAAUAGGUUUUAUCGACUCAUUUUAGAAAAAAAAUUUAGUCGAAAGAUGCAUAGAGAUUUCUAAUCACGAUAAUAUUUGAAUGCAUGCAUGGGAUCCUUCGAGAAAUUUUGAACAGAUCUUAAGCACGAGAUUCUUAUUUAUGCAAAUCGAUAAUCGCAUUUCCAAGGCUAUAGACUUUUUUCGAGGUGAGGACACCUGGAGUGCCAUAACUUGGCACGCCGGGACACUUAAGUGCCAUAACUUUAAAAUGGUACACUUAAGUGCCAUCAUCGGAGUAAAAUGGGACACUUAAGUGCCACUCCGGCGAAAAUCCGGCCAAAUGGCUGACGUGGCAAUUUUCCGGCGAGUUUAGUCCAAAACGGCGUCGUUUUGCACGCUGACGUGGCAGAGAAAACGCAAAAACGACGCCGUUUUGUGCCUACGUGUAAAUAAUAAUAUAAAAAUUAAUUAAAUUAUAAAGUAUUCAAAAAAUUUAAAAAAUUAAGAAAAAUUUAAAAAUUUUAAAAAAUUAAGAAAAUGAAAAAUAAAAAAAAAAAAAGGGUGGGGGAGGAAGAAGAGGCGACUGAUUGCAUCACAUUUUGCUAGGAAAAGGAACAGAGUUCUUCUAUCUUCCAUACUCUUUUUAUGAUUGAACCAUGUGAUCCUGAGUCAAUUUCUGAGCCAGAUCCCAACAAGCUUGUUCGACACUUCAAUAGUGACGGACAUCCUGCCAUCACUACAAGAUAACUAUGUCAUGAUUGCUGAGAGCCGUUUCUGCGAUGGUCCUGUUGUAGCAAUUCGCCUGGACGAGGUAUAUUCUUUUGCAGACUCCGCUUGGAGAAGGAAUCGAUGAUAGAUGUACANNNNNNNNNNNNNNNNNNNNNNNNNNNNNNNNNNNNNNNNNNNNNNNNNNNNNNNNNNNNNNNNNNNNNNNNNNNNNNNNNNNNNNNNNNNNNNNNNNNNNNNNNNNNNNNNNNNNNNNNNNNNNNNNNNNNNNNNNNNNNNNNNNNNNNNNNNNNNNNNNNNNNNNNNNNNNNNNNNNNNNNNNNNNNNNNNNNNNNNNNNNNNNNNNNNNNNNNNNNNNNNNNNNNNNNNNNNNNNNNNNNNNNNNNNNNNNNNNNNNNNNNNNNNNNNNNNNNNNNNNNNNNNNNNNNNNNNNNNNNNNNNNNNNNNNNNNNNNNNNNNNNNNNNNNNNNNNNNNNNNNNNNNNNNNNNNNNNNNNNNNNNNNNNNNNNNNNNNNNNNNNNNNNNNNNNNNNNNNNNNNNNNNNNNNNNNNNNNNNNNNNNNNNNNNNNNNNNNNNNNNNNNNNNNNNNNNNNNNNNNNNNNNNNNNNNNNNNNNNNNNNNNNNNNNNNNNNNNNNNNNNNNNNNNNNNNNNNNNNNNNNNNNNNNNNNNNNNNNNNNNNNNNNNNNNNNNNNNNNNNNNNNNNNNNNNNNNNNNNNNNNNNNNNNNNNNNNNNNNNNNNNNNNNNNNNNNNNNNNNNNNNNNNNNNNNNNNNNNNNNNNNNNNNNNNNNNNNNNNNNNNNNNNNNNNNNNNNNNNNNNNNNNNNNNNNNNNNNNNNNNNNNNNNNNNNNNNNNNNNNNNNNNNNNNNNNNNNNNNNNNNNNNNNNNNNNNNNNNNNNNNNNNNNNNNNNNNNNNNNNNNNNNNNNNNNNNNNNNNNNNNNNNNNNNNNNNNNNNNNNNNNNNNNNNNNNNNNNNNNNNNNNNNNNNNNNNNNNNNNNNNNNNNNNNNNNNNNNNNNNNNNNNNNNNNNNNNNNNNNNNNNNNNNNNNNNNNNNNNNNNNNNNNNNNNNNNNNNNNNNNNNNNNNNNNNNNNNNNNNNNNNNNNNNNNNNNNNNNNNNNNNNNNNNNNNNNNNNNNNNNNNNNNNNNNNNNNNNNNNNNNNNNNNNNNNNNNNNNNNNNNNNNNNNNNNNNNNNNNNNNNNNNNNNNNNNNNNNNNNNNNNNNNNNNNNNNNNNNNNNNNNNNNNNNNNNNNNNNNNNNNNNNNNNNNNNNNNNNNNNNNNNNNNNNNNNNNNNNNNNNNNNNNNNNNNNNNNNNNNNNNNNNNNNNNNNNNNNNNNNNNNNNNNNNNNNNNNNNNNNNNNNNNNNNNNNNNNNNNNNNNNNNNNNNNNNNNNNNNNNNNNNNNNNNNNNNNNNNNNNNNNNNNNNNNNNNNNNNNNNNNNNNNNNNNNNNNNNNNNNNNNNNNNNNNNNNNNNNNNNNNNNNNNNNNNNNNNNNNNNNNNNNNNNNNNNNNNNNNNNNNNNNNNNNNNNNNNNNNNNNNNNNNNNNNNNNNNNNNNNNNNNNNNNNNNNNNNNNNNNNNNNNNNNNNNNNNNNNNNNNNNNNNNNNNNNNNNNNNNNNNNNNNNNNNNNNNNNNNNNNNNNNNNNNNNNNNNNNNNNNNNNNNNNNNNNNNNNNNNNNNNNNNNNNNNNNNNNNNNNNGGGGUCGCCGGUCCCCGGCUGACCGACGGCGAGGGCUGCGAGCCCUCGCCGAAGCGCGGCGAGGGCCGUGACCCUUGCCCUAGAUCUGGGCGAGGGCUCGCGGGCCCUCGCUGACCCUCCCCCCUCCGUCGCCGGCCCUUCCCGGCGACGGCGGGGAGGCGGCGACGGCGGGGAGGCGGCGGCGGCGAGGGCUCAGCCCUCAGCUGCCCGUUCGACCUCCCCCCACUUUUUUUUUUUUUUUAAAUUCUUAAAUUCUUAAAUUUUUUAAAAUUUUCUUAUUUUUUUUUAAAUUUUUUAAAUUUUUUAAAAUUAAAAUUUUUAAAAUUUUCUUUUUUUAAAAAUUUUUUUGUUAAUUUUUAUGCUGAUUUGGAGCUCCGGCGAGCCACGUAGGCAAAAAAUAAUAAUAAAAUAUUGCCACGUAGGAUUUCCGGCAAGGGUCGCCGGAGGUGGCACUUAAGUGUCCCACUCGAAAAAAAAAGUGGCACUUAAGUGUACCGUUUGGAAGUUAUGGCACUUAAGUGUCCCGGCGUGCCAAGUUAUGGCACUUGUGCUGUUCUUCUGCCACUUUUUUCCAUGACCGGUUGUUGCGACCAAAUUUUCGGGUGAACCACCUAGGGUUUGGCUAAUGGAUUGUUAAGCCUAGACUUAACUCGGGCUCUCCCAAUCCAUACCAAUUCGCGACUUAGGUUUAAAUUUUUAACAUGCAGAUAGAUUUUAUCUAGGAGUCGCCACUAAUCUAUUUUUGGUGGGUCGAUUAGAAACCCAAGUAAAGUAACGGGAGAUUUACUUUACUCCUACGAACCAGAGACUAUGGGUAUGGGGACUUAGUUACACUAGAUUUCUCUAAUGCCCUUUCGGUAUCAUUUUUUUAUUUUCAAAAAUGUUUUUGCAGGCAACUUGAAUUAAUUUAAAUUUAUCUCCCUAACAUGUGAGGUUAUCAUGCGGGUGCACAAACCACCAAUUUAACACCCAAGUAAAGCAAUAAAUAAAUUGCAGGACUUACCUCAUAGCAACGAAAGCAUCUGCGUUGUUAGUUCAGAAUUCACAUCAACAGUCCUAGACAUGAUUUUUAGUUAACACGCAAUUUUUUUUUUGUUUUUUUUUUUAUACUUAUUUAGUGAAAAUCAUGCAAUAUGCAAUGCAUGCUAUUAAUCUAACAUGAAAUGAUAUGACAUGGCAGUAUAACUUAAAUUAUAUGACAUGAGUAAAAAAUGCAAUAAUUACAUAUGCAAUCUAAAUUAACCAAAAUGACCUAAUCUUAAUGACGGACAAUUUCUAAUUAAAUGAUCCUAACAAAAAUCACUAAAUGACGUGCAUUUCAUGAACCUAAUUCUAUAUGACGUGCGCAUGAUAUUUCUAUUCUAAAUAAGCAUGCAAUUUAUUCUAAUAUGCAAUGACGUGUAAAGAAUGCCCUAAUUCUAAUUUUUUUCUUUUUUCAUUAUUAUGAAAUUCGAAAUUAAAAAUUGCCAAAUAACUAAACGUGCAAUUCAAAUUUAAAACUAACAUCCUAAAUGAAUGCAUUUUUUUUUUAUUUUUUUAUUUUUUUAAACAAAUUCGAAGUAAAAUCCCUAUUCUAAAUAUGCAAGAUAACAAGAGAUAUUCUAAAACCAACCUAAUUCUAAUUCAAAUAUUUUUUGGAUUUUUCCUUUUACAAAAUUAAAAUUGACUCAACUAACAGGACGGCAGAUCAAAUAAGAUAGGAUCGAUAUCCACAAAUUGGCGAACCAUAUCUUGCGCAUGAGAUCGGGUUGGCUAAUUUUAAAUAAAUCACGAAUCGAAUCUCAAGCGUGAGAUCGGAUUGGCAAUUUUUCAAACGAUUGUGAUUGCGAGUCGGAUUUCGCGCGCGAAAAUCGGAUUGUCAAUCCCAAAUUUCAGAGGCAAUUUCAUGUCGGAAUCUCAAUCAAACAUUAAAGAAUAAUUCCACUAAAAGAAAAAUAAAACAAUAAUAAAAUAAAAUAAACUACCUAGAUUAGAUGAUUCUCGGCGGCAAAGGACUCACGAACGGCGGCGAUUACACGGCUCACGGUGUCGGCGAGCUCGCGGAGAUGGAGCUUGCGGAUAGAGAUUUCGCGGACGUUGGCAGAGGACGCGAGCUGAAGUCAAUGGUCAAGGAUGACUUUCGUUUGGCCUCAACCAAAAAUAGCGUAUCCCACCAGGUGGUGUUCCGCAUGCCUCUUCUCUUCACUACUCAACUAUAUGAAUUAUGUUAUCCCCACGUGAAAACUCAACCUGCAUGAAAAAACAUUUAAAAGAAAUGGUUGAAGAAUCACGUUGCAACCCACGAUAAAGGCAAGUUGGGUGUUAAUAGCAGCUGGCUUCGUCGUUGACGCGGAUUGAUGAUCGUGGGUCAGUGUUGGCGCUUGGGGCAGCAACGGCGUUGCUGGACUACUCGCGGCAUUGAAAGGCUAAGACACGUGGCCAUUAGAAUUGAGCGUCGUCGGGGUUGCUCGUGGCGUUGGGAUGAUAAGCUUCGUGCCCGAAAACUGCAAGAGCUAAUCCGUGCGUUCGCUGGAACUUCAACGCUGGGGCAGGCCGAGGCGGCAAACGGUAGGGACGAGACGUCUACUGCCACCGGGAGGAUGUGGGUUUGGCAUUGAGCUAAGGUGACUAGCGGCUUCAUGUCUGGAUGGGGACGCCAUGGGAUAACAAUUCGGUCAUGGCUUAGGGAUUUACGGCGAGGGCAGUGCUCGGCCCAUGAUAUUGAGGCAUGGCAGCGACAGUGGGAGCCUCGGAGUGGUUUGUUAAUGAUUGAUAACCUGCAAAACAGAGAAACGACUCCACAACAAGGUGAAAGAUCAGCAACGGUAACGGCAGAUCGUCGUGCAGUGUAGGCUGGGAGACGGCAGAUUCUUGGUGUUGAAGCUUGGUGAUGACGGUGUUCGCUGGAUGUUCACCAGAGUUGCUGGGAACUUGCUGCGAGAAGAGUUGAAGGCUUUAUUUGAUUUGGGCUUAAGGCCCGUCCGCCCAAGUUGGGCCCAGAAAUCCCGGCCCACGGGAAUAGGGCCCGUGGAAAGAAGGGGGUAUAAAAGGGAGGAGAGAGAGAGAAAAACACACCGUUUGUUUUGCAAUUCAACGUACGUCUUUUCUCUUCUCACGCUCUCUCUCUCCCAAAAGGAAAGAACAGUAAGCAUACGGCGCGCUUUUCUUCCCUUCAAGGCCUCCUCGGAUUGAACAGAGUCUGAUUUCUCUUCCUCCAUUGGCGUCGGUGCUUAAUCUGUGGCUAACAAGGUACGCUCGAAUCCGUGGUGUGCUUUACGAUCGGUGAUACGUGUUUUCCCGGGCUUUGUCUUCCGCAUUGAUUUAGGGGUUUGAUUUAGUGUCGAAUCCGGUUUUUCGGGGAUCAGUCAUUCCCAACAUUGGUAUCAGAGCCCUAGUUCACGUUUUCCCGACUUGUUUGACGAUUUUUGAUUGAUUUUUCGCGAAAGUGUUUCGGCCGUAUGGAUCGGGGCGAGAAAUCCCGACACCCGAGCGUUCUUCGGCCAUUUUACUGAGUUUUCGUAAGUUGAAACUGUUUUCUGAAUACAUGGGAAGAAAGACGACGUCGAGACGAGUCUGGCAAUGCGUCGUGCGCCGCCGGGAGACGCCGCACGCGCCCACACGCGCGGCCAGAAGCGGCGGCGUGUGGGCGCGACGCGCCCGGAAGUGCUGGCUCGCCCAGUGCGUGCGGCGCACACGCCGGUCGGCGAACUGGCGCGUGCGCACCGCCGGUCGGCGAGCCGGCACGCGCCGGUCCGCGGACCGACGCGUGCUGACGUCACCCAAUGGUCAAUAACCGCUAGGGUGACGUCAGCACGGCGACGAUUCGCCGAGCGGUCACCGGCCGGCAACCCGACCGGCGACCCGAGCCGCGCGAGACCCGGCACGCGCGCGGCGCGUGCCGGAUGACGUCUGCGUGACGUCAGCCCGCGCACGCGCGCGGCACGUGCCGUCGAUUCGCCCGAGCAGGGCCCGCCGGCCCGACCGUUGACCGUUGACGACCGUGGACCAUUGACCGUUGACCGAAAAAAAAAAAAGAAAAAAAAAAGAAUAUGUUUCUUUUUCAAUUAAGUCUAUGUGGAUUAUAAUGUGAUCUCUUAUUUGUUCUGCAUUUGUUGUAGGAACAAUGCCUCCCUUGAGGUUGCGCACACCUAUUCGCGCAAUUACCGAUGAACAAAAGGAUAGGCUGUCUAAGUUGAUAGCUGAGCUGACUGAUCAUCGAUGGGAGAGAGGUGACUUAAUUGAUCAUGUCCUUGAAGUCAACGGGAAAAUUCAACAGGUCAUAUGGAAUGGUCGUCCUAUGUCACAGUCAGAGAUGGUGCGAUUUUUCAUAAACACUCUUCCACCUGAUUGGCAAGAUGUGUUGAAUCGCAUAUGGGAUGUCAACGGAGCUGCUUCCUAUAAGAAAAUUGUGAUGGAUUUUGUAAAUGAAUAUUGUUGUAUUGUUUCAAGGGAAAAGAUCAAGAAAUUGAACAAAAGAGGAUUUUUCUCAGUUCGUGUGCUGACUUGGUGUUAGUUGUAUUGGCUGAUAUAUGUUAAGUGUGAUUUGUGGACAUAUUAUGUAAUGAUUACCACCUAAUUGUGUUAAUUGAAAGCAUUAUUGUUUUUAUUGGAUGUUCUAUUAUAUAUUGCUUUUUGUUAUUGCUGGUUACUAUGGGUAAUUAGCUAUUGGUAGUUUUAGAAGUUUUUGUAGCUUCAUAGAAUUGAUUUUGCAUAAGACAAUUAUAUUGAUGAUAGUUUUAAGUUAGGAUUUUGGAGGAUGAUUGGAAACAUAGUGAUCUUUUAAUUCUGAAACCUUACUUGAAAUUAUUCAUUAAUAUGAUGGGUCUAUGUAAAUAGGGAUGCAUAAAUGAUAGGCAUUAAUAAUUCGUGCAUAUUUGUCUGAUUUGUUCAGAUCAAUGGCUUCGGCCACAAAGAGCAUAGUUGCCGAGCUGAACAAAGGUGAAAAGCUCAAUGGAGACAACUAUGAAAUUUGGCAAAUGAAAAUCCAGUAUGUGCUGGAAGAGCAAGAAGCACUUGAGGCUCUUGUCAUGACCAUGGUAGAACCUGAAGAGGGAACCACUGCACAGCACAAAAGAGACAAAGAAGCUUUUUAUGCGUGGAAAAGAAUGAACUCUCUAGCUCGAUCACGUUACUGAGCAGCAUGGAAAAUGACGUCAUGCGAGAGUUUCGGCGUUUUGACAAUGCUAAGGAAAUGUGGGAGGCAUUGGCAGCUAGAUUUGGUCAUACUUCGAUGACUAGACUGACUCAGCUCAGUUAUCAUGUUUGACAUCUUUCUAAGAUGUUGCUUCAUGGUCUGACUCUUAUAAGAAAGAUGUCAAACAUGAUAACUGAGCUGAGAGAUGCUAGCCAUGUCCUCACAGAUGAGCAGCAAGUGCAAGCAGUGAUUCGUUCCUUGCCUCAGAGUUGGGAGCAUAUGAAGGUGUACUUGACUCAUAAUGAAAAUAUCAAAACCUUUGAGGAUGCAAUGCGUCAUCUUGAGCUGGAAGAGAACCGCUUAUUGGCGGCUAAGCCGGAUGCUGAACUUUAUCAUGCUAGUUCUAGCUUAAAUGGAGCUUCGAGCUCCAAGCGCAAGCGCCCUAACUGGUUUGAUAAGGGAAAAGGCAAGGAAGAAGCAGGUCCUUCAGGGAAGAAACCCAAGUUUAACCAACAUGAAAGAGGGAAGCGUCCCCGCAUGAAAAAGCUUGCAAGGGUGAAAUGCUACAACUGUGACAAGAAGGGUCACUAUGCUCGCGACUAUCGUGAGCCAAAAAAGGUAUGCACCCCUUGUACUUUUCAGAACUUCACUUUUGUGUCGAGUUCUGUAUUCUUAACUGAGUCUAAUCCUUUGUGGACUGUGGAUUUAGGAGCGACGGACCAUGUAGCGAAGGAUAGAGGAUCCUUCGUGGAAUUCCGACGAGUACCAACUGGAACUAAGUGGAUCUAUGUGGGAAACAACUCCAGAGCUGAAGUGAAAGGAAUUGGCACAUGCCAACUGAAUAUGCGUGGUGGACGCACUUUGUUCCUUCAUGAUGUGCUGUAUGCUCCGGAGAUUCGUCGGAAUUUAGUGUCUGUAUUAGUGUUGGUUAAAUUAGGUUUUAAUAUGAACUUCUGUAAUAGAGGUGUGAAUUUGUUUUUGGAUAUAAAUUACUAUGGUUGUGGUUAUUUUCUGGAUGGUUUUAUUGUAUUAGAUAUUGAUUAUGUUAAUACUAAUGUUUGUUAUUCCCUUCUCACGUCUCCUAAUAAAUAUGAUAAUGAUGUGAAUGUGUGGCAUGCUAGACUUGGUCACAUUAGCCAACAGCGUAUGAAUAGACUAGCCAAAGAGGGCUUGUUGGGCAAUAUUGAAAAAGUCGAUUUGUCCAUAUGUAAGCAUUGCCUAGAAAGGAAAACGACAAGAAAACCAUUUGGAAAAGGAAAAAGAGCUGAAUUUCCUCUGCAUUUAAUCCAUUCUGAUGUCUGUGGUCCAAUGAAUGUGAAAGGAAGGCAUGGGGCUAUUUAUUUCAUCACUUUUAUUGAUGAUUAUACUCGAUUCGGAUAUGUCUAUUUGAUUUCUUACAAAUCUGAAGCAAUAAGUUGUUUUAAAAGGUUUAUGAACCUGGUAGAGAAUCAAUUAGACAAGAAAAUAAAAGCAUUGAGAUCCGAUUGAGGUCGAGAAUAUUUAUCUGAUGAGUUCAGAAAAUUAUGUGAUGAAAAAGGAAUAGAAAAACAGUUGUCUAUUCCAUAUACUCCUCAACAAAAUGGUGUUGCGGAGAGAAGAAACAAAACCCUACUGGAAAUGGUUAGGUCCAUGAUGGCGCAUGCUAACUUACCUAUUACUUUUUGGAGUGAUGCGUUGUUAACUGCUGCCUAUAUACUGAACCGUGUGCCUUCCAAAUCAGUUACUUCCACUCCAUAUGAGUUAUGGACAGGUAAAAAACCGGACUUAAGUUUUCUUAAGCCAUGGGGUUGUGCUGCCUAUACACAUGAGUCCUCUCACAAGUUUGGAAAACUGGGUCCCAGAGGAAAGAAGAGUAUUUUUAUAAGGUACUCUGAACACUCGAAAGGAUAUGUGUUCAUAGGUGAGCAGGAAAGUGGGAGUAUAACUGAGUUUGAAUCACGAGAUGUCACAUUCCUAGAGGAUGAAUUUCCUAAGAAGGGCGAAAUAGGGGAAGAUUGUUCCCUAUUUGAAACCUUGGAUCAAGAUAAUGACCUUAGUGGACUUCAUCCAAGUGGGAGCAUAAUGGGGAAUGAUGUGCAAAGUGUACAAUCUCCCAUAUGGCGAACAAGUCGCCAAAGUAUUCCUCGUCGACGUUUUGACAUUGAAUGGGAGACUUUUAUGGUUGCUCCACAAGAUGAGGAUGAGCCAAGAAAUAUUAAUGAGGCUCUGAAUUGCCCUAGUAAGGAAAAAUGGAUUAAUGCAAUGGAAGAGGAAAUGGAGUCAAUGAAAUCAAACCAAGUCUGGGAACUGGUUGAUCUGCCAAAAGGACGCAGAGCUAUUGGGAACAAAUGGGUUCUCAAAAUAAAGCGAAAGGUUGAUGGCUUGAUUGAAAGGCAUAAGGCUCGCCUUGUGGCGAAGGGGUAUAAUCAACAGGAAGGAAUUGAUUAUGAAGAUACGUUUUCUCCUGUAGUGAGAUUUACCUCAAUUCGCAUUAUUCUGGCAAUAGUGGCUAGUCUGGAUCUUGAAUUACAUCAAAUGGAUGUAAAGACUGCUUUCCUCAAUGGAGAAUUAGAGGAAGAAAUAUAUAUGGAACAACCUGUUGGUUUCAUAGUGAAAGGCCAAGAAGAAAAAGUAUGUCGACUUUUGAGGUCGAUAUAUGGUCUUAAGCAGUCAUCAAGACAAUGGUAUAUACGUUUUCAUAAUGCCAUAAUGGCAUAUGAUUUUACGAUGAUUGAUGAGGAUCAUUGUGUAUAUAUCAAAAGAUCCAAGGAUCAAUUUGUGAUCAUAUCAUUAUAUGUUGAUGAUAUACUAAUUGCUGGAAGCAAUAUGGAGUUUGUUAAGACUGUCAAGAGUUGGUUGUCUUCCAACUUUGAGAUGAAGGAUAUGGGUGAGGCUGCAUACAUUCUUGGAGUUAAGAUUUCAAGAGAUCGUUCGAAGAGAUCGUUAUCUCUUUCGCAAGAAACUUAUAUAAACAAAGUUCUAGAACGGUUUCGUAUGCAAGAUUGUAAACCCAUAGACACUCCUAUUGCAAAAGGUGAAGGAUUGAGCCAUAGACUGUGUCCAAGGACUCCACAAGAGAAGGAACAAAUGAAACAUGUUCCUUAUGCAAGUGCUGUUGGGAGCUUGAUGUACGCUAUGAUGUGUACAAGACCCGACAUAUGUUUUGCAGUUGGAAUGGUGAGUAGAUACCAAUCCAAUCCAGAUCCAGCACAUUGGAAAGCCGUUAAGAGAAUACUGAGGUAUCUGAAGGGAACUGCUGAUUACAAGUUGAAUUACCAAGGAAAGGAUCUGCGACUUGAAGGCUAUUCAGAUGCUGAUUGGGGAGGAGAUUUAGAUGAAAGAAAAUCUACCUCAGGAUUUGCUUUCUUACUGAGCAAUGGCGCCAUAUCAUGGAGUAGUAAGAAGCAAACGUGCAUAGCCUUAUCCACGAUGGAAGCUGAGUUCGUGGCGUUAUCAGCAGCAGUACAAGAAGGAGUUUGGCUUAAGAGAUUUUUGGAUCAUUUAGGUGUUAUUGAGAAAGCUGCAAAUCCAUUAUUGGUUAACUGUGAUAGCCAAGCAGCUAUAGCGUACACCAAAGAUCCAAAAUAUCAUGGCAAGACCAAACAUAUAGAUACCAAGUAUAACUUUGUGAAAAGUAUGGUUGCACGAAAGGAUGUGAACUUACAGUAUAUAUCUACGCAUAGAAUGGUAGCAGAUCCUAUGACAAAGCCAAUACCUAGAGAUGUGUUUUGUGGUCAUGUAAAAUCUCUAGGAUUGCGUAGAGUCUGAUGUACUGAAUUGUAAUUUCCCUGAGUUGUUCACAUUUAUGAAAUUUUGUUUUUCAUUGAUUAAUGCCUAUGAAUCUUUGUAUGAUCUUUAUGCAUCUUAAUGCUCAGUGCAUUAUUUUAAGUUGAGAAGUAUGUCGGACAGAUAAAAGAUUAGCCCACUCACAUGGGUAAUUGCCUCUGUUUACUGUGUGAUAAAUAGAGAUGAGACUGAUUUUAAGCUUAUUAUCUAGGUGAUAAUCGAGAGCUCAAGCUUAAAAUAUGUAUGUCGCCUUAACUAAGUGUUAAGAUGAGGACAUAAUACUUACGAUGUCCGAAAGUAAAAUACCCAACAUAUUUUACUUUAUCUGUCUAUGAUGCCAUAUGUGAGUUCUGAUGAACUUUGUGAUUGAGUAGAUAUGUGAACUCAAGUUAGACAUUAGGUAUGUCUGAACUAUCAUCUGUACGGUAUUGAAAAGUGCAGACAUACGCUCCAUGGGAAAGGAGUUAAUACCGUAAUACGUAUUUCAUACUACGUAUGCAUGAGACGACCAAUAAGAGUGGCAAAAAGUUUGAUCUCAACUUUUAUGACGUGUGAGACUCUUAAGGAAAAGAGUUCCUCAAUUUUUAGUCCCCUCAGGACUCUUACUUAUUCUCAAGAUUUCUAUUUAGUGUUUGCUAUCUUAGGGUGUUGCCAAUGGUCAUGAGAUGAUUCGAUCUAAUGGGGCAUUUCUAGAAAAGCAAGCUGGACUGAAAUUGAGAGUUUGAAGGAAAGAGGAAGAUCGAUUUUGGAGAAUCACAUUGUAGUUUUUGUAUUCACUGGUCGACCAAUUAUGAUUGUUUUUGUGAUAAUUAUAAUUGUGAAUACAGUAUACAUAUCAUGUUUAAAAGAGAUCAAGAGAGAUAUAACUUGUGAUCGAUCGAUCUAGGGUACUGCAUACUAAAUCUACUCAGAGUGUGACGCCCAUUAUGAGCUGCUAUAUAUUCCUAACAGAUGUAUAGCAACGAGCUCUCAAAGUAUGCUGGUCGCACGGAUUAUUCACCGGUAUGAAUGUUGAAGAGAGGUAAAGAGAAUCCUGUUUGGCCCACCAUGUGCGAGUGGGAGAUAAAGGCUUUAUUUGAUUUGGGCUUAAGGCCCGUCCGCCUAAGUUGGGCCCAGAAAGCCCGGCCCACGGGAAUAGGGCUCGUGGAAAGAAGGGGGUAUAAAAGGGAGGAGAGAGAGAGAAAAACACACCGUUUGUUUUGCAAUUCAACGUAUGUCUUUUCUCUUCUCACGCUCUCUCUCUCUCCCAAAAGGAAAGAACAGUAAGCAUACGGCGCGCUUUUCUUCCGUUCAAGGCCUCCUCGGAUCGAACAGAGUCUGAUUUCUCUUCCUCCAUUGGCGUCGGUGCUUAAUCUGUGGCUAACAAGGUACGCUCGAAUCCGUGGUGUGCUUUACGAUCGGUGAUACGUGUUUUCCCGGGCUUUGUCUUCCGCAUUGAUUUAGGGGUUCGAUUUAGUGUCGAAUCCGAUUUUUCGGGGAUCAGUCAUUCCCAACAAGAGUUGCUGGGAACUUGCUACAAGAAGCGUUGCAGCAAACUGGAAUCCUCCGGGCAACUCACCAGCGGACCGUGACACGCCAAAGCGACUGCCGGUGUUCUCUGGAGCCACUAAUCUGUUAAGGCAGGGGCUGAGGUGGACAGGAUUACUGAAUCACUGGUGCAGCGCCAUGGAUCUGCAAGAACUUCCGCAGGGGUAGUCAAGAUGCGCGCUUGAGGCGAGGACGGCUUUGAUUCUCGUUCAGGACGUCUAGAGUUCAUUAGAUUAAGUUGCCCUUGAUGGGGCAGGCGCCGAUGUAGCGCGGCACGGACUCGGCCAGGCAGGGGCGUCAAAACUGGGCUAGACCAGCCAAGAAGAAACUGCGCGGUGGUUCUCGGACGCUGCGAGCAAUGCAAUAGCGACAGUCGUCGGGGGCUGCGGUGGCGACCGAGGAGCUUGUGUACGCGGGAGGCCAAGCAGCAGUAGCGAAGGAGACGACCUGUUCCUCUUCCGCUUCCGUUUUCUUCUUUUGGUUUUUCUCUCUCCUGCUGCUACACGUAUCCCUCUCUGCCUCUUCUCUGUUUUCCCUCUGACCUACUGACUUUUCCCUUCCCUCGGCAGCUUUUCUUUUGUGUCGCUCUCUCCAAGGAACGAAGGACAACACCCUAAAACCUUUUUUCCUCUCUUUUUAUUCUCUCUUAUUCGAACCCUGGAGGAGUCCCCCAACGAAAGAGCUUUUUUCUCUCAAUGGCCGUGUAUUCAAUAUGUGUGGCCCCCUGAAACCUACGCAAACAACUUAUUUAUAGGGCGAGAAUUAGGGUUUUAAUUUUUCCAAAUUCAUAUUCACAAAGAUUUGUUUUUUCAAAACGCAAUAUUUGCUCCACAUUUGCCCCAUCCAAAAAAUUCAUCAUAUCUUGGAAAAAUUUCAAAUUCCUAUUUUUCACGAGAUUUAAAAAAACGGGCCUGGGCCAAUUUGCUCGCUUCGUGGGCUUAAUCCAACCUGUCAAUUUAAAGCUCAGAACCACUAAUUGAAACCCAUCCGUCACUGGUCCAAUAAAUGCAAAAAAAAUGCAAAUGCACCUAAAUUUAUAUGCUAUGUAAUUAAUUAAUUAACUAAUUUUUUUAGGGGUUAAAAUUAAUCCCUAAUUUUUUAAUGCGAUAAAUGAAUAAACGGGUCGCCAAAAUUUAGGUGUCAACACCGGUGCUUAACAACACCACCAUCUAUAUAAAGCGGGGUUAGCAUACUGAGAGAUUCGCUACAACUUUCGCAAUGGUUCUUCCUGCUUUGUUCACAAGCUUCGUCCCCUCCCCAAUCAGCCAUAACCAACCCUCUCUCUUGUCCUUUAGACACCCUCGCUGCUCCUCCUCCUCCUUCUCCUCAGGCGCUAAAUCGGUGACAUGCGCCAUGACGAUCGAGAAUCCAGAGAUCGCGAGACGUUCGGCAAAUUGGAAACCUAAUGUGUGGGACUACGAGUUUCUCCAGUCACUCAUAGUUGAUUACACGGUACUGAUCCUUUUUGGUUCGGCACAAUACCCAGCCUGGCUAUGUUCUAUGGAAAAUGUUCACAUCUCGGUCCUGAACUUUGUAUUCCUUUUUUUCCAAUCUUGUCCUUGAACUUGUGGGAAUUCCCUAUCCGAUUUCUUGGUCUAUGGUUCUGGCAAAUUGAAGCUCAUGCGCGUGUCAAUGCUAGAGGAAAGUAUGAUGCAGAAAACUUGGUACAAGUUUUAAGUUCAAGGAUCAUGUUGAGAAGGGGAAAAAAAACAACAUAAAGUUGAGGAUCGUAUUAUUGCUUUUCCCUACUUUCUUUUUACUUUGAUGAGAUAGAGUCCACAACACCCAAAAUGGCAUAGAAACGAAAACGACACUGUAUUCUGAAUUAGAUAUAAGGAUGUAUACUACUUGAGUACUUUUGUAUACGACCAACCACUGCCACUCUAUCAAAUACGACCGACAUAACAAUAUUCCAUAGAGAUACUAAUAAACUUGAUCAAAAUGGCAUAUUCUCAACAAUGCUUACUCUGCUUAUGUAUUACUUUUGAUUAAGAUCUCAUUUUUCUGAAUGUUUUACGUGCCUAGGAGGAUAAAUAUGCCGAGCAAGUCCAAAGGUUGAAGGAAGAAAUCAGGGGUCUAUUCAACAGGGAGAUGAACCAGGUGGCCAAGCUUGAGUUCAUUGACGCGGUUCAAAGACUCGGACUAGGAUACCAUUUUGAGACGGAGACAAAAAAUGCUCUCAGUUCCAUCUAUGACAAUUCCGGAUAUGCUCAGCUUUUGAACGAUCUCCAUGCAGUUUCCCUUGGAUUCCGAAUACUCAGACAACAUAGAUACAAAAUAUCACAAGGUAUUUGCCAUAUGGUUACCCUUUUAUAAAUCAUGUAGAUGCAUCAAAAGUUACCUUACCGUUCCUUUUUUUGGACAUAUAGAUGUGUUUCAACAAUUUAUGAACAAGACGGGCACGUUCAAUGAAUCACUCAAUAAGGAUGUGAGGGGGCUUCUUAGUCUUUAUGAAGCUUCUUUCCAUGGAUUGGAAAGUGAAACCAUACUUGAUGAAGUGAGGAACUUUGCUUCAAAGCAUCUAAAGGAUCUAAACCUUGACAAAGUUCCCGUUAUGUUAGCGAGCUACGUGAGACAUGCAUUAGAUAUGCCGAUCCACUGGAGGCCAAAUAGGUUGGAGGCUCGGUGGUUCAUGGACAUGUACGAGAAACAGCAAGACAUGAUCCCUUCCUUGCUGCGAUUGGCUAAAUUAGACUUCAAUCUAGUGCAAUCAGUCUACAAGAAGGAAGUUAGCAAUAUGGCAAGGUAUGCACAAGCACUUUAUAUAUAUAUGUUCAUGCAAACACCAAACCUGUAGGAGCGCAUUUAGAUCUACUUAGUUGUUGCAUGGUAAAUUGCUCAGGUGGUGGGUUGAACUUGCCGCAAACAAGAUGACCUUCUUCAGAGACAGAUUGGUGGAACACUAUUUUUGGACCUGCGCCAUGGUUUUUGAACCUCAAUAUACAGCUUACAGGGAAAUGACAACGAAGCUCACUUGUAUGGUGACACUUAUUGAUGGCGUUUAUGAUGUAUAUGGGACACAGGAAGAACUUGAGCUCUUAAUAGAUUUUCUUGUUUGGUUAGUGUAAUAUGAUUACUAUCAUCAUUUUCCCUCGUAACUAUUGUUGCCCAGAGAAACGAUAAGGAAUUAAAUAGUCUCUGAAUGACACAAGAGAUACAACAAAUUUUGAUAGUUCUAUGAUAUAAAUUCUCCAAUGCAUUUUGAACAUAUCACUUUUUAAGUUAGAUUUUUUUUUUCGUCUAUAUAAUUGAUUGGUCGGGCAAUUAAAAGUAGUAGUAAGUACUAACUUUCAUUGUUAUUACUAAAAGUGUAUCAGGUGCUGGUAAAAUUUACAAAAUGUUGAAAUGUUGAUAUCUCAUCCAGGUGGGACAUCAUAGAAAUUAAUAAGCUUCCUCCAACAAUAAGGGAUAGUUAAAUGGCCUUGUACAACACGAUCAAUGAAAUUGGGUAUUGGACGAUGAGAGAGUUAGGAAUCAACACCAUUCCUUACAUGCAAAAAGUGGUAAUCUCGCUGAAUCUUUCACCUAAUAAUUUCUAGCCUGUGCAAGGCAACUCACGUUUCUACUUCUGACUUUCGUAAUGGAACUUCCAUUUAAACAUUUGAGAAUUCGAAAAAUGUACGAGAGAAGAAUGUCCCUCUGCUUUGUCAUUGACACACUUUUUUCGAAUUUCAAUCCUCUAGUGUGUGGAUGAAUGCAAGGCGUACAUUAAGGAGGUCCAUUGGUACAACAAGGGCAUCAAACCGACACUGAAGGAGUACAUGGACAAUGCGGUGGAUUCAAUCGAAGGGCUGAUUAUGCUGUUGGGCAGCUACUUCCUAACCACGGACAAAUUGACAGAAGAGGGGCUUGGUUAUGUGUCGAAAAUCCCGAGUGUCAUGCAUUGCUCUGCCAAGAUCCUUCGACUCAACAAUGAUCUCAGUACCUCAUCGGUAAAUUACUUUGACAUUUACCUUUCUCCUUUUGUAUAAUCGCUUAUGAAGAGAAAGCACAUCAUUGAUGGAUUCAAAAAUACAUGCUAUUCUUUUUAAUAUAUUCGAUGAGAAUCUUGACACUUAUGUUUGUGAAACAUCAAUCUCAUUCAUGGUCAAUAUGAAUUGGCACGAGGGGACAACUUCAAGGCGCUAGAAUGCUACAUGAAUGAAACUGGUGCCUCGGAAGAGGCCACGCGUGAACAUGUCAGGCAAAUGGUGCACGAGACCUGGAAGAGGAUGAAGAUGUAUUUGAGGACUACCCAUAUUCUGGGUUCGGGCCUUUUCUCGGCGCUUGUCUGAAAUUGGCACGAGCUUCUCAGUGCUUUUACCAGUAUGGAGACGGACACGGCCUUCCCGACAAUGAAAAAAAGGACCACCUUGUGAGGGCACUAUUCGACCCUGUGCCCCUUGAUUAGGGAUGCAUAUUACUGACGGAGGUGUCACUGUUGGAGAGAGCCUAUCGACUUACGUGUUAUUAUUAGCUUUUGGGGUGGGUGGCUUUGGAAGCUCUGAGACUUUGAAACUGUUAAUUGAAGCCUAUACGAUAGAUAGGCGUUGUACGAGCUCCAUAAAAUUCGCCAAGGAACCUCAUGCUAUUCGGGGCUUUGAGUUGUGGUUGAUAUACAUAAUUGAUAAUAAAAUUUGUGGUGAUUGUUGAUACUUAAUUCGUAGUCGACGCAUCGAAAAGGUAAAAAUGUGACAUUCAGAUUUUUCAACCCUAUCUUCUAUCGAAUAAAUCGGGCAUUUCAUUGACGCGCCUAUAAGGCUAUUCUCAGAACUGAUCAUUCUUGAGAUAACUAGACUAUCUAGGGAAGCCAUUAAGAAAUAAUGAGCAAUUGCAUGGUUAUAUAUUAUAAUGAGCAAUUGCAUAUUAUCACUUCUCAGUCUCAAACAUGCACAUAAGAUCAUUCAAGUGGUGGCCAGUCACUCAAAAGCAUUAUGCACAAUAAUAUAUAACUCACAUAAAUGAAAUCAAUUGCAAAACAUAAAAAUCAUGAAAUUCACAUCAUCAUGAUUAGGCUACAUCGUAGCCCUAACAAAAGAAAAUUAGAACAUAGCAGAUGCAGAAAUAAAAAUAAAAAUCAAACCCAACAUCUUGAAUUAAAGAACCAAAAUUCUAUCACCACUUUGGUCUUCUCUUCAAAAUACUUGAAAAACUCUCAAAACAAUGAAAAACGAUCUAACAAAAGCCUAACUUCUCUCUCUCUCCCUCAAUAUUCUCAUAUUCAUAGGAUAUAUCCAAGAUCCUUAUCUCCAAGCAAUUGUGCAUAAAAUCAGGGAGUAAAUCAAAGGAUUUUAAUUUAAUAUCUAUCUCCCACCGCUCUUUGAUUUGAAUUCCUGAUUUUUGCCAUUACUUUCCUUAUCUUCUCCAUAUCUCAAUAUUCUGCAUAAAUAAGGAAAAUUCAAAUGAUAAGAAGAAAAUCCAAAUAUUUUCUCAUAGAUAUUGCAUUAAUUGUUGUCUAAAAUAGGUAAAAUAACUCUAUUUUUAUAGAGUUAUCAAACCCCCAAACUUAACAUUUUGCUAGUCCUCGAGCAAAAUCAAGACAUAACACAUACUCAAACUAACAACCUCCUCCAUGACGUCUUUCCAUAAUUGCUCAAAUUCACAAUUCAAAGAAAAACACAAAUUUCAUCCAAACAUUGAAAUUGAUUUAUAAGUUAAGACCAAUUCUAACUAUGUGAUCCAAGUGUGUGUGUGAGAGUCCUUAUCUUUUUUGAAUUAUAAGCAAUCCGGAUAAAUUCACAUUGACAUGCAACCUCUAAAAAAUUCUCAAUAAUUAUGACCAAAUCUCAUAGGUUUACUUUUCAUUCAUCUAUCCACUAAUGUAAGCUAAUUAUAAAACCAAAAAUCAAAAGGACUUUUCUCGGUUUGUAAUGUAAGGCUGGGCUAAAUGUGAGAUAACAGUAAUUUUAAGCAAAUCACCUAUCAACACGUUGAUUUCUAGGAUCUAAUUAGAACCAAUGUCACUGUCCAAUUUCACUCUUUCAAGACAAUUUUUUUGCCACUAUAUAUCAUCAUUCUUUUUUUUUUCUAUUUUUUUUUGAAUUGUUUUAUAGUGGAAUUUCUCCUAAAGUCCCUCCUAAUAUAACAUGAAAAUUUCUAACCUAUUGAGUAUCCAAAAUGCUCACUCAAUUGAAAGUUGGAUAGGGAACUAUAAAAGCAAAUUUUUUUUUUUUAAUACACCCCAAACAACCAUACCAAUCACUUUUUUUUUUGCUUUUUCAUACUCCAUCCUUCCUCCUAAAUUUUUAUCAAACUCAAAUAAUUUUUUAUCCUGAAAAUCAACGUGCUCAUAGGGCAUGGGACAAUGAUAUAAUUUGAUAACGGCUAGGCUAAACACUUAUGGGUGUUAAUGAAAAAUUGGAUAAUAAUUAAGGCUCAAUGGGGUGACUAGGGAUAAAUAAACAUGGUUAGCUUGAAAUGCUCAAUCGAUCCAAAAAUUGUCUAAAUCAUUUUCUCAGUUAGAUGUAGCUUAGGAUUUUACCUCAAGAGAAAAUCAAACAAAUUCUAAGAUUUGGGUGAAAUUUAAGAAAAUCACAUACUUCACAUGAAUGUUUUCUAGAUUUAUGCACAAUUCAAAAAUUAAGGACUUGUAGUGCUCAGUAAGUGAAUAAACAUAAUCAGAAUUAAGAUUAACUCACACAUCAAUUGCAAGUUUAAAUAAAAUUUAAAUUUUCUUAAGAAUCGCAAAAAUUCACAACCAAUAAUCUAAUCAUGAUAAUAAAAUAGAUUUAGCCAAAAUUUUUGUCUCCCCCCCCAAAAACUUGAAUGAAGAAGUGUCAUCAAUGUGAAAAAUAGAAAUAGGAAGAAGAAAACUCCCAUGGUUGUAGGAUAAGUUCAUAGAUGACCUUGAUGAUUAAACUCUUGAAAGGAGAUCCCUAAAAAAUUAACCUGAAUAAAAUAGAGAAAAGUUAAUCUUUUUUUUUUUUACAAAACAUGAACUUAAUAAUAAAUAAUAAUUAAAAAAACAUAAUUAAAAUGCUUGGAUUGCCUCCCAAGAAGCACUUGCUUUAUAGUUUUCAGCCAAACUAUAUCAGAUGUCGCUAUUCUAGAGGAUGAAGUUCAAUGGUGGUCUUCUGCUUAUUAUAACCACCUUCAAAGUAGGGCUUCAAACGUUGACCGUUCAGUUUGAAUGUGCCCUCAGUGUCAUGUGCAACUUCAACUGUUCCAUAUGAGGACACCUGUGUAAUUGUGAAAGGACUAGACCAUCGAGACUGCAACUUUCUUGCCAUCAUGAUAAUGAUGUAGAAUGUUUUCCUUCUCUUUAUUUGGAACACAUCUCCUUAACUUGGUUUGCACAUAUUUUAAAUAAGAAAGGUUCUUCCCAAAAAUAAUUUUUAAUAUCAUAAAAGAAUUUUUAACUCUGUUGAUAUGAUAAUUAAGGAGGAAUAAUAUUAUUUAAUAAUUUACAAAGUCGGUGUACCAGGGAAUUUUUGUGGACUUAAUGGAAAUUUUUUUCUCAUUAGGGAACUCUUCCAAAAUUGGUCUUACCUCUUCUUUUAAAUUUGGAAUUCUUGAUAAGUGGUUUGCAAUUAGAUUUUUAGUCCCAUUCUUAUCUUUGAUUUCCAAAUCAAAUUCUUGUAGCAAUAGAAUCCACCUGAUCAACUGGGCUUUUGAUUCUUUCUUUUCAAGCAAAUACUUAAGAGCAAAGUGGUCAAAAUAAACUAUAACUUUUGAGCCAAUUAAAUAAGAGCGAAAUUUAUCAAAAGCAAAAACUACCGCCAAAAAUUCCCUUUCCGUUGUUGAAUAAUUCAAUUGUGCACUUGACAAGGUUCGACUAGUAUAAUAUAUGGUUUGAAAAACUUUGUUCUUCCUUUGUCUCAAAACAGCUCCUACUGCAGAAUUGCUAGCAUCAUACAUUAGUUCAAAAGGUAAAUCCCAAUUUGGUGUUGCCAUAAUUGGUGUUGACAUUAACUUCUCCUUUGAAGUGUUAAAAGCUUGCAUGCAUUCAAUAGAGAAAUUAAAAGGAGCAUAUUUUUCCAAAAGAUUAGAAAGGGGUUUAGCAAUUUUUGAAAAAUCUUUUAUAAAUCAUUUGUAAAAUCUUGCAUGCCCCAAAAAUCCUCUAACAAGUUUCAUAGAUGUUGGCGGAGGAAAUUUUGCAAUGACCUCCACUUUGGCUCGAUCAAUUUCUAUUACGUUUUGAGAAAUUUUAUGCCCGAGCACUAUUCCUUCCUACAUCAUAAAGUGACACUUCUCCUAAUUCAAAAUAAAGUUAGUCUCCUCACAUCUUUGUAAGACCAAAGCCAAAUUAUUUAAACAAGAAUAAAAUGAUAAGCCAAAAAUGGAAAAAUCAUUCAUGAAAAUCUCAAUAAAUUUUUCAACCAUAUCAGAAAAAAUAGCCAUAAUGCAUCUUUGAAAAGUAGUCGAUGCAUUACAAAUACCAAAGGGCAUUCUUUUAAAAGCAAAAGUACCAUAGGGACAAAUGAAAGUAGUUUUCUCUUGAUCUUCUAGUGCAAUAGGAAUCUAAUUAUACCUCGAAUAUCCAUCAAUAAAGCGAUAAAACUCAUGCCCUGCAAGUCUUUCUAAUAUCUGAUUAAUAAAUGGUAAAGGAAAGUGAUAUUUUCUAGUGGCAUCAUUCAAUUUUUUGUAAUCCAUACACACACGCCACCCAGUAAUUGUUCUAGUUGGAAUCAAUUCAUUGUUGUCGUUAUUCUGAAUAGUCAUAUCACAAUUCUAUGGCACAACUUGUACAGGACUUACCUAGGAGCUAUUGGAGAUGUGAUAGAUGAUACCUGCAUCAAGUAGCUUAAUUGUCUCAAUUUUCACUAUUUCUUGCAUCUUUAGGUUCAAACACCUCUGAGGUUGGAUAGUGGGUUUAUAUUAUUCAUCCAUCAAAAUUUUGUGCAUGCAAAUUGAAUGACUAAUUCCCUUGAUAUCUGCUAUUUUCCAUCUAAUUGCACCUUUGUGCUCUCUUAAUACUCUAAGCAAUUUCUCCUCCAUCAAAUCCGUCAAAGAAGAAUAUAUAAUUACCAGUAAAGAAGAAACUCCAUCUAAAUAAGCAUAUUUUAAAUGAGAAGGUAAGGUUUGAGUUCAAGAAUUGGAGGUUCUUCAAUUGAUGGUUUAGGCUUUAUUAUGUGUUGUCCCAACUCCUCAAAUUUAGUUGCCUUUUGCCUUAAAAAUGGUGGAAUUGCCUCCAUGAAAUUUGUGUACUCCUUUAUCUUCUCAUUCUGAAUAUUUUUGUCUCUUGGUCGAAUCAGACAUGCUUCAAGUAGAUCUUUAAAAAUAUUUUCCUGAAAAACCUUAUUCACCAACUUGUCAACUGUCUCAACUCUAAAACAAGAAUUAUCAUCAGAUUGAUAUUUCAUUGUUUUAAAAAAUAUUAAAUGAAACAAGAUCAUCUUGAACUCUAAGAAUCAACUUCCCUUGUUGUACAUCAAUAAGAGCUCUUCUUGUUGUUAGAAAAGGUCGACCUAAUAUAAGUGGUACCUCAAAAUCUUCCUCCAUGUCAAGAACUAUGAAAUCUGCAAGAAAGAUAAAUUUGUCAACUUUUACCAAAACAUAUUUCACAAUACCUCUUGGAUAUUUAAUUGAUCGAUCAGCCAAUUGAAGUGACAUUGUGGUUGCUUUUACUUUGCCCAAUCCUAAUUUCUUGAAAAUUGAAUAAUGCAUCAGAUUAAUAUUUGCACCUAAAUCACAUAAUGCUUUUUCAAAGUAAGAAUCCAUAAUAGUGCAAGGAAUAGUAAAACUCAUCGGAUCUUUUAAUUUGGAGGUAAGUUGUUUUGUAGGAUGGCUAAACACUCCUUAUUUAAUUUCACAAUUUCAUAAUCCUCUAGUUUCCUUUUGUUUGCCAAAAUCUCCUUAAUUUUUUUUGCAUAACUAGGCAUUUGCGCUAAGGCAUCUGCAAAAGGAAUGUUAGGGCUUGCAUGUUUUUAUUCCUCGUUUCUGUUUCUAAACACUUUUUUUGUUUUUUUGUUCCCGGAACACAAAAAGAACAGAAAUGAGAAACAAAAAAAAGUUGUUUCUUGUUCCAGAAACGAUUUUGAAGAAACGCUUCUUCUUCUCUCUCUUCUCUUUUCUUCUUCUUUUCUUCUUCUUUUUUUCUUCUUUUUUCUUUGGCCGGUCACCGGCCUUGGCCAUGGCCGGCGAGGCCGUCGAGGGUCGGCGACCUCGCUGGAGCGUUGCCGGCCCCCGGCGAGGCGGAGCCUCGCCCAACCACGGCGAGGCUCGGCCUCGCCGGCCUCCGGCGACCGGCCGAAAGAAGAAAAAAUAAAAAAGAAAGGAAAAAAAAUGAAAAAUAAAAUAAAAAUAUUAAAAAAUUAAAAGAAACAAAAAAAUAAUAAAAUUUACCAAACGUGUUCCUGUUCAUUUUUUAUUCCGGGAACAAGUUUACCAAACGCGUUUUUUUAUUCAAAACUUGUUUCCCGGAACAUAAACACUUUUUUCUAUUUCUGUUCCCUAGAACAAUUUUUGAACAGAAACGUUACCAAACACACCCUUAAUGUGCAAUCUUUUAAAUACAUCAAGAAAUUUAGAAAAUUACUUAUCUAUUUUGUGCUGCUGGAGUCGAUGAGGGAAUGGAAUUGGCAGCACAUAUGGCUUGGGAUUAUCUGGAAAAAGUUUACUCUUGCUUGUCUCCUUUGAUUGUUUAUUGAUCAUUUCUUCCUUGUCUCUGAAAAUCUCUUGUUUGACAUCUUCUUCUCCCACUUGUUUACCACUUCUCAGGGUUAUAACCUUUAUGUUUUCAAAUGGAUUUUUCUCUGUGUUGCUUGGUAAAGAACCCUGUUGUCUCCCUAACAUCACGCUUGCUAACUGACCCACUUGCAUCUCUUGAUUUCUGAUUGAAGCCUCUUGAUUUUGAAAUCUCACAUCCGUACUUUUGAUGAAGUCAUGAGUCGUAUUAGCAAGUUUGGUGACUAUAUCUUCCAAAUUUGACUUUAUUUCUUCUGAUUGUUUGAAUCCCGGUGGUCUCGUCACAUUCUGAUUAUUCCAUGAAAAAUUUGGAUGAUUGUGCCAUCCUAGAUUGUACGUGUUGGAGUAGGGAUUAUUUUGUGAACUAUUAAAAUUCUCAACAAAGUUAGAAUUUUCAUUAGAUUGUUUAAAAGUAUUAUCUACCUGACACUCUGUGCUAACAUAUCCUUCACCACAAAAAUCACAUGUCAACUUUUGAAUUUUCAUGGCUGAAACACUCAUAUUAUCUAGCUUUUUGUUGAGUGCUUCAAAUUGUGCAACAAUUGUAGUAAAAGCAUCAACUUCGUGAACUCCGCUAACUUUUCGCAUUGGUAGUCUUUUAGUAGGUCAUUGAUAACUAUUGGAUACCAUCUCCUCUAAUAGAUCGUAGGCUUCUUCUGGUGUUUUAUUAUUUAGAGUUCCCCCUACAGCUGCAUCAAUCAUAGAACGAAGAUUUGUACUAGAGCCAUUAUAAAAAGUUUGUAUCUGCAUCGAUAUGGGUAGUCCGUGAUGUGGGCAUCUCCUAAGAAAUUCUUUGAAUCUUUCACAUGCUUCAUAUAAUGAUUCAUUAUCUAUCUGCAUAAACUUAGUAAUAUCGUUACACAUCUUCGCAAACUUUGCAAGUGGAAAGAACUUACCAAGAAAUUUCUAAGCUAUAUCAUUUCAUGUGGUGAUUGAUCCUGCAGGAAGAGAAGAAAGCCAACUCUUAGCUUUGUCUCUAAGAGAGAAUGGAAAUAAUCUCAAUCUAAUGGCAUCAUCUGUAACUCCAUUAUAUUUAAUGGUGUCACAUAUUUCAAGAAAAGUAUCCAUGUGAGCGUCUGGAUCAUCGCUUGGUAGCCCAUUGAAUUGCAUUGAUUGUUGAAGCAUUUGAAUGAGUGACGGCUUGAUCUCAAAAUUGUUUGCUUGAAUUGCAGGUCUUCUGAUACUUAAUGUGGUGCCUUGAACUAUUGGUGCAUCAUAAUCUCUUAAGAGUUUACGUGGAUUUUCAUUAUCAUUGUCUGCCAUCUUCUUAGCAUGAUUUCUCUGUUCUCUCAGUCACCUUUUGAAUGUAUGCUCGAUUUCUAGAUCAAGCUUAGGAAGUUUCCCUUGUUGGCUACGUGUCAUAAACCGAUGUACACCCUAAAAAAUAAAACAAAACGAAAGCUAGAUUAAACUUAGAAUUAUUUGGUAUCAAUAUUAAUUAGUAUUAAACAAACGAUCUCUGGCAACGGCGCAAAAAACUCGUUCGUAAAAUUCUAAACGCAAGUGAACAUGUCGAAUAAGUAAUAUAAUGAUAAGAAAAAGUAUCGUCCCAUGGAGAUCGAUGAUUAAUAAACUAAUUAAAUACUAAAGUAGAUUAAUUCUAAAAUUUAUCUAACAGAUCACAAUAUAAUUGAGAAUAAAUUUAAAAAAAAAUUUGGAGACUAAAUGCAGUAAAUCAAUCAGAUAAAUAUGUUAGAGCAUUCGAUUCCAUCAUAACCAUUAGAUAAGAAUUUAAGAUGAUUGUGGGUACAAGAACAAUAUCAAACAUGUGAUAACAGAAUUUCCUAAUCUAUUUACUAUCAUAUCUCUAGGUAUAACAAACAUACUCAGUUUAUUAAUCCACUAUUUCUAUGUAAAUUAAAAAUAAACAUGAGUGCAUUAAAUUUUUUGAAUAUUCAUGGCUUACAAUAAGUCUUUUGGAUCACCUUAUUAUCAAAAGCUAUACAAAUAACGCGGUAUAUCUCUAUUCACGUUUGAUUCAUGGUUAUAUAUUAUAAUGAGCAAUUGCAUAUUAUUACUUCUCAGUUUCAAACAUGCUCAUCAGAUCAUUCAAGUGGUGGCAUUAUGUAUAAUAAUAUAUAACUAACAUGAAUGAAAUCAAUCGCAAAACAUAAAAAUUAUGAAAUUCACAUUAUCAUGGUUAGACUACAUCGUAGCUCUAACAAAAGAAAAUUAGAACAUAGUAGAUGAAGAAAUAAAAAUAUAAAUCAAACUCAGCAUCUUGAAUCAAAAAAUAAGAAUUCUGUCACCACUUUGGUCUUCUCUUCAGAAUACUUGAAAAACUCUUAGAACAAUGAAAAACGAUCUAACAAAAGCCUAACUUCUCUCUCUCUCCCUCAAUGUUCUCAUUUUCAUAGGAUAUAUCCAAGAUCCUUAUCUCCAAGCAAUUGCACAUAAAGUCAGGGUGUAAAUCAGAGGAUUUUAAUUUGAUAUCUAUCUCCCAUUGCUUUUUGAUUUGAAUUCCUGAUUUUUGCCAUUAUUUUCCUUAUCUUCUCCAUAUCUCAUUAUUUUGCAUAAAUAAGGAAAAUUCAAAUGAUCAGAAAGAAAUCCAAAUAUUUUCUCAUAGAUAUUGCAUUAAUUGUUGCCUAAAAUAGGUAAAAUAACUCUAUUUUUAUAGAGUCAUCAGUGGUCCUCAAACUUUUAACUUAUCUAAUGUGGUCCCUGAACUUUUGAUAGAUAUUCAAUUUAGUCCAUUAACUAUAUGAAAAUGUUCAAUAUUGUCAUUAAACUUGAAUUAAUGGAAAAAUAACAUUAAACACUUCAUACAGUUUAAGAACUAAAUUGAACAUGUACAAAAAAAAUUUAAGCACUACAUUGAACAAAUUAAAAGUGCAAGAACCACAUUAUAUAUUGGGAUAAAGUUUAGGAACUGCAUUGAACAAAUUAAAAAUUCAUGGAUUACAUUACUCAAUAAGUUAAAAUUAAGAAAUCAUUUAUGUUAUUAUUUUUUUUGAAAACUUUGAAACCCUCUGAUCAUGUGUUGAUUAGUGAGUGGAGUGGCCUAUGAUUGACGUGGAAGCCAUGACUAUUCAAUAUUUUCUCACUUUGUGACAUCUUUUCGGCUAUCCUCCAUUUGAGGCAUAUGGUACACUUUUUCGGCAGCAACUAUAGAUAGAAGCUAAAACAAGCUCAAGGAACCCAAGGGAGGCCUUCUGGGUUGGAAGCCAAACUUUGUGUCCAUUUGUGAGAUGUUUGAAACUUAAGACAGAAUCUGACUUUAUCAGUAGUAGAUGUAAUUUCACUAAAUUGACAAUAACAAUAGUUGUAGAUCUAUCCCAUUAAAACUGUCCCUUAGGUAUAGGACCCCUCGUUCAACGAAUUAAUAAUGGAGGGAGAGAUGGUAAGGAGAGGAGAGAAGAUUUUGAAAACUCUAAUGAAUAGGACUCAUUUCGGACUAGUGAUAAUCAACGGGCAAAAUUGGUGCGGUAAGCCACAACUAUCCAAUAGUUUCUCACUUUUAUUAAAUAAUUUAUUGAGCGACACAUCUUUUCAUUUAUCCUUAAUGCAUGUCACCUAAAUCUGAGUGGUGUAAGCACAUGUUGAUCGACAUGCUGAAUCUCUCAAAACUACUAUGGGGAAGAGAUAGUAAUGAGAGAGAAGAGAGGAAAUUUUGAAAACUCUGUUGACACAUAAAUUUUGGCGACCAAUCAUUUAUUUUUUCACAUAAAAAUUAGGGAUUAAUUUUAACCCCUAAAAAAAAAAUGCAUCAGAACAAAAAAUGGAAAAUAAGGGGAUGAUCAAUUAUGCAUGGAAGGUGAGAAUUCUGACUAGCUAUUAUUGCUUCAAUUAGAUAUUCAAUGUUGGUAAAUGUGGAACCGAAUUUCUAGCCACAGAUAAAAAAUCAAGAGAAUAAAAGUUAAAAUGGAAACCAAAUUCAAAAUUGGCGAGGAUAAUAGCUAGAUUGAUAAAUUGAAAGGAGGAAGCGUGGCUUCGAACUUUCUAAAGAUAAGUGGAAGUUUUCUUUAUAAAAGAAUGGCGUAGAAGAAAUUCAAAAAGGGGGGAAUUGACCGGUUUGCAGGAGGAAAAGAAUGAGAGACAGAAGGGAGUGGACGUGAGAGAGACGUGAGAGAGAGGAGAGAGAAAAAAAAAAGAAGGAAAAAGGGGGCUACGCGUCGUCUUCUUCCUCUCGCUGCUGCCCCCCUUUUUGUCCGCGCCAGCUGUUCCGGCACCAUUCACCGCGCUAGCACCGCCUCCGCCAGCCAUCUCCGCGCCUCCGCCGCCGUCACUCCGACACCGCUGCCCUGCCGGUGUCCCGCCAGUCGCCGGAGAUCCCCCUCACCCACGAGCCCGCAUCGGAACCACGAGCGCCUGCCACCACGCCUUCGUUCGAGCGCUAACACCACCUCUGCUGAACGCUGUGCCUCUGUGAUCCGUCGAUCGCCGCCGCAGCACCGCCGUCGAAGCCGUAACACCAGCAAACCUGCGAAGCCGAUCCGCGACAACGCUGCUUCCCCUGCCCCGUCCGGAUCUGCCAAUCGCCGCCGGUUUGAGAUUUGCCGCACCAGCCCAGUCGUCCGCGACCCCUUUUGCCGGCGCCGCUUUGAUCUCACACUUCACGCUGGUGACCUGCGACGACUCUGCGACCUCCUGCUCGCUUGUCAUCGUGCCAGAGUACCGCUCGGUUCGCCGCACCCCUGCGCCGGAGCUCGACGCCGUCGCCGCCCAACAGCCUGCGACGCCCCGAUGCCAAGCGAGCCUCGCACUGCUGCUGACGUCGUUGCCCAGCGACCCGCGAUCCAGCUCCACCUCCGCUGUUGCUCCGAGCUCGAGCCCGCCGCCGUCUACCUGCCGCUGCUCCACGCCGGAACUCCGACGACUAGUCAACGACCUCUGCGUCGCCGCGUCGCCGUGUCCACCCCCAUUGCUUUGCCGUCUCCUUAGGUAGUUUAGUUUUUUUUUCUUCUUUUAUUUAUUUAUUUUAUUUCAUUUUAUCUCAUUUUUUUGUUAUUUAUUUUUUACUUUAUUUAAGUUGUAAUAUUUGAUGUCAAUAAAUAUUGUAGGCAUUAUCUGAAGGGAUUUUGUUUGGAAUUAUUGUAAUUAUUAAUUUAAUCUGAGAGAAAUCGGAUUAUUUUUUUAAUUAUAUUAAUUUUUGAGCUUUUUGGUAGAAUUUUAAUUGUUAAAUCAUUAUAAUUAUUAAUUUGAUAUGUAAGACUUCGGAUCACAUUUUUAAUUAUUUUGAUCUCUUUGUCGGAUAAUUAGGGUUAUAAUAAUCGUUAAUUUGACCUGUGAGACAACAUGUUAUUUUUUUCGAUUAUUUUAAUCCUUUAUUUUGUUGAUAGUUUAGAUUUAAUAUUUAUUUAAUAAUUACUUAUCUUUUUUUUUUAAAUCAAAAUAAAAAAAUCAAAAUUCUGCAUGAGCAUAUAGGUUUAGUAAAUCGGACAUGUAUGUUUAGUAAAUUAGAAUUUUUUUAGGAUUACAUUUUUAGGAUUGCAUUUUUAGAAAUAGGUUAGGGUUGAACCUAAAUAAAUUUUUUAGGGUUUUAGAUAAUGUUCGCACAUUUUAAUUAUCUCAUUUUUCCAAAAAAAAUAUAGUUUUCUAAGAUAGGAUAGAGUUUAAGUCAAAUUAAUCCCUAAAAUAAAUUAGAAAAUUAUCCCUUUUUAGAUAGAUUAAUUAGGGUUUUCAUAAAUUCUGAAUUUCAAUAAAAAAAUGCAAAAAUACUAGGUGCAUGUUAACUAGUUUGCAUAAUAGGAUCAUAUAAUCAGAAUUUGUUCAUUAGUAAAAUUAGGUCAUGAGGUGCAUGUUAAUUAGUUUGCAUAAUAUACCCAUUUAAUUAGAAUUUGCAUAUUAAUAAGAUUAAGUCAUUUAGUUAAGAAAUGCAUUUGUAUAAAAGAAUUCUAAUUUUCAAGAAAACCCAAAAAAAUUGUUUGCUUUGUGUGAUGCAAUUUAUUUGUUGAAUGUUUAAUAAUGAUUGAGCAUUUUUGCGAUCAUCCCAUUGCAUGAUAGUAAUUUAAGUUAAAAUAAAUCCAAGUUGCCUGCAAUUUUUUUUUAUAAAUAAAAAUAAAAGAAAUGGUACCGAAAGGGCAUUAGAGAAAUUUAGUGUACCCAAGUCCCUGUACCUAUAGUCUCUGGUUCGUAGGAGUAAAAUAAUCAUUCAUUAUUUUACUUAGGUGUCUAAUCGACCUACCAUAAACCGAUUAGUGGCGACUCCUAGUUAAUAACCUAUUGCAUGUUAAAUAUUUGAACUUUAAGUCGCAAAUUGGUAUGGGCUUGGGAGAGCUCGAGCUAAAUUUAAAGACUUAGUAGUCCAUUAACCUAAUUUUAGGUGGUGCACCUGAAAAUUAGGUCACGAAAACUCUAAUGAGUAGGAUUCAUUUCAGUGUUAAUCAAUCUCGAAAAGCCACAACUAUCCAAUACUUUCUCACUUUUAUUAAAUAAUUUAUUGAGUGACACGACAUCUUUUUGUUUAUCAUCAAUGCAUGUCACCUAAAUCUGAGAGGUGUAAGCAUAUGUUGGCUGACAUGUCAAACAUCUAACGUCUACUAUGGAUGGAUGCUGGAAGGGGGGACUUUUUUGGAUUGGAAGCCAAAUUUUGUGUUCUUUUGUGAGAUAUUUGAAAGUUCUCAUAUAGAAUCUGACUUUAUUAUUAGCAUGUGUCUAGAUUGACAAUAACUAUGUUCCUAGAUCCAUGUUAUUAAGAUUUUGACUUUGAUAUAGGACACCUUUGUUAAGCCUCAAUCGAAGCUCAUCUAUGGACAACGUCUUUGUGUAUUGAUUAUGAUUUCUCAGUCUCAAUAAACAACAACCAUCAAAAGUUACAUGUGAAAAGCAAAUUUUUUUAUCUGUAGGCAUUGUAGGACAAUACAUACGGUGGAAAGGAAGUUUGGUGGAGUCCUAGUUUGAAUGGGAGACAUAUCCUACUAUUCAUAGCCACCUUAGGAAAGGGAGUUUGGUGGAGUCCUAGUUUGAAUGGGAGACAUAUCCUACUUUUCAUAGCCACCCUAGCCAAACUCACAUUGAUUUUGUAGUAGAGACGCCCUAUUGAUUUGGAGCGGCUAGAUUUGGGGGCAUUAGUUUUCGCUUCUUUAGAAGGAUUUUGUGACAUUUGCGAUCGAUAGCAAACUACCUUCAGCUGUGAGAGUAGAGAUAUGAAAGCACGAGGUUGCAUUUAUUCCUGACUUGAUGUCGUGAAAACGUUCUAUUACAUUUUUUUUAUGGUUUCUUUUUGAAAUUUGGCGAGUCCUCACUCAUGUUCUUUGAUAUUCUUUAUUUAUUUGUGGGAUGUUUGAAACUUUAGACAUAAUCUAACUUUAUCAGUAGUAGAUGUAAUUUCACUAAAUUGACAAUAACAAUAGUUGUAGAUCUGUCCCAUUAAAAUUGUGACUUAGGUAUAGGACCCCUCGUUCAACGAAUUAAUAAUGGAGGGAGAGAUAGUAAGGAGAGAAGAGAGAAGAUUUUGAAAACUCUAAUGAAUAGGACUCAUUUUGGACACGUAAUCAACGGGCGGAAUUGGUGCGGAAAGCCACAACUAUCCAAUAGUUUCUCACUUUUAUUAAAUAAUUUAUUGAGCGACACAUCUUUUCAUUUAUCCUUAAUGCAUGUCACCUAAAUUUGAGCGGUGUAAGCACAUGUCGACCGACAUGAUGAAUCUCUCAAAACUACUAUGGAGAAGAGAUAGUAAGGAGAGAGAAGAGAGGAAAUUUUGAAAACUCUAAUGAGUAGUGUGACAUCCCGAUUUUCAACCCUGCUUUCGACUAAAUGAAAUAGGCUUUUAAUCGAUGCACCUAUAGUCUUUUUCUCUGAGCUAGUCACUCACAAGAUAACUAAUCUAUUUGGUGAAGCCGUUAAGGAAUAUAAACGCGACUGAUUUGAGAACUCGAUCAGAAAUCGACUGCUCGACCGUGCUAAUCUGCAAGAGUCAAUAUAGCACAAUUAAAAUUGAUUAGAAACUGGAGAUAGGUCGUUUCGACAGAGGCAUGUAAGUAAAGUGUGGGUGAUUCCACCUGAUUGCAAAAUUCAUGUUGAACGGCACUAAACCGAUUUUUCUGUUGUUUCUGUACUCCGUGCUUGUAUUUGAAAUUUUGAGAUUUUUACGACAAUCGAGAGUCGCCUAUGAGUCGAAGAUGCAUAUUGUGGAUCAAAAAUAAUCGACCGCGAGUCAAUUGCGCUAAAAAAAUUCUUAAAAGCUACUCCAUAGGUUAGGUUAUGCUAAAAUCACAUCCGGUUGAAAUUAACCACAAAAUUGAACCUGAUUUCAGGAAUCAAAAGUUCUAGCAUGUCACAAUUAUUUUAGGAACAUCGACUCAUCCUUCAAAGAAUUUUUGAUAAGCGCAGAUUUUUGGCGAAAAUUCAAAAUUGAGCGAUUUUGGACCGGGAAAUUCGGAUGACCGUUCUUGGGUGGAUUUUGACCUUCAAGUUUGAUCAAUUGGUGAGGAACAUUAUGAAAAUUGGUGUGGGUUUCCUCCUCAGCAUCUUGGCCAUUUAAUUGAGUUCAAUUGGAGUGAAAUUGGUGUGAAAUUGAUGAGGGAAGUCACCAAAUUCGUAGGCCAUGGGAGGUUGCAACAUUUGGGUAUCAUCCUUGGCUUGUGGAGGAAGAUUGAGUGGGAAAAUGGCUGUUGUCCUUAGCUGAUGGCUGGUGGGGCCUUGCACUUGAGUUCUAGGAUAUUUUGGCUUGACUUUGUGGUCCCUUUGUCCCCCUCCAUCCAGCAGUAGCCUCAUCUUCUUCUUCAUUUGGAUCAGCUAAAGACUCCAUUUCCAGAGCCAAGCAACUAGCAAAGCUCCUUAUCGAACUAGCUAGUAGCCCGCAAGCCAUCGUCGAGAUUGCAAGCCGCCCGCACGCCAUCUUGCUCGUCUGCUCGUGCUCCGUCUCCUAUUCGCAUCCCCCGCAUCCUGAGCUGUUGUCUGCUGGUGCUAGCGUCCGCCGAAUCCAACUUGUCGACUAGCUUCUUCGUUGGCUGCCUUAGCUUAUCCCCAACGUUGCCUGGUUUCGCCAUACUCACUUCUGUGCUAGUCCAGCCGUUCCAGCCAUCUUAGUCAUUCAGUCCAGCCAAAGUAGAAACGAAACUCACAGCCUGGGCUGUGAGCUUCAUGGGCCAUUUCUGGGCCCUUCUAAGCCUCGUUGGGUGUCACCGUAGACCCGAGUCUUACACGCUUUGCGUCACCGUCGCCGUGAACUCAUCGGCUUGCUAAUUCGAUGAGUUUACUUGCUAAAAUCUACUUAAGGAGUUAAUUAUACUUAGAGGAGGAUUAGUUUAGACUAAGAUUAGGUUAGGAGGAUUAGUUAGUGUAAUUAGUGAUUUAGUUAGUUAAUUAGGCUAAUUAUGUGGUUAGAUUAGUUUAGUUAGGGGUUAAUUAGACUGUGUUAUAGUUAGCUUAGUACAUUCUUUAUUCAAGUCCAAUUAGGUGGUUAGAUUAGUGUAUAUAGCUUAAUUAGUGAUUUAUUUAAUUAUUUUGUAAUUUAUUUAAUUAUUUAUUAUUUUCCAAAAGUUAUACCGAGAUAGCCAGUCGUUAGAAUUUUGUGCUGAUUGUUGUGGUGUAACUAGUUUGUGCAAUUGAUUGUUAAAUUGUGCAAUUGAAUGAUGAUUAGUGAAUUUUGAUUUAUUAUUUCAGAAUUAUGGAUGUUUGGUAGUUAAUUAGAAAAUACUAGGUGUCGGGUUUUGACACCAAAAAUGUUUUUAAGUACUAUAUCAAAUCAUGGGAUUUUUAAAUGAGAGAAUAUAACUUUUUAUGGCUUAAUCUGACCGUGUACUCAUACACGAUUAUUUUUCCGGGUGUUCUUAAUAUGAAGAAAAUAGGCCAAGUACAUUAUUUAAAUUGAGACAUUUGAGUGUAAAGCACAAUGUUCUUGGUCGGGAUUGGGUGUGCGUGUGAUCUUAUGAGACCCUGUCACGAGCAUUUACGUCGGGCGAUGCUCCUAUAUGGAAUGCCCUUGUUAACGGAUGCCGGUUGUAGUAGAGGUUGGGUCGAUGCUACUUUGGGAAUACCGUCUAAAGGUAAACGUUGCUGUGCUCGAUGGGGCGUGACGAUGCUCGGUUACGCUGGAAGACCUCCGAACGUCGAGUAGGCCAUGCUUGUGGGGCUGUAAUUAAUUGGAAUGCUUAUUUGAGUGAGAUAUAACCGCGCCUGAUUAUGAGACAAAACUGUGUGACACGGAAUGAGAUGUAUCAUAACGAUUUGGCCUUAUAAUUGGGACCCCUGUGAUUGAUUGAUUUGAAAGUGAGGCGUUCUAGUUAUUAAUUGCAUUUACUGCAUUUAUAAAUGUUAUAUGAGUUGUACUAACGUGCAAGGAGGUGCUGAGGCGAGGUAAGUCUGCUAUGGUGUGUGAUUAGACUACCUUUAGGUGUAUUACCUUCCUAAUCGGGGUUUAGGGUGUGAACUCGCUUAGACAUUGUCUCAUCUUGUCUUGGUUUAACUUUUUACAGGUCCUUAGAUAGAAGUUUGUCUUGUUCAUUUUGGGUAGCCGCGAGGGUAUAACAAGCAGAGUACCAUCUUCCUUGUCCCCGGGAAUCCCUGGACCUGUGAACUCGUUGUGACCAUGAUCUUGGUCGAUGAGGGCCUACCUCAGUUGGUACCUCAUCAAUUCAAGGCAUGGUUUUGUCAUGGGCCUAAUGGGGAACGGGAAGGUCCCGUGGAUGUUUUUGACGGACCCACCGUCGAGAGUGAGGGUGAGGUGGUACUCGACCCUGUUGUGGACGCCGAUAUUAUCGCAAAUAUCAAGGUGAACCAGUUACCUGAGGAUGAGCAAGAGCUCGAAGUUGAGGAGGUAGUUGACCCAUUAGACAUCGACAUCCCCGACGGUGUCGUGAUAGACCUGGAUCCCAAGUAGAUAGGGUCCGGGGUAGGGUUAGCUAAGUAGUCCUUUUUGGGGCCUUGACUUUUGUAUAUAACUUUGCAGGCUGACCUGGAUGUUUAUAAAAGUGUGGUUUGUUUAAAUUGAUUGUCCCGCUUUUCUAUCCCAUGUGGAUUAUUGUCUGGGGAUUGUUUAUUUUGCUUCUGCAUGUGCAUGAAUCGUUUUGGGUUGGCGACGCAUCUUGGGAACAUCGCAAUUUGAUUGACCAUCGAGGGAUGUGCGCGUGCUCGAGGUUUGGGACGUGACAAGUAGGACUCAUUUUAGUGUUAAUCAAUGAGUGGAGCUGGCACGGAAAGCCACAACUAUCCAAUACUUUCUCACUUUUAUUAAAUAAUUUAUUGAGUGACACGACAUCUUUUCGUUUAUCAUCAAUGCAUGUCACCUAAAUUUUAGAGGUGUAAGCAUAUUCGGCUGACAUGUCAAACAUCUAACGUCUACUAUGGAUGGAUGCUAGAAAGGGGGACUUUUUUGGAUUGGAAGCCAAAUAUUGUGUUCUUUUGUGAGAUAUUUGAAAGUUCUCAUAUAGAAUCUAACUUUAUCAUUAGCAUGUGUCUAGAUUGAUUACUAUCUUCCCAUAUCCAUGUUAUUAAGAUUUUGACUUUGAUAUAGGACACCUUUGUUAAGCCUUAAUCGAAGCUCAUCUAUGGACAGCGUCUUUGUGUAUUGAUUAUGAUUUCUCAGUCUCAAUAAACAACAACCAUCAAAAGUUACAUGUGAAAAGCAAAUUUUUUUUUUUAUCUGUAGGUGUUGUAGGACAAUAUGUAUGAUAGAAAGGGAGUUUGGUGGAGUCCUAGUUUGAAUGUGAGACAUAUCCUACUAUUCAUAGCCACCCUAGCCAAACUCACAUCGAUUUUGUACUAGCGACGCCCUAUUGAUUAGGAGUGGUUGGAUUUGGGGGGGCAUUAGUUUUCGCUUCUUUAGAAGGAUUUUGUGACAUUUGCAAUCGAUAACAAACUACCUUAGGCUAUGAGAGUAGAGAUAUGAAAGCAUGAGGUUGCAUUUAUUCUUGACUUGAUGUUGCGAAAACGUUCUAUUACGUUUUUUUUUAUGGUUUCUUUUUGAAAUUUGGCGAGUCCUCACUCAUUUUCUUUAAUAUUCUUUCUUUAUUUUUUUUUGUUUAUAUGCAAUGGUAUUUGGGAGAACGUUUUAUAAUUUGAGAACCAAUUUUUAUAAUAAGGAAAAUAAAAAGUUAGAGGCUUUUCAUGAUAUUUGGCCUUCAAAUUAUUUCUAUUUUGUCUACUAUUGCUAAUACUUCUAUUAGUUUAUCUUAAAGGAGACAACAUUUUUUAAUGACUAUUUUUUAUAGAAAAAAUUAAAGUCGGAAGUUGGGGAUAAUCAGUAUAUUUCCUCAAAUGUCGAUAUUUCUAGGAUAAUAUAUAUGUCUCCUUUAACUGUACAUAUCCUCGAUUGAAAAUUUUUCAUUACAAGAGAAACAAUAAUUCUCUCUUACACAUAUUUCUUCUCUUACUACAGAGCUUUUUGUGGGGGAAAAAAAAGAUACGUAAGUGCCAUAUGACUUUUUUGAGCAGUUUGGUCCUAUAUCGCCACGUUGGUCGAAUAUUGAUUGCUACAGUGCUUCCCGUGAAAAAUUCCGGCGAUUUGUUUUAUGUGGUUUUUAAAAUAAAUUUUUAAGUCUGGUGUGGCAUUUUAAAAAGAAAUUGAAGUCUGGACAAAGCACAAGAGGACGUGGCACUUGUGGUACUUGAUUUUGCGCUGAGUUUUCUGCAACUUGCAAUUUUUUUUUUUGGCAAGGUUGCAAUUUUUUAUUUUCAUCAGAAAAAAUAUCAAAAAAGUCUUGAACCUAUUAUAUUAAUACCAAUUUAAUUCUAAACAUUACAAUUAAAUAAAUUUAAUCCCAAAUACAUUUGUGCCAAUUGAGUCUAUUCAAACAAUAUUCACUAGAAACCGCUCACACAAACACCGGUUGUCUUAUGUAGCAUGAUUGAGGUCAAGAUGGAUAAAUUUUUAAUAUUUUUUUCUGAAUUUUUACUAUUUUUUUUUUCAUUAUGGCCAAAGAAGCCUUGUAGCCUAGCUGAGGGACUGUGACACUUGCUAGUGGCCAGCAAGGGCUCACAAGCCCUCGCCUGGUGCUUGGCAAGGUUCGCUAGUGACCUAUUUUGACCACAAUGGAAAAAGAAAAGAAAAGAAAAGAACCAUAAUAAAAAAGUUUACAAAAAAUUAAAAAAAUGUUAUUUGUCCAUGUCAAUGCUAAUUGUGCCACAUAGGACGGGAUGUCAAAGUUAGUGAUUUUCGGCAAAAAUUUACCGGAUGAACUCAAUUGUCACAAAUGCAAAAUGUUUAUGACUAAAUUGGUUCAAUUGAAAGAUUUAAAACUUAAUUAAAAUCAAUGUAAUAAGUUUAAGAAUUUUUUUUUAAAUACUUUUCCUUUUCACCGUCUUGUCAGUCACGAAGGGGCCAUUCCCGCUUCAAUACUCCUCAAAUUGGAAGAUCAAUUCCUUUGAUAGUUACCAGUAGAUCCCUAAACGGGAACACACGUGUGGCUUCGGCUUCACAUUGCAGAGCAACGCCUAGCCUCCACCACUUUGUCCUGACCAAGUUGACAUGAUCGGGAACCACUUGUUAAUUACAACAGCUAAUUUUGCCUAGUUCAUCGUUUGUGGAGUUAGGGUUUCAAGAGCACAAUAACUUAAUCUAAAAUUGUUAAUUUAAGGCAAACAAAUGUGAUGCGAGACUUCUUUUCCAAUGAUUUUAUUUUGUUGGCAAGCUGCAUCGAACAUUUUAUAUUAAAAUAAGGCUAUGUCAGAUUUUCCAUAUACACAAAUCGCCAAUGGCACUAAGGCGAUUAAUUUUUCAGCAAAAUUGCAUUGAAGUGAUUGGGAAAAAGGUUGUGGCACUGAAACGAGUACUAGGUUAUGACACUUGAAGCAUUAUUUUCUUAAGCUUUUGUUGUUUGAGGAAGAGUUCAUUGAGCCUUUUACACAACAUUCGUAGCAACAAUACAUGAGUCACGUCGAUGUCGUUUUCCACUAAACUCGCCGCUCGAGUGCUGUUCUGACGAUUUAUGUUGCUUGUUUCGAAAAACAAGCACAACCAUUAGAUGAGCUGAAUUCGGAAAUUUCGUUGCCAUUCGCUGCCCCAAGUGCACCUUAUGCGCCUCUGCCCCCAUUGGGUUCACACGCCUUGUGCCUUUGUGCGCCGAAAGCUCCUUCGCAUGUAUUGUUGACGUCAUCACACAUCAGUACUGGCGAGGCAUCCAGUCAAUGCACACGUCAUGUAGAAAACGUUUGGCAUGUAGAAACAAAAAUAACUCAUCUAAACUUCCAUUAACACCCAAUCUGAUUGAACUUUAAAUUUUUAGGUUCAUUUUCACCUUACCUUUUAAAUGUUUAAACAACCCAUGUACAACCUGAUUGUAAAAAUAUGAGUCAAAGAAAGGUUUUGUGUCAUGUUUCGACACCAAUAUUUUUAAAGCACGGGGUUUUUAUCUCUCCAAAUUAAACAUGGUGUGUCGAGGAUAACCAUUUUAGGAGGGAAAAAAAAUAAGCAGGUGAAUUACAAUGCUUGGAGAAUGGCUCGUGUAAAUAGAAAAAAUUGCACCGAAAGCAACUAAAAACAUUUCCAUGACGGCCUCCACAACAACCCCCAUAUAAAGGAUGGUUAGCAUACUAAGAGACAUGCAAUAAAUUUCGGAAUGGCUCUUCCAGUUUUGUGCCCAAGCUUCCUCCCCUCCGCGAUCUGCCAUAAUCAACCCUCUCUCUUAUCGUUUAGACACCUUCGCUCCUCCUCCUCCUCCUCCUCCGGCGCCCAAUUCGUGACAUGCGCUUUGAAGAUUGAAGAUCAAGAGAUUGCAAGACGUUCGGCGAAUUGGGAACCCAGUGUUUGGGACUAUGGUGUUGUGCAGUCACUCAGUGUUGAUUACAUGGUAAUGAUUUUCAUUUUUCGCCACAAAACCCAGCCUAGCUUAAGUACUCUGGAAAAUAUUCACAUUUGGUCCUGAAUUUGCGUUCUUUUUCCAAUUUGGUCCUCAAACUUGCAAAAAUUCCCUAUCAAACUUUUUGGUCUAUGGUUCUGACAAUUUAAAGUUGAUGUUCAUGUCAAUGCUAGCUAAAAGUAAGAUGUGGAAAAACUCGCCAUUAUUGUGGAUAUUCAAUUCGCGAAACUACAAAAACAAUAACUCGAAGAUAAAUUUCAGCAAAUUUCACUAACACUUUCUUCCAUGAUGGCACUCAUUAUUUGAAUAUUAGCCUUCUGUUGGCAUCAAUUAGUGCCUCGGCUUCACUUUGCUGUGUUCAAGUCUUAAGUUACCAUAUUGACAAAAAAAAUAAAAAAAUCAGUGAGCUAACCGCACUUUUUCCCUAUUUUCUAUUUACUUUGAUGGGAUGGGUCCACAAAUUCCAAAACGACAUAGAAACGAAAGAAAAACUGUACUUUGAAUUAGAUAUAUGUAACAUCAAUUUACAUAUUCAUCCAAUGCCAUAGUAUCGAAUGUAUGACCAACCACAACAAUAUUAUAUAGAAGAUAUUGACAAACCUGGUCAAAAUGGCAUAUUUAGACAAGAGCUCAACAGUGCCUAUUAAAAUGUGUCUGCAAAUAUAUUGAGAAUCGAUCUGUUUUAAUACGAGAGGCGAUAUUCUAGUUUGCUUGUGCAUUAACUUUGAGUUCUUCAUGUGCCUAGGAGGAUAAAUAUAUGGAGCAAGUUCAAAGGUUGAAGGAAGAAGUUAGGGGUCUAUUUGACAGGGAGAUAAAUCAGGUGGCCAAGCUCGAGUUCAUUGACGUGGUUCAAAGACUAGGACUAGGAUACCAUUUCGAGACGGAGAUCAAGAAUGCUCUAAGUUCCAUCUAUAACAACACCGAAGAUGCUCAAAUUUCAGAUAAUCUCUAUGCUGCUUCUCUUCGAUUCCGACUCCUCAGACAACAUGGAUACAACAUACCGCAGGGUACUUGCCAACUAGUUUACCUUUUGUGGAAUAUGUUGACGCAUCAAAUUUUACCCUACCAUUUCAUCUGUUGGACAUGUAGAUGUGUUUCAAAGGUUUAUGAGCAAGAUGGGCACAUUCAACGAAUCGCUCCAUGAAGAUGUGAAGGGGCUUCUUGGUCUUUAUGAAGCUUCUUUUCACGGAUUGGAAGGCGAAACCAUACUCGAUGAAGGUUGGAAAUUCGCUUCAAAGCAUCUGAAGGAUCUAAACCUCAACGAAGUUCCCACUGAUAUAGCGAGCAACGUGAGUCAUGCAUUAGAUAUGCCGAUCCACUGGAGGCCAAACAGGUUGGAGGCUCGGUGGUUCAUGGACAUGUACGGGAAACAGCAAGACACGAUCCCUUCUUUGUUACGAUUGGCUAAAAUAGACUUUAAUUUAGUGCAAUCAAUCCAUAGGAAGGAAGUUAGCAAUCUGGCAAGGUAUGCACAAGCACUCUAUAGUUCAUGCAAUUUGGCAAAGUAGGAGUGCAUUUUGAUUGACUUACUCAUCAUAUGACAAAAUUUUCAGGUGGUGGGUUGAACUUGGGGCGAACAAGAUGACCUUCUUUAGGGACAGACUAGUGGAAAACUAUUUUUGGAGCUGUAUAUUUGUUUUUGAACCUCAAUAUACAGCUUUCAGAGAAUUGAAUACAAGGAUUGGUUGUCUAGUGACACUUAUCGAUGACGUUUAUGAUAUAUAUGGGACGCCAGAAGAGCUUGAGCUCUUAACAGAUUUCAUUCUCAGGUUAUCACUACCAUCAUAAUUUACUCUUGUAACCUAUUAUGGCCAAGAAAAAAGACGGAAUUAAUUAGUCUAUGAACAUCUUGCCCAGAACAAAUCCUGAAAAUUGUAUUAAUGAAAUAAAUUCUUUGAUGUGUUUUGCUCAUAUCAUGUUUUAUGUCAGCUUGUUUUUCUUCUAUGUAAUUGUUUGGUUUCAGCUAGUAAAGUUAUGGUAUGCACUAAUUGUCAUUGUUGUUACUAAAAAGCAUAUUGAAUGACGGUAAAAUUGAUAAGAUUAUUGAAAUGGUGAUAACUUUUCUAGGUGGGAUAUUACAAAUAUAGAUAAGCUUCCUCCAACAAUAAGAGAGAGCUUUAUGGUCUUGUACAACACGACCAACGAAGUUGGGUAUUGGACAAUGAGAGAACGAGGAAUCAACCCCAUCCCUUGCGAAAAGUGGUAAUCUUGACUUGCUAAAUCUUUCGCGUUAUAAUUUCUAGCCCGCAUCAAUUAACUCAUUUUUCUACUUCUAACUUUCCUUAUGACUUCUCUUUGAACAUUGAGAAUCCAUGAAGGUGUGAGAAAAGAAGGUCCCUCGACUUUGUCAUUGACACCUUUUUCGAAUUUUAAUCCUAUAGUGGGCCGAUGAAUGCAAGGCGUACAUGAAGGAGGUCUAUUGGUACAACAAGGGCAUUAAACCGACACUGAAGGAGUACAUGGACGUUGCGGUGGAUUCAAUCGGAGGGCUGAUUUUGAUGUUGGAUAGCUACUUCCUAACCACGGACGAAGUGACGGAAGAGGGACUUGAUUAUGUGUCAAAAAUCCCGGGUGUCAUGCAUUCUUCUGCCAGGAUCCUUCGCUUCAAUGAUGAUCUCAGUACAUCAUCGGUAACUUACUUUGAUAGUUGUGCUUUCUUAUAAAUUAUCUCUUAUAAAAAAUACACAUUAUUGGAAUAUCCACAGUGAUAUGCUAUUCAUUUUCUAUAUCUCUGAUACAAAUGUGAAAUGAAUGUGGAGAAUUAUGUUUGUAACCCAUCAUCAUUGUCCAUGCUUAGCAUGAAUUGGCACGAGGAGACAACUCCAAGGCAUUGGAAUGCUACAUGAAUGAAACCGGUGCUUCAGAAGAGGCCGCACGAGAACAUAUCAAGCAUCUAGUGCUCGAGACUUGGAAGAAGAUGAAUAAAGAAGUGUUUGAGGACUACCCAUUCUCCGGGUUCAAGCCUUUUCUCGGUGCCUGUUUGAACUUGGCACGGGCUUCUCAUUGCUUUUACGAUUAUGGAGACGGACACGGCCUUCCCGGUCACCAAACCAAGGACCAUCUUGUGUCGACUAUAUUUAAAUCCGUGCCCCUCGAUUAGGGAUGCAUUGUUGACCAAGGUCUUGCUAUUGGAGAGAGCCUUUAAUCUUAUGUGUUAUUGUUAGCUUUAGGGUGGCUCUAUGAUCUCCAAGAUAUUGAAACUACUGUAAUUGAAGCCUAUUGAGGGGUGUUUUUACAAGCUUCAUAAAAUUGGGCAGAGAACCACAUGCUAUUCCGUGCUUUGCGUUGUGGCUGAUUACAUAAUUGCCGAUCGUAUUUGUGGUGAUUGAUUUCUAUUUUAUGUUAAAAAAACAUAGCAUUUUAUAUUGGAGAAAAAUUGAAAAGAAAAAGAACCAACAACAGAAAAUAAUUUAUGUAAAAAAUAUAUCAUUAUUUUGCCAAGAUUCUUUGACUUACCAAUGAUUUUAGUACAUCGUCGGUAACUUACUUUUAUAUUGUUCCUCUCCUUGUAAAUAGUGGCUAUAAGAACAAAGAAGUACAUCAUUGGUAUAUUUGUAGCGGUGAGCUAUUGUUUUUAAUUUCGUCGAUGUGAGAGUGAGAAGAUUAUUUGGACAUAUUUAUAGCCCAACAAUAUUGUCCAUGCUUAGUAUGAAUUGGCACGAGGAGACAUCUUUAAGGUGCUAGAAUACUACAUGAAUGAAACCAGCACUUCAGACGAGGCUGUGCGGGAACACAUGAGGUAUACAAUGCAUGAGACCUAGAAGAGGAUGAAUAGAGUUGUGUUUGAAGACUACCCAGUUCCUGGAUCCAUGCUUUUUCUUGGUGUCUAUUUAAACUUGGCAUGAGUUUCUCAUACUUGCUAGUGACAAAGCCAAUGAUCAUUUCGCGUUGGCUAUAUACGAACCUUUGAGUACCAUAUUGAUUACUACAAUGGCUUCGGUGAGAUAUUUGGGCGAUUGGUCUUACAUGGCUUUUCAAUGAAUUUUUAAAUUCGAUGUGCCAUUUAAAAAAAAAGAAGUUUGGACAAAGCACGAGAGGACGUGGCACUUGUGAAUAAAUGAAAGUUGUCGUGACCUUUUCCUCGGGGGGAGGGAAUAUAUAUAGGGGUAUUGCCCGAAGAUCGGGUCUAUGACCCAUGUUUAGGCACGGGCUCUCCCGAGAUCCUUGGUUGCAUGUUGUUUUAUGCAAUCACUAAAAUAAUAGUUAGCAGCCAAGGAAAACAUUUAAAUAAAUUGCAUGGGACAACAUGCAAACAAGGGUAAUUAUCUUUGAGGACAAUUGAAACUCUAAGGUAAAAUCCUAAGGGCUUACUCAAUUUUUUAGCACAAAUUUUUUAGCUAAGAAGCUUCCAUUUUUUAAGAAAAUAACUCUGAAAAUCUUUUUGUAAAUUUUUUCAAAAGAAAUUUUGAAUUUUCUGACAUUUUUCAAUUUUUUUUAUUUUCGUAAUUUUCUUUUAUUCUCUGCCCUUUUGUCUUCUUCCAUAUUUUGUCUUUUCCCAAAGCCAACUUUUGCUUUCCUUUUUCCCUAUUUUUUUAAUCUUUUAUUCCUUUUGCUUUUUCUUUUAUGCUCCGUUCGUUUCAUGGAAAAUAACUUAUGGGAAAAUAUUUUCCGGAAUUUCUGGUGUUCGGAUGGCGGAAAAUAAAUGGUCAAGGAAGAUAUUUUCCGGUCAAAGGAAAAUUUGCCCAUCAAAUCUUGGAAAAUGAUUUCCUCUUUUGAAAGAGGAAAUCAUUUUCCGGAGGAAAUCUUUUCCCGUCGCGUGCUCUCAUCUUUCAUUACUCAUAUGUUUUGCCCUCUUUCUCGUUCUGCCCUCUUUCUCACAAAACCUAGGGCUUAUGAUCUUGUCAUCCUCCUCCUUCGACGCCAACGAUUAGCAGCAGCGGGGCCGACAGUGCUGGAUCUCCGCCCUCACGAAGCCCUAGGUUUCUGUUCUCGUCCUCCUCCUUCGAUGCCGACGAUUAGCAGUAGCAGGGCCGGCGAUGUUGGAUCUCUGCCCUCAUGAAGCCCUGUGAUCUCGUCCUCCUCCUUUGACGCUGAUGAUUAGCAGCAGCGGAGCCUCCCCCUCGUCCAGCGGUGCUCGAUCUCUGCGACCUGCCCUGCUUCCUCUUCACUGCUGGUCAGUUCAUACUCUUCCACGCGUAGUUGUCUUCAAGUGGCGUAUGCACGGAUUGAAGCGUCCUCAUAGAUCUCUCUCCUUUUGUUUGCAUGUUUAGAGGGUUUUUGGGGGGAGGAUUCCAUCGAUCCUUUGAUUGAAUGUGCGUUGGGGAGGAGGAGGAGGAGUAAGACAAGACCCAGCGAAGAUGCAGCAGCCUCCGCAGAUGAUCCCCGUGUUGCCCUCGUUUCCCCCGACCAACAUCACCACCGAGCAGAUUCAAAAGGUAUCUCCUCCUCUCCCUCUCCCUCUUCCCUCUUCCCCCAAUCGAAUCCUCUCCCGCCAUCUAUUCCUUCUAGCUUCGGUCACUCAGUGCGAUUUACCAACUACGAGUCGCUAGGUUGACUGCUUUCUUCCUAGGAAACUGAUGGCGGGACAUUGAGCAAUUGGUCUCGUGCUAAUCACAGAUUUUCAGUCUUCUAAAGAGAGAAGUGGAUGCAUGAGUCCUGACUUCCUAUGUCUACCCAUCUACGUGUCGUAUUUGAACAAUGAUAUAUGCAUAUCAGAAACAUGAAGUAUGCACGGAGAUUGAACUGCAUCAUAGCAAAUGGUUGGCAAAGCUUGUGCGACCAAGUGUUGUACAGGGGUUUUUCAAGUAACAUUGUUGGUUAUGAAAAAACUCAAUUUACUUAAGGUCAUGGAUUUAUAACUAUAUCUCUAGACUCCAACAUAGUACUAUCAUAACUAUGAUUGGGUAUCUAAUAUGGUAAGUCGGGGGGGGGGGGGGGCAGUGUCUAAUCUCUUGGAAAGAAACAGGGGACAGGGGCAAGUGGGUGUGGAAGGGAAAGUGGAGUGAAAUGACCGGGGGAUAACGAGGAAGAAAUGUGUCGCGGUAACAUGUUCCCCCGUACAAACCAGUAGCUAUCCUAUGCUCAUUGUGUGAUCAUGAUUCAGGGUUCGGGAAAUUUUCUUCCCACUUUUCAGGCUUUGGAUAAGGGACAAAAAUUUCAGUUUAUGGAUUGAAAAUAAUUAGUUUAGAUCAAAUUGGUUACUCAUUUCCCCCUCGAAUGCUCUUAAGUUCAAGCUCUGAAUGUAUUCUUGCAAGAGAGAGGCUCUCAGAUGCUCUUAAGUUUAUGGUAGGUUUCAUUUUCUUUUCCCUAUAUUCGUUAUUGUAUGAUUUUUCUUCCAUUUUGGGAUGAGGCCAUGGACACAGCCUCAUCAAUGUAAAAGAGUUACGAAUUUGAGAUCUCUGGCCUGCUCUGUGCCAAGAAAAAAAAUUCUCAACCAUAUCCGCCUAACCAAUUUAUGUUCUUUCUUACAUCUCGCCCUGCUCCAGUGUAACAUGCUCUCUUGAUGCUUUUUACCUCAACAGUGAGAACCUUAAAUUCUUCUGGGUCAAAGCCUAUCUCGUCGAGUCAUCGAAGUUGAGUUGUUCUUCUGCUACCAAAAGUUCUUAAUAUUAUGCUUUCUCUUUCAAUAAUAUAUACUGAAGACGAUAGAUUAGGUGAAAAAUGUGGAAUAAGACGUGAUUCAGAGAACCAGUGGGAAGGACAAUGGAGACAUGUACUACAGGACUAUUGCCCAGUUGUAAGGCUCUCAUGAAGGAGACGCUAAUGCUAUAGAAAAGUUGACCAAUCUUGGCGAUAACAUUAAAGCUUGAUGUAGCGAGUCCAAGUCUGAUGCAGAUGUAGACGAAUUAGUGUAUUGCCUUCUUUUGGUGGCAUUCCAGUGAUUCUUGAUCGAGUUCUGGGUCCUGUUGGGGAGUCUCUUCACUAUUUCAGACCAUUUAUUACCAAUCUCCGUGUGUGCUUGAAUUAGUAUCUUAUCCUCCUCCUCAGUCCAUGUCUCUUUCUGCGGAAUUCAUGGAUAUAUGCCUAUAUUUGUAGACUAACAUAUUACUGUCAUAAUUAUGAUCGGGUAUAUAUUAUGGUAAGCCGUAAUGUAUGAUUUCUAAAUAGAACUUUACAAUGAUUAGCUGAGUAAAAACUGAAGAUUUAUCGCUCUUGCCAUGUAUAUGUACAUGUCCUUCAUGUGGUGUCAGCCAUGUGUGGUUUUCUGAUUCUUCAUCAGCUUUCAUCUUUUCUGUCAUUCUUUUAUAUGAUGAUGGGUCCUAUAAUAUUAUGAAUAAUCAGUAAGAUCGUAUGUCUUCUCACUUUAACAUUUCGAGAAUUGGUGGAUAUUUCAGCAACUAUACUCGUUUGCAUGAUUAAUACAUAGGUUAAAUCAUAUUUCUUUGAAGAUGAUAUAUUUCUCACUUUAAACUUGAUAACAUUACAGAUAUCUACAAAGGGAAAUUGAUUAAGCUAGACAUCCACAUUGACAUGGACAAAGUAAGGUAAUACAUUCUUACAAUCAUCUGCUAUCCUCUAUUUUUCUGGUUCUUCUAGUAUUGCUGUUCUUGUAUUUCAUAUGAAUUUGUGUUUCAUGAUUAUUAUGUUCCAAUAUAGAUGGAUAACAAAAUUCAAGCAGUGGUAACGGGUGCAGCUGCGGCGGUUAUGACAGUUAUCACAUUAGUUAUGGAUGAUUAUGAUCAUUCGGAGAAUCGCAUACCGAGAGAGCCUCAUGUGAAUCGAGAUUAUGAGAGAGAGUUAUUUAUGAAUCGUGUGUUAUAUAGUGGUGAUACUCAUUGUGUAGAUCAAAUACAGAUGACGCCGAAUGCUUUUUUAGACCUUUGUAAGAUACUUGGUGCAAGUAACUUGUUGCGUUCUACUGUAAAUGUUUCUAUUAUGGAGCAAGUUAUGGUAUUUUGUCAUAUCAUUGGACAUAAUGUGAGGUUUAGAGUCAUUGGGGGAAGAUUUCAUAGAUCAAUAGACACCGUUCAUAGAUAUUUCAAAAUCGUCCCGCAAGCGAUUUUGAAAUUAUACAAGCAUGUGGUGAAAGAACCAUGCAAUUCCACUCCUCCUGAGAUAAGUAACAGUCGAAGGUUUUAUCCAUAUUUUAAGGUAUGGAAUUUGAAAAAACAAGUCUAUAAAUUGCUUGAGAAGUUUCAAUAGUAUUUGGUUGGUAACUAUAUUGAUUAUUUUAGGAUUGUGUUGGAGCAAUAGAUGGAACUCAUGUAUGUGCAUCAGUUCCUCUUGAAAUUCAAGGAAGAUUUCGUGGUCGGAAGGAUGGAACAACACAAAAUAUAUUAGCCGCCGUUACAUUUGACUUGAGAUUUUCUUAUGUAUUAGCUGGUUGGGAAGGCACAUCUCAUGAUUCACGUAUUUUGUCUGAUGCACUUUCAAGGCCGAAUGGAUUGAACAUUCCUAGAGGUAAGAAAAUUGAAUCUACACACAUUAUGUGAAUUGAGAUUAGUAACUUGAUAAUAAACUUAUUUAUAACUUGUAGGAAAAUAUUAUCUUGCCGAUGCUGGUUAUGGAAUCCAAAAUGGCAUCAUCUCUCCCUAUCGUGGUGUUAGAUACCAUUUGAAGGAGUUUAGUGAUUGCCCUCCUGAAAAUGAGAAGGAACUAUUCAAUUUGCGGCAUUCAUCUCUAAGAACUACUAUUGAGAGAGCAUUUGGAGUUCUAAAGAAGCGUUUUCGAGUAUUGGCUUCAGAACCUUUUUGGUCAUUUAGAACACAAGUCGAUGUUGUCUUAGCUUGUUGUAUCAUUCACAAUUUUAUUAUGAAAGCUGAUCCCAAUGACUCUAUCAUGGAAGAGAUGAAUAGAGAAAUGGAAUCUCAAAGAGAAAAUCCAAGAAUCCAACUUUCUCAAAGGGAGGAAAGGGAGGAAAAUAGGAUAUGGGCAUCAAAGAGGGAUAGGAUUGCACAUGCAAUGUGGAUUAGUUAUCAAAAUAUUAGAAGAAGCCAAUAGUUAUACUUUUAUUUCUUUUGAGUGCUUUAUUUUGAACAUGUGCUUUUCAUUUCUUUAAUGAUAAUCAUCUCUAAAUAUUUAUUAUGUGUCCAUCUUCGUCAUAUUUUUUCUAUUCUAAUGUUUAAAGCAGUUACGUAGUUAUCAUGAUGAGUAAAAGUAAGGCAAACGAUGAGAAGGUCAAGCAAUUUAGAUGGUCGAAGCCUAUGGAACGUGUUUUACUUGAAAUUCUCGUUGAUGAAGCUAGUAAAGGAAACAAGCCUUCAAGUACAUUCAAACCCUCUUCAAUUACUCGAGUUUUCAAUACAAUAAAUGAGAAGUUUAGUAUUUGUUGUGAGCCCGACCAUGUUGAGAACCAUUUGAAGACAGUCAAAAGCAAUUGGAAGACGAUUCAAACUGUGCGUGGCAAGAGUGGAUUCAGUUGGGAUGACAAGUUGAAAAUGGUCAUAGCUGGGAAAAAUGAAUUUGAUCAAUAUGUGUCAGUAAUUUUUCUCAUCACUUGCUCAAUACAUUCUUUUAGCCAAUGUUUCACAUAAGCAAUUUUAUGUGUCUUUAUAUAUUUACUCAGCAUAUAAGGGUUAAUUUCCUAACCAUCUCAGUCAAGAUUUUUAAACUUUAAUGCGUUUGCUAACAUGCUGGACUGAAAAAAAAAAGAAAAGAGAGCAGAUUAUUAACUUGUUAGUCACCCCUGUUUCACUGAAGCCAUAGGUUAUCGUGUUGGUGUAGGUUUAUUGUGUUGGUGUUGUUUCUGUUUUUGUUACAAGUGUAAUGCAUAAUUUAAUAUUAACUGUCAUACUAGCAAUUUAUAUGUCUGGAAAUUUUCUCAAUGUCUUUUGCUGCUGCGAUUUUGAUUUUGAUUGUUGGGUAUAUCUGGAAUGCGACUAGGGUUGGUAAAGUUUGCUUCUUUUCUCUUUAUCUUCUGCAAUUUAGGUGGUGAGAGACUAAGAAGGCACCAUGUCUUCUGCAAUUUAGGUGUUCACAAAUGAGGUGCUAAUUCUGACAUUGAUAGGCGUUUUCGAAACCUCGUGCUUUAGAUCUUAUUGAUCUUGCAUCUCUUGCAAAGAUGGAUUGACAAUGCAAUUUCUAUUUAGGCGUAAUUGUGAAGGGAAAAUGACUAAAAGAACAAACAAAUGAAGGCUUCAAACAUGUUUUUGUCAUAGCUUGAAGCCUAAGUGUUGUCUGCUUAAUAGCUUCUUUUUCAUAUCUAACCGUGGAACUAAUAAUUGAAUGAAUAUUGUGCAUUUACAGGUCCAUCCUUCUCAUGGAAAGUAUUUGAAUAAAAUGAUUGACAUGUAUGAUGAGAUGACUGUGGUGGUUGGGAGAGAUAUAGCCACCGGAAGCUUUGCUAAGCAGUUCGGGGACAUCGAUGCAACGGAAGUUGACUCCUCACCUGUCGACUUAGGUGAUGACUUCGAUGACUUCGAUGAGUUGAUGAAGGGCUCGAAAACAUGUUCCUCUACUGUGCAUUUAGAAAAGAGGUCUCGCAAAAGGCAAAAAGGUUCCAACAAUGAUGACAAGUAUGUUGCACUUUCAACACAACUUGGAGAGAUGGCCUCAGCAAUUAAGUCAUUGGCUCAUACGGAUGUGGAUCACUCUCAAGUCUAUUACUCUCAACUCUACAAUGAGGUGAUGAAAGUGGAUGGAUACGAUGAAUUACCCUUGGAUCAGUUUUUGACCAUCUAAUUGAAAAUGAAAAAAUUGGAAAAGCAUUCAUGGUGAAGAGUGCGACUCUUCGCAAAGUAUGGGUUGAUAAAUUUCUAAGCAAAUGAGAUCAUCAUUAGUGAUAUACUUGUCUCUGGGUGUAUGGUUGGUGAUCGUGAUUGUGAUGGUGAUCGAGAACUGAUUUUUGAUGCUCUGUUGACUGCAUCAACAAGCAUUUUUGGCUAGACAACCUACUGCAAAGUAGAUGAAGAGAUAGGUGUGUAGACAUAUUAUGGCUGCCGAAAUUCCACUGAUGUGUAAUUUUAUUCAAGGUGCUUAGUAGAAGUGUCAAGGUAACAGAGGUAACACAAGAUUUUUGAUAGCUUGAUCUGAUGUUUGCUGGUCAAAAGAGUAUGAACUGAAUGAGUUGCUUAAAGCAGGGGUGCUUUUGCCUUUAUGAAAUCCAUAGGUCAACUGGGUAGUUAUUAUUGUCUUUUGGAUUCAUACAUUUAACACCUGUAGUCAAAUAACAGUGUUUUGUAAUUGACCCUCUGCUUGCCUAAUUUAUCUAUGAUACUCUUAUGGAUUCAUAUGGAGAAUUCGCCACUAUUUACUUGCUAAUAUUCCACUGAUGAUUACCAGGAUGGGUUCCACAAAUAUUGUGGAAGAUUUUGGAAUUACCUUUUAGCAUGGAUAAGAAAUAGAUAGUGGCAAGAAGACCAAGAAACGACUAUCCAUGAGAACCAAACCCACCCCCCAACUAACCCAAGUCCCUAAAAAGAAAAAGAAAAAGAAAAGAAAAUUAUCGGUGGGCUCCGGGUGCGUACAAGCCCAGUAAAUCUCGAGUGCUGAAUCGCAUGAGUUCCCACAGCUCUGAUCAGAAGAGAAACAAGAUCCGGUUCGUGUCGACGGGGCAUUGACAUUAUGUAUGAGCAAUGGGAACUGCCGCCCCUUAACGUGAGUAUUAUUGAUAAAUGUAUUGUAAUAUAUGGUUCAAUUUCAUAUAAAAUUUUUUGGUCGAAUGAAAAAAAAAAUGUAGAGACAAACCUUUACUUGAAGGACAGAAAAUGUUUAUUGUUAACUCUUUCAUUCAAAGAAAGCUUAUUUGGGAUCCGAUGUGACCAAUGACGAUGAAGUUACAUGUCUGUUAAGCCAGAAUGAUGCCAUUUUGCUUAUCUUACAAGGGAUUAUUUACUCGAUUUGCUUUGAAUCUAUGAUUUCGACCCCUAGUUUUGAUUGGCACAAAGAACCCUACUUUGCAAGAGUGAAACACCGUUCCAACUUUCCGAUUUGCUCAAACUCUACAAAUUACCUCAAAUCUGAGGACAUAAUAUUUUAAUUUACAAACGGUUUGAAGUAAAAUCCUACUCAUCGAAUCUGCAAACUCGAUGUAAGGGCUGAAUCCUUUUAUCUAAAAUGGCAAUAGAUGCGAAACAUGAAUCCAAACCAUGUUAAACUAUUCCCAAGCAUAAUGGUUAAAAAAUAUUUUCUUUACCGAACACCGGAAAACAUUUUCCGAAACAUUUUCAAGUUUUAACUGAACACCAGAAAAUAUUGUCAUUUUCCUGGAAAAUGACUUUCAGGAAAAUAUUUUUCGGAAUUGGCCAAUUUUCCAUGAAACGAACGAACCAUUAAUCUUUUCUUUCUUUCUUCUGGUCUUCUUCUUCUUCGUGAGUCCUCCGCAUGCCCGAAUCUUCCAUUAAACUCAGAAGUUCCCAAGAAUUCAAUCCCAAACUCACGACGUCGAAACAACGAUUUUGAUGCAUAUCUUGUUUUAUCCCAAGCCGAGAACAGCGUGCGCCACUAUCCAACAAUCUCGAAUAUAUACAAAAUGUAAAACGCAAGAUGGAUGUGAGGUGCAACAUGUGGCCAUAAAUUCGGACCUCGGCGAAACGAAAGCGAAAACGGACGAAAUGAAGACGAAUGUUACUCUUCGAAAAUGAAACAGACACUCCCAAAUUCCAUCCAGCCCACGCAACGAUCAAGAUGGCUUACGGAUUGAUGUUAUCUCUCUUUUCAUUACUCUUUGUUUGUCUCUUUUAUUUUAUUUAAUAUAUCUAUUCUUUAUUUAAUUUUCUCUUCCCUGGGCGUUGCUUCCUUCCUCACCAAAACUCCUCUUUUCUACGUUCUCUUCUUUGCGGAGAACAACACCAUCGCCAGGAUCUCUCUUGAAGAAACGCCACCACUAAAACUCGCCAACUACUACCCAUGAUCAACUAGAUAAGGCUUCAUGGGAGAUGAUCUGUGUGAAUAGUGAUCAAAACGAUGAUACACAAGCUUUGGAUACAGCGAAGGCAGUGGCUGUUUUACUAGAAGCGCCUCAAGGGCAUUUUAUCAAACACCUAGGGUGCGUUGGCUCAAGACAGCCACAUACAAGAAUAAGACCCGAAACUAGAUCAAAACUUAACAAGAAUGGCAGGGAAUGCUCAACAUCAACAAAGGACAGCAUAAGCGAACUCGAAACGUGCGCCCCAACUCUGCAAUCCAUGCAAAAAAAUGUGAGAGAACGGGAUAAGAGCGGGGCACCAAAAAAAAAUCAGCGGGGGCUUCCUACCUAACUCGGGGGUGGCGAACGAUGGGCGAGAUCGAUAGAUCGGACUACGUCCAGUUGCCUUGCACGCCCCCAAGUCGGGAUCCUUAGGAAAUCUACACGAAUUGAAAACCGGAAAACUCACCUGAAAAACUUGAAAUCGAGGCAAGGGAAGCCGCAGCUUGUUGGUUCCGGCUAGGAGGUGCAACCUUACGUCGGGGGUGGCUAAGCGAUGCUCGGCUAAGGUGGAUUCCAGGUCUCCCUCUUCUUGGUCACUCCCCGUUUCUCCCCACUGGGGCUCCCUCGGGCUCUCUCCUGUCGCCCUCCUCUCCUCUCGGUUCUCUCUCAGUCGCCCUCUCUCUGAUUCACUCCCCUCUUGGUUCCCCUCUCUCCCUUCUCCUCUUUUGAUGCUCACCUGCUGCCCUCUCUGCUCUUUGCUCCUAUCCCCUCCUCUGCUCUUCCUUUCUACUCCCGUCUUUUCUCUUCUUUUUCCUGCAAGUUCGCGCGCGAGCUGGAGCCAGAGGAGGAAGACCGGUUGGGGUGGAUUGGGCCAAAGGAGAAGAAAAAGAAUGCUGGGCUGGGCCUAGUGUAGGGAAAAAGGAAAGGGAGGUGGGCCGGGCCAAGGCCGGAUCCGGCCUGACCUGACCCAUGAGCGUUUUUUUUUUUUUGUUUAAAAAAAAGUUUCAACAAAAGCCAAACGAGGAGAAGGAGCCGAAGAAGAAGACUGCGGUUCAGCUUCGCCUUCAAGCGUCUUGAACAACAAGAAGGCCUCGAAAGCUUAUCCAGAGUCAAAGUGACGCUUGCUUAGCCCUCAAAAGUUUUUCCUUUGUUUCUAUGAGAAUUGAUGGGAGACUUUCUGAUUUUGCUUGAAUUACAAAUUUCAUCAUAUGUUUUAGAAUAUAUAAAUAUUAAACCACUCUCACAAAAUGUAACAUGAUAUCAAAAAUGGAGUGAUCCCUUUCAUGAAUGCGUAUCCAACCUUAUCAGUCAAAUUUCACAUGCCAUGGUCUAAAUGUCAUGUGCCACUCAUAAUUAAACUUGCAAGUAAGAAAGAGUGUUGAAACCUCAUCAGUCAAAUUUCACAUGCCAUGGUCUAAAUGUCAUGUGCCAUUCAUAAUUAGACUUGUAGGUAAGAGAGGGUGUUGAAACAUGAGGAGUAGCCCUUCUCCACUGUUUCGCUGAAGAACAAUCAAGAGAAGUUGCACUAACUCCUCACACGCUAGCCACUGUGAAGAGAUUGUUUGAAGAGCUAUAUUGUGAGUCACAUGUUGAUGUAAUCAAGCCGAUCAUCAUCAAUGCUAUGUGUGAUGUUUUCUCAAGGUUAGGAUCAUCUAAUCAGCCACCAUUAGCCAAUCUAGUUGUAAUGAAGUAUGUUCAUAAUCCCUCUUGAUUUGUUGGGGCCAAUAAUAUUCAUCAGAGUAGCCAACCCUUCAUGAGAAUUAUGCAAAGGUCCAUUCUUCUAAUCAAAGUCACAAUAAUGAGAAUAAUCAGGGAAAUAUUAGUCAAAAUAAUCCAACUAGUGACGAUAAUUUAACAAAUCAAAUUGGUCAAUAGGCUGUUUAAUUGCCAAAUGUUGAAGAUGUAAGGCCAAUUUCCACCCACUAUGUAUGUUCCAUGUCAAUUAAUGUUGAUAAUUUGGCGAGGCUAACAUCAUUGCCUAGAAGUCAAAAUGGCCAACCAAAUCCACAAUUUGUCAAAAAAGUUCAACAAUGAUUAAGGUUAGACAAGGGUGUUAUCAUUACCUGUUUGCAAGUAACACAAUUAGCAACUCUUAUCCGACUCGACCUAAUCUAGACCCAACUUGGUUCCGAAUUUUACUAUAGUAAAAAAACCAAUCAAUUAAAAGGAAAUUUAGAGUGUGUUUCGCGGAAUAUGAAUGAUUUGGAAAGCAUUUUUCCAUAAAUGAUUGCUUAUAUUGCUCGAAAUAAUUAGUUAACUAAAAAUAUGUUUAUUAUCAAUAACAAUUUAUGUCUAAAUUUUUUAAUGACAACACUUUUCAUUGAUUCAUUUUUCUAAGCAAUACAAGUAACCAUUUUUAGGAAAAUAUUUUCAAAAUUACAUUUUUUGCGAAAAAAAUGAAGCCAAAAUAUGAAAAUGAAUUAGCAAAUAAGUAACUACUCAAAAAAGUGAUAAGUACGUUAGGAGCGCCAUAAUUUUCGUAUAAUACUUGCUUGAGUAUUAUAACUUAUUUUUCUUUCACUUGGGUCCACAAAUUAAAAAAAAAAAAUCGAUGACUUGAGUGUCAUUAGUGAUUUACCUCAUCGAAAAAGCUUAUGUGACAUUAAUUUAUUAUACAUCAUUUGACGUGACAUGUUGUAAAGUUGAAGUCUACACUUGAGAAGGCAAACGAUGUUGUUGAAAUUCCAAUAAUUUCAUAAAUGAUCGUUUCGAUGUCACAAGUUUUUAGAAAUGAACACUAAGGUUCAUCAACUUUUUUAAAAGUGACCACUUAAAUGAUCGGAAGAGAUAGAGUUUGAAAAUGGCAUCAUUUGAGGAAGAGAAAGAGUUUGAAAACAAUGUCAUCUAAUUGGGGAAGAUUUUAAAGAAACAACAAUAAAUGACACCUUUUGUUAUAUUCUUGCCAUGCUGGACAAAAAUUUCCACGAUUGACUUUAGUCUAGUUUUAAAAAUUUCAUGUCGGAAUGGAAAAUUAUAAAAAGAAUUCAUGCAAGACGAUUUGCCCUUGCCGAAAAUGAUAUUCAAGUAAUUGAUUUUAUAUCAAUGUGGCAUUCAAACUAGUGAAAAAAUUUAUAGCACUUCUAGUAUACUUAUUCCACUAAACAAUUGUCAGAUUUUCGAGCUAUUAGGACAAAUCUACUAUUAUUUUCUAUAGUAUUAGAAAUUUGGUAUGAUUUCUCCAAAGUGGCAAUACCUAGAAAGACACAUCAAAAGGGAAAAUGCAUGUGGAAAAACAAGCGUACUCUUGAGCUGUGACAUCCUAGAUUUCGAUCCUGUUUUUUAUUGAAUCAAUCAGGCAUUUCAUCGACGCACCUAUAGGGCUAUUUUUAGAGUUGAUCACUCUCAAGAUAACUAGACUAUCCAGGGAAGCCAUUAAGGAAUUUUAAUGCAAUAGACUUGAGAAUUCGACUAGGAAUCGGCUUCUUGACCGUGCUCAUCUUUAGAGGCAAUUACGGCACAGUUAAAAAUCGAUUUGAGAUUAGAGAUAAGACGGUUCGAUUGAGAUGUGUGGUUAAUCGUGGGUGACACUACUAAAUUCGAAAAUUCUCAUUGACCGGCACUAGACUGAUUUCUUUAUCGUUUUUGUACCCGGUGUCCAUAUUUGAAUUCUCGAGAUUUUCACGAAAAUCGAGAGUUGCCAAUGUGUCGACUGGGUUCAUUGUGGCUCGAAGAAAAUCGACCAUGGGUCAUUUGCAUUAAAAAUUUCUGAAAAAUUACCUAGUAGCCUAGGUCACGCAAAAAAUUCGCAUGAGUGAAAUUAACCACCAAAUUGAGUCCGAUUUUAGAAAUUAAAGAUUCUGUCAUGUCACAAUAAAUUCUACGAGCAUUGACUCGGUCUCUGAAGAUUUUUCUGCAACCUGAAACUUUUUGGGAAAAACUCAGCAUAGGAUCGUUUUUGUUCAGAAAAAGCCGGGGACUGUUUUUUAUUGUGAAAUUGGGAAGCAAGUGAGUUGUAUUGGCGAGGAAAAAUGCCAAGAUGAUCGACAAUAAGUUGAUUGAAUUCGUGAGGGCCAAUUGAGAUCAAAUCAAGUGGGAUGAGGAGUCCAAUUGAAGCCAAAAUUGAGAAAUUCGUAUGCCCCAAUUGUCUAGCCGAAAUGGACCAAUUCAAGUGUAGUAAGAAGUGUCUUGGUGGCUCAUGGAUAGCCAAGGAAGCCAUGCUUGGCUGGAAAUGGUCAAGGAGACCAUGGGAUGGAAGAAAUGGCCUUGGUGGAGCCCUUGUCUCCUUAUCCUUCUCUCUCUCCCUAUUCAGCUGGCCGACCAUCCCCUCUUCCCCUCCAUCUGCCAUUUCUGAACACCACAGCAACCAAAGGAGACUAGUAGAGGGCCAGUCAAAGCCAGCAGCCACCAGCGCCACCGCUUGUCGCCGUCCACGCGUGCCACCAUCGCUUGAGUGCCCCACGCACGUCCGCUCGCCUAGCCGCGCCUCCUCGCCGUUCCAGCAGCCUCGCCUCUCCCUGUUCGACAUCCAGCAAGCAUUGGAGUUGCUGUGAGCAGCCACCGGAGGUCCGUCGAGUCCUCGUUUGGACCGAAACCACCCUGUUGCCCUUCCCUGAGCCUUGCUGCCCAUUUCAGCCUUUUUUCUUCUGUUUUGCAGCUCAAAAUAGAGAGGAAGUUAGUGGGUUUGCAGCAAAGCAUCUAGGCCCGUUUUGGAGGUGUUUCGGGCCUCGAAACCUAGGCCCACUUUGAGAAGAAUCAACCCCUGCGACGUUCCCAUCUGUUUGAUCUGACCCGCGGGUUAAACAAGUGAGUUUAACUUACUAAACCUCGCUUAGUAUGUUAAUGAUGCUUAAGGGUUGAUUAAAUUUAAUUAAGUGUGAUUAGGUGGGUAGAUUAGAUUGGAAUAAUUAAAUUAGUGCCUUAUCAAUUCAUGUUAGGAAAAUGGUUAGUGCUAUUAGCUAGUGAAUAGUCUAUAGUAUUUAUUUAACAAGUCUCGGUAAUUUUCCGGGCUCGUCUCGGCAUCCAAUUAGGCAUUACGGGCCUAAAUUGGAUUUAUUGCAAUUGUUUAAUAAUUUUUGUAAUUAAUUAAUUAAUGAAUUAUUUUCCUAAAUUAGGUUGGGAUAGCCGACGACCGAAAUUUUAUACUGAUUAUGGUGGUGUAGUCCAUUUAUUUAAUUGAGCCUUAUAUUGUGCUGAAUUGAUUUAAUCGUGUUUUUAGGAUUUUAUUCAUAAAUUAAUCAAUUUUGAUAAUUAAUUGAGAAAUAACUGGAUGUCGGUUUGCAGCGCCAAAAUAUUUGGUGGGCUAUAUAUAAAGUGGCAAGAAUUGUGAGAGUGAAUCAAUUAUAUUUUUGGCUAAGACCAAUCGGGUACUAUUUUAUCGGGUAUGAGAAAGAUGAGAAGGAAGGUUGUAUCACAUGGCUCGGAGACUAAGAGUCAUCAUGGAGAAUGCACGUGACUUGUUGAUUUGAUAAAUCACCUUUGAAUGGCACAUGGCUCGGUGAUUUGGUAUAUCGCCUUUGAGAAUGCACGUGACUCGGUGAUUAAGUACGUCGCCUUAGAGAAUGCACGGGGCUUGGUGAUUAGACAUGUCACCUUAGAGAAUGCACAUGACUCGGUGACUAAGUGUGUUGCCUUAGAGACUACACGUGACUCAGUGACUAGGUAUAUAUUAUUUGAAGAUUGAAUAAGAUGAAUUAAAAUGACCGAGAAGUGGUCUGACUGACAUAUAAUCGACGAGGUCGAUUGAUUGAUGAUUCGAUUUUCUUUGAUUGGGUGUUGUAUUUGUCAGUGUUUAUAAUUGAACUGACUUGUAGGAAGGAACUGAUGCCAAGGUAAGUCCUCUGACUUGUGUUGUGCUUAGGCAGCCCCAAGGUAUAUUGGCUUCCUAAUCGAGUUUUAGUGGGGGUAGAAUUUGCUGAGACAUAGUCUCACCUCGUUGUGGGAUAACAUUUCAAGUCCCUAGAUGGCAGUACCUCCACCUCCUCGUCCUCCCAUGUAUUUUGGUAUUCCCGAAGAGGUCACCGAGAUAGCAUAUCAUUUCCCAAUACACCCCCACUCGGAAGGUCUAGAAUAUGUUUUGAUAAAAUCCACAAUUUGGAUUGAUGUGGGUAAUGACGGUCUGGUGCCCCAUGAGUAUAGGUCGUGGUAUCGUGACUACCAUGAUAGGCAUAGACAGGGUCCCAUACCGAAAGGUGAUGUGUCUUUAUUCGUCUUAGAGGCAACGUUUGGAGAAUCGAUUGCAGAUCCUAAGGAUGGGUCGGUAGUAGAUGCCAAAGACCCUAAGCUCGAGAGUGACCUUGACUCUCCAGUGUACUCAGCCGGGGGAGCUAAUUGGAGUAAAGAGGAAGGGUAAAUACUCGAACAAGAGGAAGAGCUAGAGAAGGACUAUAGGAGUGAGAAGAGGCAGAGGAGGAACCUGAAGAAGAAGAAGAGUCUGAGGAAGAGCUUGAAGAGGAUGAUCCGGAGUAUGACCUGGAUGAGGACUGAGACCUCACCCUGUUUGGCAAACCCUGUGUAGAAACUGAUAUAUGUUAGAUCAAACUUUUGUCAAUAUUAUUGUAAUAUAUACUAUGAGGUUUGCUAGUAUAAAAGUGUGGUUGUGGUUUUUUAGUUAUGGAAAAUAUAGCCCUACUUUUCUAUUCCAUUGUUUUCUUGUUUGGGGAUUAUUUAACUGCUUCUGCAUGCAUAUUAAAAUGAGAGGGUCGGCGAUGCGUCCUGGGACGUCGUUAUUUUAUCGACCAGGUGAGGGAUGAGCGUGUGUUCGAGGAUCGAGGCGUGACACGAGCAUUAGAUAUAUAAAGUCCCAUAUAGUAUCUUUUUAAUCCCCUUCAAGUGCUAAUAUUUCAUCAACAAAUUUUAGUGACUUUCCUCGUUUAGCUCUCACAUAUUUGAAACUGUUAUUGUUAUCACCCGACUCCUUCUUUUGGUGGUGGUCACUUAAAAUACUCACCCUAGAGAAAUGAUCAACGCAAAAUCAAUCGUUCGUUAUUUUUUGAAACUUUUUCCUUGGCCACAGCACCGAUUGAUUGUUAUAUACUAGCUUGGUGUCGUGUGCUGGCCAUAUAUGUUACAUCCUCUAAAAUUCCAUCAAGACCCAAUCCGAUGGAACUUUAAUUUCUUAAACUCAUUUUCAUCUGGCCUUUUAAAUGUUUAAACAACCCAUAUACAACUUGAUUGUAAGAAUAUGAGUCAAAGAAUGGGUUUAUGACUGGUUUCGACACCUAUUUUUGAAGCACGACGUUUUCAUUCAUCCAAAUUAAGCAUGGUGUAUUGAGGACAGCUAUUUUGAAACCAAAUAAAAAAAAGAAGAAGAUAAAUUGCAAUGCUUAGAGAAUAGCGUGCGUAAAAAUUUGCACUGAAAGCAACUAAAAACUUUUUCCAUGACGGUUUCCACAACAACCCCUAUAUAAAGGAUGGUUAGCAUAUGAAGAGACUUGCAAUAAACUUCACAAUGGCUCUUCCUGUUCUGUGCCCAAGCUUCCUUCCCUCCUCGAUCUGCCAUAAUCAUCCAUUUCUCUUAUCCUUUCGACACCUUCGCUCCUCCUCCUCCUCUGCCUCCAUCUCCUCCGACGCUCAAUUCAUGACAUGCGCUUUGAAGAUUGAAGAUCAAGAGACUGUGAGACAUUUGGCGAAUUGGCAACCUAGCAUUUCGGACUAUGGCUUUGUGCAGUCACUUAAUGUUGAUUACCCCGUAAUGAUUUUCCUUUUUCAGCACAAAACCCAGCCUAGCUUAACAGUUUGUCCUACAUUGCUUUGAAUUUUGUUUUGGUAAAAUUGAGUCCAAAAAAUGAGCUUGUUUGGUCUUAAAUCCUUCAUGAAAGUUGAAAUACAUGCUAUAUAUGUUCAAUUGAUACAUGCUUUGCAAAGUCUUAAUGUUGACAAGUGAGUCAAUUGUAAGAAUUAAGGUGAAAAUGUGCUGCAACAAUACAUAGCUUAGAUAUGCACCUUUUUUUUUGGGUCAUUUUUGCUGUGAUUCAUGCGAUCAUAUUUAGGUUUUAAACUCUCAAUGAGAAAUGUUCAUCAUUGCAUGCUCUAUAUGUAUAAUUUUUUUGUAGGAUUUUUGUAUUUCUUGAGAUGGCUAAAAUCAUGCCCGUUCUGUGAAGUUAAUGCUGAAAUGAAAUCUUGUUGUAUAUGCAUCUUGCCAUACUUGUUUGAGUCAUUUAGAGACCAAAUUUUGCAAUCAUGCUUUCUUGAUAAUUAAACUGUAUGUUAUAAGGUCCACAUACAUGUUUAGGUCAUAUCCUUUGAAUAUCAUCUUGCACGUUAAAUUUGUACCACAAAAGUGUUCAUCACACUUAGGAUUCCCAGGCAUACCAUUAUGAAUCUUGAAUCAUUUUAUAAUGUCAUUUAAGUUGUAUGACAUUUUGCAUGCCAACCUAGGAUUAGAUGGUUAUCCAAAUUUUCUGUUGUAUCUGAUCCUAAGUCCCAUGUGAUUUCUUCAUGCCGUUUGUGCAUCAUUUGAAUGACUUUGAGGUUUUCUAAUGCAUUCUUGUGUUCUAUUUUUCUUAGUUACUAACACACACACCUUUAGAGAUCUCGAUCUCAGAGUAUCUAAUUGACCUAGUUUGGACUCGAGCCCUUCUAGGAAGUUGAAAGGCACGCUUAGAAGUUUCUAGUGUCAGUGAUUUUAUACAAAUCACUCAUUGUUUAGUCAACUUUCCAUUUUUUCUUUAAAACUAGAUCAUAAUUUGGACAUGGGAUUAAAUUCGAACCCCUGUUCUAACCCCUAUUUGGAUAGCCUUCUGACAUUUUUGUUCUAUUUUUUUCUGCAAGGAUUCUGCAUUUGACCUCUUAACAAAACUUGCUUGCUAACAUGUUGGUUAUGUCGUGUGAAAAUUUGGUAUUGUUUUGAUAGGACAAAUCCUUGUAAUAUUGGCUGAGUGUCCUACUAUUUUGACAAUUUUCCGACAUGAUGUUGCCUAUUGUUUGAUUUUUAUAAAAUCAUGUAUAGCUUUUCUUUUUUUGAACAUAAAAAUCAUGUAUAGCUUGUUUAAUAAAACUUUCUUCACAAAAGUUGUUUGUUAUCCUGUCAUGCAUGUUAAGGAAUUUUGUCAUUACCAAAUUGUCAUUACAUAUUGCCCAAUUUUGUUGUUUUUGCAUGCUUGUUUUGAAAUCCCUAAAAUGAACUUGAUUGUGAUUGUUGUGAUAAACUUCCUAGGUUAGUUUGUGCAUGAACCUCGGCCAUUCCAUCUUCAUAAAAAUUUCUUUAAAUACCUCGAUAUUCAUUGUUAAAUGAUUUUUGACAAAUCUUCUUUUCAUACCAAAUUUAAAAAUGCUUUGGUACAUGUGAUGUUUCCCAAAAACAAUUUAUUAAAAAGUUCAUUUCCAAAAGCUCGAUUUGGCUUAAGGAAGAGUCAUAAUUUGGACCAUAUUCAAAAUGCAUACGACACUUGUUAGUGUAUUUAUGCGAGUCUCGAGCUAGUUUUGGCAAUUGAAUGUGUUCCAUAGCCUAGUUAUUCCUUAAUCUGGAAUAUUUUCAAUUUUUUUCUCAAAUCUUGAUUUGACAAUUGUGAACGUCAUUGUUUGAAUUGUAUUCAAAAUGCCUGCGAUACUUGUGAGUGCAUUUAUGCGAGUUCCAGGUUAGCCUUGACAAUUGAAUGUCUUUCAUAGCCGAGACAUUACUUUGUCUCAAAACCUUUUGUGAACGAUUUCAAAGAUGUCUUUGAAACAUCACAUGUACCUUCAUGCAUAAAAUUACGCUAUUCAUUAAAAACGUCUAUGUUUAUGAUUGGCCCAUACUCUUGACAAUAAGCGACCCAUUGACAGUUCACUUUCUCGCUUGACUGGUUGAGAAACAAGGUCCAAAAGACUUGUACGCAUGUUUAAUUCCUGCAAUGCAUGUGAGAUUUAAAUAUGUGGUAGGGUCAAUGCAUAAUAUCGAGGGAAAACCUUAUGAUCACAUAGAUCGCUUGGUUAUGAAACUUAUAAAUAUUAUUGGCCAUGCAAGAACACAAUUGGUCAAUAAUGACUAUAUGUCAUAAAAUGAAUUGGGUAGGUGUCUUAGAGAAACCUGUGCCUGAAUUUCAAAGGCUGAUUCUAAGGCUCAAGUUUUUUUUUUUUUUUUUUGCACUUAAUUUCUUUUCAAAGAUUGAUUUUGGCAUGAUGUUGUGUUUCUUUAUUGUUUUGAUGUGUAUGCUUGUUUCUUUCCAUUGUAUUUACCUAGUUAUAUAAUUUUUUAGUCUAGGUUUAGAUUAGGAUCCUGAAGAUAGAGAAGACAUGAAGACAGUGGAGGUCGAUGUCCAUUGUGAUCAUAAUCAUGUACUAUUCAUUUCUUUGACAUAUGUCUUGGGUUCUCAUCAAGCCCAAUGAGUUGCGGGUCCUCUUCUUCUUAUCCUUUUCAAUUGUGUUUCUCUUUUAUAUUUUCUAGGAUUGCAUGGUAGAUUUAUUGCUUUCCUUGAUAGUUUACUUACUAUCUCAUAAUUUUAAUUCCAUUAAUUGCUUUCUUUUCUCGUUUUCCAGAAAUAUAAUAGUAUGAAAAUGACCAACCAUGCAUGAUCGUUUAGUUUAUGACUAACGAUCCCGAAAAUGUAAGAGGAAAUACAUGGACAUGUUAGGUAAACAUAACAUACUGUUUAGAUAUUGAAAGGGCGCUACUAGCAUAUUGGCCUAACCAAGUCCAUAGAUCUAGAUAUUAUUUGCGUAGGAAUUGAGGGAACACUCCCGACCCUCAAUUGGGUUUUUAGCCGAUCCCUAAAAAUGAGACUAGUGGCGACUCCUAUCUUAUUUUUAGGUUAUCCUAAACAACUAGAAUGUAUAAAUGAACUCGUUGUGUGGGUAUGGGUCUCGAUAGGGCUCACCUUGGUUUAGCAAUACUCGCAUGUAGAAAAUUCCUAAUGGAUAAAGUGACGCCAUCCUUAGGAAGGAGUACCAAAGGGAGAGCUACCAUGGUAAAUGUACCCUUAAAUUUGAAAUUCACACUUGACCUCCUCUCUUGAGGUGUGUUGCCCGUGUGAUACAGAACACGCCACUCUAUUGUCAUGCGGAGUAUGAGUUUGGGAGAACUCGCAACCUUGUAAAGAGAACUCAUAAGAGGUUCAUCCGAGGGAUGAGGUUAUGACAUCCUUGUAAUUAAGAAUCGGGAGGGAACUUUCAUGGUUAAGUAUCCCUAAAUCUGACCAUUCGCCCCUUUUCCUUUCCUCGCGAGAGGGAUAGAAGGCAGUGAGAUCGAGUCACGGUAGUAGUAAGAAAAUCUUCACAAAACACUUGCUCAUCGUUCAAAACCUCUAAAAAGGAGAUCACCAAUGGAAGAAUUGCUGGAAGCCACUCAAAGUCAGAGUGUGGUCUAAGCUGGUGGAUUAACCACUACUAGUACCCUAUUGCUCAUGGGCAUAGAAAAAUAAACCCUUAAAUCACAAUUACUUGUAGAGAAGGAUACAUGUGCUGUAUCACAUAUGGCACCACUAAUUAUAGCCGUUCCAUCACCAUCAACUCUUGCCCAAACGCUCUUAGAAGAUCUAUUGAAAGGCCUAACCACUUUCAUGGAAACCUAUGGACUAGAGCUAAAGAAACUCCUCAAGUUCAAAGUCACAGGAUUGCAAACCCUACAGCUUGAACGAGCACUUACUGCUCAAGAAAGACUAGCCGUUGAACCAUCGCAUUCAACUGCUUAGCCCUUUCAGCCAUCUCAGCCGUCUUAACCCUCACCUCAUAAAUCCUUAACAAGAGAGGAAGGUACCUUAGAAACCGCUGCUCCCAAAGACAAAGGAAAGCAUAUUGUUGAAGAAGUAGAAAUCAUCACCAAACCAGUUACCUUAUAGCUUGAAGGAAGCAAAGCCACAAAAGAAACAGGAGAAGCCCUGGGAGACAAGCGUCGUGAAGAAGAUAACGAUUGGGUAUUUAAAAAUUUUGAACACACUCUUAAUUUUGAAAAAGAUCCCAGUUUCAAAUAUGAUUUCUUUCUUUCACUAGAACAUAAACACGCAAAACAUCACUUCUAUAAUCAAGGUAUCAUCCCUCAUCAUUAUGUUGAUUUUGAUUUCUUAGAAAAUCAUGGUAUUUUUUUGUUUGAGCUUUUUGAAGACCUUCAACUCAAAUAUUUCUGCUCCAUGAAAGAGGAAGUUCAUCAUGAACUCGUGGCAAUGUUUUACUCAAAUUUGUAUUUUCCAAACCGGGACUCUUUUGCCUUUACUUUUUGUGGACAAAAUCAUAUUGUGUCUCUGGAUAAAUUGGUUGAAAUUAUCCAAACAUAAAACAAUGUUUUCAAGCGCAUUCCAAUAGAGCCUAAUGAGGCCUAACAAGUUUUGUUUUAGAAACCUCCAACUUUGCUCGCAAUUCUAGAGAAAUUAUCCUGUUGAAUCUUCUCCCUCUCAAAAUGAAUUUUAUCUAAAAGAUCCUCACUUUCUUCCUUUGCCCGAAAACAUCUUCUGUAAAUGACGUCUCUUGAUAUAAGGUUAAGGUGAUCUAGGCCAUCCUGAACAAAUUUGAAGAGUUUUCCUUCUCCCAAAUGUUCUUUAUCCACAUGUACCGCAUGGAUAAGAUAAAGAUAGAAUAGCUACUCUACAGCGCUUUGACACAAAUCUUCAAGUACCUUAGGAUCGACUACUCUAAAGUUUCACCUCUUGUCAUGCUAAAUGUAGAGACUGGGAAGAAAAAAUUAAACAAGAUGAUGCUCAGGAUGACACCAGAAGGAUAGGUCAAUCUUAGAGGAGAAAUUGUCCCCAUUGGUCACAACGACCAUGAAAGAACAAUGACAAAGCUCAAAGAAAGGAUUGCUGAGUUUUCUGAACUAGAAAAAGCGUAAAUAUGCUAAGGCUCCGACACCAACAAAGGCUCCUCAUCCACAUCAUCCAUAAAGAUCACCUUCACCAGCUGUGGACACACCUGCCUCUCCUGCUAGCCUUAAACAACUACAAGCAAAUGUUAAGGAGAUGAAGAACACCCUCCUUUCUCUGACCCGAUACAUGGUGAAGAUUGAGCGCACCAUCCUUAGCCUAGACUGCUACAACCUUAUCCGCCCUGAACCAGAGACUGCCGAACUCGGAAAACCCACUUUCUCUCAGCAGCGCAAAUGCCUUUGUACCUAGAACUUUUUAAAUCUUAAUGUGGUCUUGUUUUGCUCUUGUUGUUUUGUCUAUCUCAGUUCAUUGCUGAGGUUUGACAUUUGUAUCGCACUAUCACCUACCAUCAAUGAAGCUGAUCUUUUCAUUCAUGUUGCUAUUUCACAUUUACCUUGAUUGAUGAUAAAAAGGGGGGAGUUACUGUUAGGGAAAUCCCUUAUGAUGUUUUGAAGAUGACAAAAUAAAUCAAAGGCUACUAACAUGUUUGAUGGUUGAGUAAUAGACCAUGCAGAUGUUAGAACAUGUAAAGGAUAUUGGCAAAGUCUGAAGACGACCAGAAGACUGUGUCAAAGUCUGAAGACUGUCAGACUCAAGACUCAUAUUGUAAAGUCUCAAGACCCAGGUUGUAAAGUCUCAAGACUCAUAUCGUAAAGUCUCAAGACUCAGACUUUACAUCCAGAUUCGAUGAAUCGUAACUCAAGCCCAAUCAUACAACGGCUAGUGAUCUGGUUUGGAUUCCACAUCAAGAUUGAUUUGAUUGAAGACAAGAUCUUUCUAUACGAAGAAGCUUUACUUAUGGAAACCAAGAUUUCGUUUGUAUGGGCGAUCGGAAUCAAUUUGGGAUUUUACCUUUGUCACUCAACGGCUACCAAAUCUUCUAAGAUACAGAGCUGUCCAAUGGGUAUAUUGGAAGACGAUUCUCCGGGAUGCUGUCCAACGGUAGUUUGGAAGUGGAGGAGUAUUUAAGGAGAUCAUGGACCGAUGAGCAAGUAAGAGACGGAGCGUAGAAUUUAUAAUUCCAAAGUCUAAGCGACUUUAGAUCAUAUACUUGUCUCUUGAGAGCUUAAACGUUUGUAAUCGUGAGAGAAAUACCAAGAGAGUGACUUAGUGAGAUAGUGUGAUCUACUAAGUAUUUGCACUCGGAGUUGUAAUCUCUUGUUGAUUGCAUAGUGGAAUCCAGCCAAGAAGGCUGUUAUCGUGGGAGAGUGGACGUAGGCUUGGAUUAAGCCGAACCACUAUAAAUCUCGUGUUCUUAUUCUCUUCCCUAACUCCUUUAUUUUGUUCAUACUAGCACUCUCAGUUACUUGAUGUGAAAGAUUACGCCUAACAUUUGCUCUUAAAAUAUUUGCUACUAGAGAUGUUGGAUAUUCCUUUGAAAACUUUAGAUAUGCUCACAACAUCUAAUAUUGAUAAUUUGCUUAUAAUGUUUUGCUUGAAACCGACUAAUGAUUGAAAUUAAAGUGCUCACCAAGAUAGGGGGAGCAUACAAGUGUAUCAUCAAGCUAGGGGGAGCAACCAACUAUUAUACUAUGAUCCCCAAAUUAGAUGAUGAAACACUUUGGGAAGAAGAUCUUUUGUGCAAUCAUAUAUUAUCUUACUAAAGAUCAUUUGAGUAUUUCUCCAAAGCAUUACAUCAAAACACCUUAAGGAGAUCCUAUUUUAAAUUUUGCAAAUUAUUUCAAACAAGCUUUACUAUUUGUUCACAUCGAUAGGAUAUUAUUGUCGUCAUUAAAAAUGAGGAGAUUGUUGGAGAAAACAUCUUCAAAAGAUUUUGAUGAUGCCUAAACUAUCCUUAGUAUAGUACUUACUACGUUAUUUGCAGAUAUUUAGACCAAAGGGCUACGCAACAUCCAUGAUGUGAUCCAUCGGAAGGAAGUUUGCAAAUGUCUUGUUAUUACAAAUAGCACCAGUCAACCAAAAGAUCAGGUACUUAUGAUUGUUUAUGUUGAAGCAAUAAAGAUCAGGUUGAUGGUAGUGUGACUAUUAAGUACAUUAAUUGAUAUUCGUUGGGUCGGCUAAAGAGCUGUUGAAAGAUUUGGAUUCACAUAGCAGCAUAAUCAAAAUAAAGCAUGGAGCAGAGUAGUUAAAGUGUCCAACAAGUCAGUUAGAGAUUGCAGUAAGAAGAUAGUAGCAAUUGCUAUUUUUGUUAACUUGCAAAAGUCCUAGGAAAAAAGCUAUAUGGGUAGUACCUUCCUAGACAGCAUCUCAAUGGAAAACUCUCAAACGGUCAUCUACUUCUCUAAACCAACCUCAACUGAUAGAUCGAGAAAUAGUAUAAAAGAGAAGGCUUUGAAAAAUCAAAAGAGAGUGUGCCACAUAAAAUAUCAAGUAACUUACGUACUAUUGUUCUCUGUCAAAAGCUUUAUGUCUUAUUGUUUUGUUUGUCAUACUGUUUAGCAAUUGUGAUAUAGAAUAAAUGUACAAGUGUAAGAGCAGCAACUAAGUCUAGAUAGUAUGAUCUAUCACAUGAAGGAUUAGUGCUAGCCAGCUAUAAAUUUCCAAGCAGAUUGUUAGUGGAAUCCAAUCCAUCUUGAGGCUGUUAGUCUGAAGAGUGGACGUAAGCUUGAGAAUAAAGCUGAACCACUAUAACUUUUUAUGUCCCAUUGUUAUUCAUCUUCUUUUAUACAUUGGUAUAUAGUUAAUGAGUAUUUGCUUAAACAUCAGGUUGAGGUGAUCUUUACUUAGUAAUUAGUUACUUUCCAUAAAAGAUCAUCAAAGUCUAAAAACAACUUAUUCACGCCCUCUAGGUUGUAUUAUUAGCCUCAACAUAUAUAAAUUGGUCUUAAAGAACAUAGACAACUUUUCACAAAAGGUUGUAAAAUGAACAAAGGUAUCCCUUCGGAAGAAGUUGCAAAAUGAACAAAUGUAACCCUUCGAGAAAGGUUGCAAACUAAACAAGUGUAAUUUCCAAAGGUUAUAUUGAAAAAACAUAAUAAAAAUCCGGACUCGAAAAAUGAUUUCAUACCCAUUCAUCCAAAAAACUAACAUAUAUAUAUAUAUAUAUAUAUAUAUAUAUAUAUAUAUAUAUAUAAUUGGUCUUAAAGAACAUAGACAACUCUUUGUGAAAAAUUGCAAAGUGAACAAUGGCAUCCCCUUAUAAGAAGUUGCAAAGCGAACAAAUGCAACUCUUUGACAAAGGUUGCAAAUUAAAUGAAUAAAAUUUCCAAAAGUUGUCUUGAAGAGACAUAUAGAAUUCGAAAUAAUAAAAUAAUAAAAAAAUAAUGUAUUUUUUAAUAAAUAAAAUUUCAAAUGUUCAUAAUUUCCAAAAAUACUUAAUAAACAAAAACAACAUUUGAGCUAAUAAAAGGUUAAUAAGAUAACCAUAUGAAAUAAAAUAAAAUAAAGGAAUUAGUACUUAUUAAACUAUAGGUGCGCAAGUGUGCAAAGUGCUACAUGCACCAAAAUCACACACCCGCAUGCAGUUAUUAUGGUUUUUAGCCCACACCCAAUUUUUUUUUUUCCAAACAUAAUAAAAAAGGCUCACACUUAUAAAUUGACGCAUUUCCUCCAAACUUUACUUUGUAGGACAAUGAAAAGCACACUUUGUUUAUUUUGCAAAUAAAUUUUCCAAUAAUGAUUAACUUUUGGGUUGGCUUUGUGAGUUCCAAGAUAUUGAAACUAUUGUAAGUGAAGUCUAUUGAGGGGUGUUUGUGCAAGCUUCAUAAAAUUUGACAGAGAAGCACAUGCUAUUACGUGCUUUGCAUUGUGGUUGAUUACGUAAUUGCUGAUAGUAUUUGUGGGGAUUGAUUUCUAUUUUAUGUUAUAAAUUAUAGCAUUUUAUAUUGAAGAAAAACUGAAAAUAAAAGAAAUCUACGACAGAAAAGAAAGCCGGCCAACUUUGAUCGACGCUAGCCCAGUGCAAUUGGAAACGGUGGCUGUGCAGGAGGUUUUAUUUCUACUAUUGAGUUUCAAUGAAACGACGUCCCAAACAAUCCUGCGAUGUCCAGGGCAGCGCAAGGCUAUCAUAGAUCUUUUAAAGUACGUCGAAAUCUGAAUUUUCGCCCAAAUGUCUAUUUUUGCACUAGGAAUUGAACUCGUUGAUGUCAUCAAAAUUUGGCCCAUAGUAAAAGUGAUUAUUAAAUUAAUUUUUGGCAUAUCACAUUUAGGAGACACGUUGAAUCCAACAGUGUUGUGAUUUCCCUAACAUUUCUCUACAUUAGAGUUAUGUUGACUCGCAUUAUGAAUUACAUUCACUCGCAUUUCUCUACAACUUUGCUAGAAUUGAUUCAUACCACAAAAUACCUUUCAUCAAAGGUUGAUCUUUGGUUUUUAUUGGAUUGAGUUUAGUGGUGAUUCAGACAGGAAGUAAUUAAUGGUGCAAUAGGGACAAAUAAAUCUAGAGUAAAGUAAAAUCAAGUACAGGAAAUUGAUAAAUUGAUAAGCCGAGAAAUUGAAAUCGAAAAGAUAUAUAAGUGUUACGAAUCAUUUAUAAUGAUUUAGCACGGCUCUUAUAUAAUCUAUUAUAAAGUGUAACCACUUGUAAAUGGUUGUAACAUGCAUGUUUACGUAGUUGUUCAUAAAAUUCUAAAUGUAAGUGAAUGUAUCGAACAAAUAAUGUAACAAUGAGAAAAGUAUCGUCCCACGGAGAUUGAUGAUUAGUAUACUAAUUAAAUACUAAAAAUAGAUUAAUUCUAAAAUUAAUCUAACAGAUCAAAAUAGAAUUAAGAAUAAAUAAAAAAUAAAAAUAUUAAAAGCAAACCUAUCUCUAGGUAUGAAGUUCAGAUUAUUAUGCAUAUAAGAAUGAUAUUAAAUAUGUGAUAGCGGAAUUUCCUAAUUUAUUUACUAUCCUAUCUCUAGGUAUAGCAAACCUACUCAAUUAUUAAUCUAAUAUAUCUCUAUGUGAAUUUAAAUAAAUAUAAGUGCAUUAAAAUAUAUAAAUAUUCUUGGCUUAUAAUGAAUCUUUUGGAUCAUCUUAUUACCAAAAGUUACACAAAUAAUACAGUAUAUCUCUAUCCAUAUUUAAUUCAUGGUUAUAUAUUAUAAGGAGCAAUUGCAUAUUGUCACUUUUCACUCUCAAAUAUGUGUGGCUAGUCACUCAAAAGCACCGAGCACAAUAAUAUGUAACUCACAUAAAUAAAAUCACUUGUAUGCAUAAAAAUCAUGAAAUUCAUGUAAUCAUGGUCAGGCUACAUCGUAACCCUAAUAAUAUAAAAUUAGAACAUAGUAUAAGAAGAAAUAAAAAUAUAAAUUAAACUCAAUAUCUUGAAUCAAAGAACAAUAAUUCUAUCAUCACUUUGUUUUCUCUCAAGAGUGCUAAAAAAAUUCUCAAAACAAUGAAAAACAAUAUGAAAACCAAAAAAACCUAGCUCUAUAUUAUCCUAUUUAUAGGAUAUAUUCAAGAAUCCUAACACAAUGCAAUUGCUUAUUUUUUUUUCACAUAAAAUUAGGAAAUAAAUCGUAAAAUCCUUGAUUUGGUAUCCAUUUUCCAAUGCCUUUUAAUUUGAAUUCCCAAAUCAUAGAAUUUUCCUUUCCUUCUUUUUUUCUUAUUUUUUUUCUAUAUCUCAUUAUUCUGCAUAAUCAAGGAACAUUUCAAUAAAUAGAAGCAAAUCCAAAUAUUUUCUAACGAAUAUUGCAUUAUAAAGUAUCAUAUUUAAUGCCUAAAAUAGGUCAAAUAACUCUAUUUUUAUAGAGUUAUCAAACCCCCAAACUUAACAUUUUGCUAGUCCUCGAGCAAAAGCAAGAUAUAACACAUACUCAAGCUAACAACCUCCUCCAUGACAUCUUUCCAUAAUUGCUUAAAUUCACAAUUAGAAGGAACAAAAAAAAAAAAAAAACACAAAUUUCAUCCAAAUAUUGAAAUUGAUUCAUAAGUUAAAACCAAUUCUAAUGAUGUGAUCCAAGUGUGUGUGUGAGUCCUCAUAUUUUCAAAUUAUAUGUAAUCUAGAUAUAUUCAUAUUAGUAUACAACCACUAAACAAUUCUUAUAAUUAUGACCAAAUCUCAUAGGUUUGCUUUUCAGUCAUUUCUCCACUAAUAUAAGCUAAUCAUCCAACCAAAAAUCAAAAGGACUUUUUUGUGCUUAUAAUGUAAAGCUGGGCUAAAGGUGAGAUAAUGGAAAUUUGAAGCUUAAAUCACCCAUUAACACAUUGAUUCCUUGGACUAAUUAGAGCCAAUGUCAUUGUCUCCAAUUUCACUCCUUCAAGAUAAUUUUUCUACUAUCAUAUAUUAUCAUUCCUUUUUUUUUAUUGCUCUUUUUUAAUUGCUUUAUGGUGGAGUUUCUCCCAAAUUCCUUUUUGAUUUACCAUGAAAAUUUCCAAUCCAUUGAGUAUACAAAAGGCUCACUCAAUUGAAAGUUCGACGGGGAAUCAUAGCAAUCAUUUUUUUUUUUUUUUUUGCAUGCUCUAACCUUCCUCUCAAAUUGCUAUUAGGCUCAAAUAAACUUUUAUAUAAAAAAAAAAAAAUCAACAUGUUCAUGGGGUAUGGGACAAUGAUAUAAUUUGAUAAAAGCUAGGCUAAACAUAUAUGGGUGUCAAUGAAAAUUAGAUAAUAAUUAAGGAUAAAUGAGGUGACUAGGGAUAAAUAAAUAGGGUUGGCUUGAAAGGCUUAAUCAAUCCAAAAAUUGCCUAAAUUAUUUUCUUAGUUAGAUGUAGCUUAGGAUUUCACCUCAAGAGAAAAUCAAACAAAUUUUAAUAUUUGGAUAAGAUCUAAGAAAAUCACAUACCUCACAUGAAUAUUCCCUAGAUUUACACACAAUUCAAAAAUUAAGGAUUUUGGUGCUCAGUAAAUGGAUCAACAUAAUUAAAAUUAAAAUUAACUAACACAUUAGUUGCAAGUUCAAAUGCACAACACCAAAAACCUAUUCAUAAAAUUCUAAACGUAAAUGAAUGUAUCGAACAAAUAAUAUAAUGAUGAGAAAAAGUAUUGUCCCAUAGAGAUUGAUAAUUAAUAAACUAAUUAAAUACUAAAUAUAGAUUAAUUCUAAAAUUUAUCUAACAAAUGAAAAUAGAAUUGAGAAUAAAUUAAAAAUAAAAAUCUUAAAAGCAAAAUUUGGAUACUAAAUGCAAUCCAAAUGCAGUAAAUCAAUUAGAUAAAUAUGUUAGAGCAUUUGAUUAGACCAUAACCACUAUAAAUAAAAUUUAGAUUGUUACAUGUAUGAGAAUGACAUCAAACAUAUGAUAGUGGAAUUUAUAAUUUAUUUAUUGUUCUAUCUCUAAGUAUAGCAAACUUACUUAGUUUAUUAAUGGACUAUAUCUCUAUGUGAAUUUAAAAAAAUAUUAGUGCAUAAAAAUCUAAUCUUUUGGAUCACCUUAUCACCAAAAGCUACACAUUUAAUUCAUGAUUUUAUAUUAUAAGGAACAAUUUCAUAAAGUCACUUCUUAUUCUUAGACAUACACAUCAUAUCAUUCAAAUGGUGACCAAUCACUCAAAAUUAUUAAGCACAAAAUAUAUAACUCAUAUAAAUGAAAUCACUCGCAUGCAUAAAAGUAAUGAAAUUCAUAUAAUUAUUAUCAGGCUACAUUAUAGCCCUAACAAAAAGAAAAUUAGAACAUAGUAAAAGAAGAAACAAAAAUAUAAGUUAAACCCAAUAUCUUGAAUCAAAGAACAACAAUUCUGUCACUACUUUGUUUUCUCUCAAGAAUGCUCGAAAAACUCCCAAAACGAUGGAAAAACAAUAUGAAAUCCAAAAAAACCUAGCUCUAUAUUAUCCUAUUUAUAGGUUAUAUUCAAGAAUCCUAACACAAUGCAAUUGCUUUUUUUUGUUGUUGUAUAAAAUCAGAAAAUAUAUCGCAGAAUCCUUAAUUUGGUAUUCAUCUUUUUGCCCUUUUUUUCCUUAUUUUCUGCAUAUCUCCUUAUUUUGCAUAAAUAAGGAAGAUUUGAGUAAAUAAAAGGAAAUCCAGAUUUUUUCUAACAAAUAUUUCAUUAUAAAGUACAAUAUUUGUUGUCUAAAAUAGGUAAAAUAACGAGUUAUCAGCGGUCGAAGUUCAAAACCAUUAUAUUAGGGAUGAUUUGUGAAUAUGAUUUGUUUGCACCGGAGUCUAACUCUUUGCUUCGUAGGAAUGCAUGGAAGUCGCUAGAAUCAGGGAUGUAGUCUCCCUCGAACAAGUUUUGCUCCUCAUCAAAGAAUUAAGCAAUAUUCUAUUAGUUUUAGUGUUAUUAAAUCAAUGUAACAUGUUAGAAAUCUUACGUCACAUAAAUUUACGUCUAUUUUCCAUUAUAUAAAUAAAACUUCAAUUUCAUCUAGUAACUCUCUCAUUUCGUGAUAGAUAUAGGAGCAUUUUGUUAUCUAAGUGCAUGUCAUCUUUUAAAUUUAGUUAAAAUUAAAGUUUAAUUUCUCAUUCUUAGAUUUGAAGAUACUUACCUUUAUGCAUUGCUCACUGGGACUUCUAUCCCAGGGCGUUUUAAUGAGACCUUGUGUUACGCUCGGUUGUUUUUUAUUUUUUAUUUUUUCAAUUGUCUUUAUCUUAUUUAUUUUAAAUUAUUUAUUGUUAUGGUGUUUUGUUUGAACAUUUAUGCACGGACAUUUACAAUUAAUGGGUUUUCUCUAAAAAGUCGGGAAUAUUGCAUGAAACAACGCUUUCCUAAACGAGGAAAAGUACCGGUAAUGAGUGUUGGCUGAAAUUGGUGUAACCAAAUCUUUGAACUCAAAAUCUCUUGUUCGCAUAAGUAAGUACUCCUUACCAAUCUACAAUAAGUCAAGGACAAUCCUAAUUUCAUUUAGUUAUUGCAAAAUGUGAAAUCAAGUUACAAUCAUUGGAGUUUUAGAGAGGCCAUACGGAAUGUAAGCAAUACGUUGCAAGAAGGUCAUACGUGCUAAAUUACCCCAAGUUUGGGUUGAAGUUGCAAUUCGUCCAAUUGGAUGAAAUUAUAAAUUCCAUGAUAGCUGCAUGUCACUAUCAUUAAUUAGGUAUGCCUGAACUAAACCGAAAUUUCGUACAUUUUUUAUUCGGUUUAAUUUUCGAUUCGAAUAAUGGAAAAAUAACUGUUCGUUUUUCUGAUUUGAGUUAUUUCGAUUCAAUUCGCUUAAUCGAGCCAAAACGAAUUUCUCAACAAAAAUUGAACAUCCAACUUAAAUAUAUAUUUUUCCUUAUUCCUUAUUCAAUUCGGUUCUAGUGAGCAGGGCAAAAGGAAAAGGAAAAUCAAAUUGGGUUUUCGGUUCAGGUAGUAUUCAGUUCCGAUCGUGAUUGGUUUCUGCCAGAAAAACAGAUCCGCCCCCCUCCAAAUGUCCGAACGCUCUCCUUAAUCUUCUGUCGAGGCAACCCUUAUGCCUCCCCCGCUUGAGCUAGCAAUCUUUUCAGUUACGCAUCCCUUUCCACCAUGCCAGCUCAGCGAUUCUAGAGGGUGCGUGGAUCCGCUUUGGUCACUCGUCCGUCUCUCCUUCACGUCAGGCAAGGCUCACGCAUGCCUUCUUUUGUCUGUUCUUUUCUCGUGUCACAGUCUUACAGGCGUUCACCUCACGGCUAUGCACGUGUAGGGGAAGAAGAAAUGAUGGACUGGGUUUUCUCCUUUCAUCCACUUUAUCGGGCCAAAAGGCAAUGAAAUAGGCCCUAAAAAGGUUGAGCCUAAAAAGGCAUGCUAGCGUGGGCUUAAAGAGAAUUAAAGAAAAUUGGGCUUAAAAGAGACAGCAAAAGAUGGGCCAAGGGAAUUAAAACAAACGGGCUGGACUAAUAAAGCUUAGAGGGCCGAAAAUUUGUUUAAAGGAGUGGGUUAAAAAAAAUGCUGGCCCGCUCAUUCUCACCAUUUUUUAUUUCAUUUUUGUUUGGUCCAAUUUAUUCAUUUUUUUCAAUUUUUUUUUUUUUGCUUUUUUUAUCUUAUAUAUAUAUUUUUAUAUUUUUUUGCAAAAUAAAUGGAUAUUUUGGAAAGAAAACAUUGAUAAAAAUUCGAGUGUCAACAAACACGAGACCGGUGAUUUGCAAGGGCUUCACUGGCGAACAACAGAUUAGCUAGUUCUAUUGGAGGCUCGACCAGCAAGAUCAAGAAUUCGCUGGUACUGGUUCGUGGUCUCCUUAAUUAUGAGUCCGAGACCCGGGACGUUAUGUGAAGCAUGCAUCUCUCAAAGUCACACGCAAAAUGCAGAGUCUUGAGCGGGCGAACAUUAAUUGAAGAAGUAUGCAAAUCUUGACGUUUGCUUCGUUCAUCAAUGCAUGCGCCCAUGGAGUGGGACAUCCAAUUUUGCCCUCAUUUAAUGCACACACAUGGCUAUGUGCAUCAUGCCCAUAGAAAUUGGUGGGCGCCCUUGCUGCUUUGAGGCUUGUCUUGAAGGCGACAAUGUUCUCUCCUCUUUUAUCAUCUUUCGUGGGUUAAGUUUGUCUUUUAUUAAUGAUUAGAGGAAAGGAAGAAGUCGAAGUUCUGCUAAUUUUUCUUAUGUCGGUGAGAGUUUUUUUUUAUAUGAGCUAUGUUAAUUAAUAAUGUGAUUUACUGUUUUACGAUAUUGAUCUAAUAAGGUGAGAUAUAAUAAUUUUUAAUUAGUCUAAUAUAGGGCUAACUAAUAUAGAUAUGGUAGAACUUGGCCCGUGAUAAAAAAAAACUUUAUAAAUAGUGCCAAAAUCUCUUUUAUAACCUUGAUACAUAAAUAUCCUUACAUAAGGAGGUUUGUUAAACUGAGGUAAGGAGCAAUCUCAUUGAGCUAAUAAUAUAAUGGCAAUAGUGAAAAAGUAUUUGAGCUUUGGAUCGUCGCUAUUCUACAUCUCUCUUUUGCUCGAUAAUAGGUGUUAUUUAUUCUAGCUAUAGAGAUGACUUCAAAAUCAGGUGUGCAAAUCUCUUUUACCUGAUUACAUGUGUUCUUGAUUAUGUUUAUGGAGAUUAAUUUCAAAUCAAGUAUACAAAUCUCAUUUACUCAAUUAUAUGUGCUCUUGAUUCUAGUUAUGGAGAUCUUUGAUGCUAUUUUAACAACUUACAAUGUCAUCAUUAAUUGGCUUCUGAAGAGGGUGCCAUUUGUCGUGUCUACAUCAAUUCUCCGACAAAAGGAUGAUCGCAGAGGACUGUCGCGACCAAAAUUUCAGGUGUAAACCAUUUAGAGUUUGGUUAAUGGAUUGUUAAGCCAAAACUUAAUUCGGGCUCUCCCAAGCCCAUAUCAAUUCGCGACUUAAGUUCAAAUUUUUUAACAUGCAAAUAGAUUUUAUUUAGGAGUCACCGCUAAUAUAUUUUUUGUUGGGUCGAUUAUAAACCAAGUAAAGUAACGGGAGAUUUACUUUACCCAUACGAACCAGAAAUUAUAAGUUUAGGGACUUGGUUACGCUAGAUUUCUCUAAUACUCUUUCGGUACAUUUUUCUUUUUAUUUCGAAAAAAUAUUUUGCAAGUAGUUUGAAUUAAUUUUAUUUUACCUUCCUAACAUGUGGUUCAUGCAGGUACACAAACCCCAAUUUAACACUCAAGAAAAUAAUGAAUAAAUUGUAGGACUUAUCUCAUAACCACGAAAGCAUCUGCAAUGUUAAAUUAGAAUUCACAUCAACAAUCUUAGAUAUGAUUUCUAAUUAACAUGCAAUUACUCAAUUUUUGUUUUCACUGAUUUAAUGAGAAUAUAAUCCAUAUGCGAUGCAUGUUACUAAUUUAACAUGAAAUGAUAUGACAUGGCAACAUGACCUAGCUAUAUGACGUAAAUAAAAUGCAAUCUCUCAUAAUGAAUGACAUUGAUUUAUUUUCACAAAAAAAAAAAUGACAUUGAUUUAUUCUAAGGCAAUUUUUGGUUCGAAAUUAGAAAAAUGUGAAAAUUAACCACCGCUCGCAGCGGCGCUGCUGGCUUGGGGUUCUCUCCCCCUCACGAAGGGAAGGAGUUCGAAUCCCAGAGGCGUCGUUAGGAAUUCUUACCUGGAGUACUGUGGUGGUGGGUCCUGCAAUCACUCUCCCAGGGUUUGCUCGCCGGCUAUCGGCUUACGGGAUUUCCUAGGUCACAAAAAAAAAUGCGAAAAUUAACUAGCUAGAUUAAGAUUAUAUCGGAUUAGGUCAGGCUAAACUCUAAUUUAAACUAAGAUAUUAUCUUAACUUAGCAGUCUCUAACCUAAACUGCAAUCUAUCUAAAAAAAUUAAUCUAAACUUCAAAUGAAAUAUGCAAUUUUAUCAUAAUAUGCAAUGACGUACAAAAGAUGCCAUAAUUUUACAUGACAUAUGCAUGAUGAUUUUUUAUGUUUUUUUUUUUAAUUUUGAAAUUUAAAAUUACCACAUAAUUAAACAUGCAACUUAAAUUAAACAAAAACUAACAUACUAAAUGAAUGCAUUUUUCGGAUUUUUUUUAUUUAACAAAAUAAAAAUGAUUCAACCAAUAUGAUAUAGGAUUGAUAUCCAUAAAUUGGUGAACAAUAUAUCGCGCAUGAGAUCGGGUUUGCCAAUUUUUAAAUAAAUCACGAAUCGAAUUUCGGUCGUGAGAUUAGAUUGACAAUUUUUGCAAAAGAUUGCGAGUCGGAUUUCGGGCGCAAAAAUUGGACUGUCAAUCUCUAAUUUGAGAGACUAUUUCAUGUGAGAAUCCCAACCAUACAUUUAAGAAUAAUUCUACUAAAAAACAAAGUAAAUAAAUAAAAUAACAUAAAUAAUAGAAUAAAGUAAAAAAAAAAAAAAAACACAACUGCCUAAUUGAUUUUCCUUUUUUUGUUUUGCUUUCCAAACAAGGGUGGUGCUCGUGGUGGCUGGUCACCGUCGGUCCGGCAAGGGCGUCGCGAUCGGAGCUCCGGCGAAGGUCCGGCGAGGGGCAGCAGCCGGCGUGCAGGCGGACCAGCUUGGCGGUGGUCCGGCAGAGGAGCAGGUCGUCACGGGCGUUGCUGGCGACGGACGCGCGAGCAGGAGCGGAGCAGAACAGACGGGCUUAGGCAGCAGGACGUCGAGUGAGCAGGGGCGGCCGGUCCUGGCGUCGCGAUCUGCAGCUGUGGUGCAGAGCAGAUGGGCUCGCGGUCUAGUGAGCGGAGGCGUCGGCGAGUAGCUCCGGUGCGGCAGAUAGGGUGAAGAUCGGCUGAGGCGCGGUGGGCUUCGUCAGGCUGGUGGAGUAGAUCGGCGAGGCAGCAGCAGUUUCGCGGGGCGAUGAGGUUGGAGCGCGGAUCGCGGGUCGUUGGGCGCCGAGUGCUGCAGCGGCGCCACUCGGGGAAGCUCGGAGCAGCGUGCGGGGCGUCACUCGGAGAGCGGGGGGCUGCUGCUGCGUCGAUCGAAGGCGGAGGCUGGCGUCGGGGGUUGUUGCAGCGGGAAGAUCUGGAGCAGCGGCAGCCAACUCGGGUGUAGCAGACCGGCGGUGUGGCAGCGUCGUGGCUGGAUCACAGUAGCAGAAACGGAGCCGGCCGGGGGAGAGCAGAAGCGGGCGGAGAGAGUUGAGGAAGACGAUGAACAGUAAACGUCCAAUCACCCCUCCUUUUUUGCCGCUUCUGCUUUAUCCUUUUCCCCUAAAGAAUCGAAGGCUUCUUUUUCUUUCUUCUUUUCUUUUUAUUCCUCUUGACCUCGAAAGGAAACCCUAAAGAAUACCCCUCUCUCACGUUUGUCUCUCUGAAAUUUUUCCUCCUCAAUGUGGCCGAAUGUCUCAAUUGCGUGGCCUCUCUAUUUUUUCAAACCCUAUACGAGUAACUUUUUUUAUAGACCAAAGAUUAGAUUUUUUAAUUUUCUUUUCAAAUCAACAUCGGUGAAGAUUUUUUUUUCGCACGCAAUAUCACUUUUAUUUUCCACACAUUUUCUAGAUUUUCUUUGCAAAAAUGAAUAUUCUCUAUUGAUUUUUAAAAAAUUACAAUAGGAUUUUUUUUCAAAUAUGGGUUUGGGCCCAAAUUGUUCUCUUCGUGGGCUUAGUCCAAUUUGUCAAUUUAAAACUCAGAACCAUUAAGUUGAAUACAUCCACUAUCGAUCUGAUAAAAUACAAAAAAUGUAAAUUAAAAAUAAAUGCACAUAAAUCUAUAUGUAAUAAAUAUUUUUUUAGGGAUAAAAUUGACCCUUAAUUUUCUAUGCAAUAAAUAAAUGAUCGAAUCACCAAAAUUUAGGUGUCAACAAGAACAUAGAUAAUAGAGUAGAAAAGAGAGCUCAAGUGACGAGAAGUGAGGCUCGGAAGGUUUGUGGAUAGAGUAAGUCCAUUGAGUUGAGCUGUUAAAUACAAUGGGUAUAUUAAAAUUAGGAAACAUUCAAGUGUGUGAGCGUUUGUAAUUCUAUAAUUCUUCUAUUUCUUAGUAGAAUAUUUGCUGACUUUUCUCAUGAAUGCAGGUUUUGACAUUCAAAUUAAAUCACAUAAAUGUCAUGUGUCCUUCUAUUAUUUUUCGUUUUAUAUGUUUGUCGAUUUCCAUAGCUUCAAAUAUAAUUGCAAAGUUACGAUGUCCUUUAGUCAUGUCACAAUUUCUCUGACCUCCAUUUCCCCCGUGUGAUGGUGUUGUCUUUAGGGGUGAGUAUGGUCCGGGUUGGUCUGGGCCACUCCCUAACCCUAAGAUUAACCUGUACAGUGUCGGUUCUUAAUUUUUAGGACUGAAAAUUGACCCUAUUGAGCCUGAGACCAAGGACCGGACCGACCCAAUGGAUUCGAUCCGGUUCUAGGGUCAACUUGAGACUGAUCGAUACUUUAUUUCGUCUUGUUUUUUAUACUCCAUAAAAAAGCAAACCUACAAAUUCAAAUUACACAUCCAUUGACAACGCGGCAUUGUGCAACUAAACUAUAAAUACCAAUACAAGAUCUCAAAUGAAGCACAAAGUAGAACUCACUAGCCAAGUUUUGUUUGGAAAGUAAGGGCGAGCCGAGCGUUAGGGUUUCUAGUUAGGGCUUCUUCUUUUUUCCUUCUGAUUUACUCGGCGAUAAGUGAGGCAAUCGGCGUGAGUGGCGAGCGGCAAGCGUCGAGCGUCGAGUGGGGCGAGCGUCAACUGGCAAGCGACAAGCGUUUAGUGAGGCUAGCAGCAAGCGGCGAGCGUUGAGUGAGACUAACAGCGAGUGGUGAAUGGCGAGAGCAGCGCGCAUGGUCAAAGGUGAGUAGCGCGGGCAACUAGAGGCGAGCGGGAUGUUGCUACUUUUGAUUUUGGCAAAUUGAAGAACAAAGAAGACAGAAUGGAAGAGAACAUACUUUGGGGAAGGAAGCUGUGAGGAGAUUUACGGCGUAAACUUCGCGCCUUUUUGGACGUCGCGAGUCCGUGACUGUGAGGAGUCCUUGGUCCUCACGAUGAAGAACGUACUCUGGAGUCUGGACUGUGGAGGAGGAGGCCGUGAAGACCUUUACGACGUAAACUCACGUCUUUUGGAAUUGGAUGCCGCUUGUCCGUGAUUGUGAGCCUGGAGGAGUCAACAUCUUUAACAUCAUUUUACUUAGUUUUUUUUUUUUAACAGACGUUUUACUUAGGUUUGAAUAUAUAAAAAAAUUAUAUAUAAUAUAAUAUAAAGUAAAUUUUACUUAAGUUUGAAUAUAUAUAAAAGAAUUAUAAAUAAUAUAAUAUAAUACAUGGUUGGUCCAGGGUUGGACCGACCCAAAAUUCUCAGGACCGAGAACCAACCCGCAUAGUGUUGGUCCUGGAAUUUCAGGACCAAGGACUGACCCAGUCCCCUUGGGAACCGGACCAGAACUGGUAGGGUUGGGCCAGUCCAGGGUCAGUCUAGGGUCGACCCUAGACCUCUACUCACCCCUAGUUGUCUUAUAGUGAAUGGAGGGCCGCCGAGGGGGAAUAAAUAAUUUCGAUGAAGUUGUCGAGGGAGGUGAUAGCGAAUGGGACCUGUUUUUCACAUUUUUUCUGGUAGUGGAAGAAUCUGUUCUUUUAUGUAGUCCAAGGAAAUCCCAUAAAUUGUGGCGAACGAAUCAUGACAUCGUGGAGCAAAUCAAGAAACGUUUUUUUUUUUCUUUUGAAAAUCAUCCCUUCUCUGUCAAACUUUUUUCGUUUCUUCCCUAUUUGUUUUUUGGCUCUUCCAAUGCACUAGAAUCUCGUUGUCUCCUAAAUCCAUAUUGGCCGAAAAUAUGUUUUCUUGCUUUCCAAAUUUUCUCAUGUGCAUUGCAUAUGGGAAUUUUGGCUACAAUAGGGUGGACGAUGGGCUUGGCCGAAUUUUUUUGUUUUUUAACAGGCUUAAUCCAGAUUAUUUAGCUCGAAACCAAUCUGUACAAGUCCACUAACUCAGGUCCAAUUCAAUUAUACGAGUUUAAUAAUGUAUAAAAAUGCAAUUAAUAUGUAGAUGCAUUUAUUAAUUUUCUGUUAGAGAUCAGUGCUGGUUUCUCUCUUUUUUUUUUUUUUGCAACGAAUAAUCAGACAAACUUACCAAAUUUAGGUGCUAGCAGUUAUCUGUUGAAGUUUUGUGCGCAUUCUCAAGGGGAGCCGGUACUUAACAAAUGUGUGAAGUGAAGCAAAGGGAAUUAAGGCCAAUUCUUCCACACUCAAAGUAAAAACAUUUUUCUUCACAGUAAAAAUCAUUUCAUUAGGAGAGGGAAAUGAAAGGUUUGAGUAAAAAUAUGCCACCGACUGAGGAUCAAAUGAUUUGUUCAGAUAACAAAGUUUGGUCAGUUUCAUAUCAUCAUAAUAUUUUUGACAUAAACAGCCUAUGGUUUUCCAAAUAAUCGAAAUCAAUUAUCCUGCGAAGUAUGACUCGUCUAGCCAGUCGUAAAUCAUAGAAUUCACUGUGUUUCGACGACAGAAAGAAGCGAGAUUUGAGAGAUUGUACUUUGCAAACACCGAUGGAGGAUGAAAGUUGUCGUCCUUUCAUCGUCCUUCUUACCCUCCAGACGACUUUCCGAUUCUGGUUCCACUAGUUCUUGUGGAACAUUUGAUGGUUCUUCAGCAAUAUUUUCUUUGCCCUUUUGAGAGGUAUAUGCCCUCUCUGGUUGACUCUGCGCAGGAUCUUAGUUCAGGAGCAGGGUUUGAGUAAUUUUCAAUUUCGCUCAUAAGAAACUGAGCAGAUGUCGUUGACUAGACUCAAAAUAUCCUCCGUUAUAGCAUCUUUCUCCUUGAGUGCAUUCAGCAUGUUCCUUACUACGCUGGCAUUGUCAAACCUUGGUGAGUGAAUAGUUGGAGGUGUUUCUGAAGCAGGUACAGAAACCGGUCCAGAAGAUGGUCUGGAAUUGGAGUUUUGGGUGAAGAAGUAGGGAGGUUUUUUGGGCUUAAAGGGGGAGUGUUCCUCGAAUGUCUAACGAGAGGCGUCUCUUCACUCUCGUAUUCCAGUGAUAUCGAUGCUUCCUCGUCCACUUGGAGCAGAAGAGAACACUGCCGUUCUUCUUUGUGAUCUUCUCAGCCCAAUAUAUCUCUUAGGGACAAAGUACAGCCCAAGUGUCAAAAUUUGGCACGAGGUGCCAAAAGUUUGGAAAGUGAUACUUAAGUGCCAAAAUCGGAGCAAAAUGGAUCACUUAAGUGUCAAUCUGGCCAAAAAACAGCCAAAUUGCUAACGUGGCGAUUUUCUGGAGAAGUGAGUGCAAAACGACAAUUUUGCACACUGACAUGGUUAAAAAAAAAUGCAAAAAUGACAUUUUUUUGUCUUUACGUGGUAAAUAAUUAAUAUAAAAAUUAAUUAAAUUAAAUUUAAAACUGAAUUUAUUUAAAUAUUCUAAAAAAUUUAAAAACUAAAAAAAAGGGGGGGCCUGAAGGGAGGCGGCUGAGGGCUGAGCCCUUACCAUCAUUGUCGGGAAGAGCCGGUGAUGGAGGGGGGAGGGUCGGUCGAGGUUGCCGGCCCUUGGCUAACUGGUGGCGAGGGCUCGCGGGCCCGCACCGUCGGUCGGGCGGCUAGUCCCGGCCCUGCCAAAAACCCCGUGACGAUACCACAAUUUAAAUAAAUUUAGUUUUAAAUUUAAUUUAAUUAAUUUUAUAUUAAUUAUUUACCACAUCAGAGACAAAACAAUGUCAUUUUUGCAUUUUUUAGCCACGUCAGCGUGCAAAAUGAUACUGUUUUGCACUCAUUUCGCCGGAAAAUUGUCAUGUCAGUAAUUUGGCCGGAUUGAUACUUAAGUGAUCCGUUUUACUCCAAUUUUAACACUUAAGUGUCACUUUCCAAUUUUUUAGCACUUAAGUGUCACUGUGUGCCAAGUUUUGGCACUCCAGAUGUCUGUACCUCUUAUCUCUUAGAAAUAGUGUUUGCAAUGUUGGGUGCCAUUAGAGAGGAUGAUUAUUUGCAAAUAGGGUGAGGUUGAAGAAGAUUUUUGGGAUAUAUUAGAAGGAUCGUGAAUGAGGGUUUUGUGAACAAAAAUUUGGCAAUGCUUCAAAUGUAGAAAGAAGUGAUUUUGACAGUUCUGAAAAAGGUUUGAAUUCUGAAAAAGGUAUGUUUGUCGAAUCUCUAAUAGGCUACUGUAGAUGGAAGCGAGAAGAGGGGAUAGAAUCUCACUUUGUCAUUUGUAGAUGUAAUUUCACUAAAUUGACAACAAUGGUAGUUCUAGAUCCGUCCCAUUAAGAUUGCAACUUAAGUAUAGGGCCCCUUUGUUAAGCUUCAAUUGAAACUCAUUCAUAGGCAACGGCUAUGCGUAUUUAUUAUGAUUGCUUGGUCUUAAUGUACAACAACCGUCAUAAGGUCAUGUCAAAAGCCAAUUUUCUAUUUGUAGGCGUUGUAGGACAACCGUAAAUGGAUAGCGAGUUUGGUGAGGUCUAGUUAGACUUGUCCCUAUAAAUCCAAGCCACCCUAACCAAACUUAUAUUGAUUUUGCAUUAGCGACGCCCUGUUAAUUAGGGGCAACUGAAUUUGGGGGGAAUUAUUUUUUGCCAUAUAUAGGGGGUGUGUCUCCCUCUACACAGGAUUUUGUGAUAUUUGUGAUUAAUAGGAAGAUUGAUAGCAAACGGCUAGUCGCUUUUAUUGAGGUUCCAUUAAUGAGUACUGUUAAAAAUCCGCCUAUAUGGAUGAUAAAAGAUAAAUAAUCAUCUAAUAGAAUUUGACAUUGACAUGGCUUUAAGUGAAAUAGUAAUGAUAUAUUUUGUCUAGAAAAUCUUCUAAUAGAACCUUGCCAAAAAGUAAAUGUGGCAUGCGGGUGUAAAUUAAGGGUUUUGAUGUCACAAGAAAAACUUUAGAGUAAAGAUGUCACGGUUUGGGAUUUUUUUAAGUCACAGAAAAAUUCGGUCUAAAUAUGUCAUUGUGGAUAUAUUUUGGGAUUUCUUAUGACUUUUUUCAAUUUAAAAUUAAUAGUUAUUAUAUAUAAAAAUAUAUAUAUCUCAUGGUAAAAAUUGCUAAAUAAGCAUUUAGGUUUAUACCACGAAAACUCUAAACUAAUAUAUUUGUGAUAAAAUUACCAAAUACUAAUUCUUUUAGCACAACAAAAUCUGAAAUUGGCACACCCAUGACAAAGUUACCGUAAGCUAAUUAUUUAACCAUAAAAAACCCCAAACUGGUACAUUUAUGAUAAAUUUACCUUAUGUUAGUUUCCAUUUAAUUGAAUUAAUAUCAUAAAAAAUCACAAAUCAGUACAUUUAUGACAACGAAGGUUAAAACUCAAAACUGGUAUACCUGUCAACUAUCACGCGUAAUCUAACGUAGCAAUUUGUGGAUAAAAUUUAAUGGAAAUUAACGGAGUGUAAAUUUGUCACGGGUACACAAGUUUCAAUUUUUUCGUGGUCAAAAAAUUAAUUUAGAGUAAAUUUAUCACAUAUGUAUCGGUUUUGGGUUUUUUUCGUGGCAUUAACCCAAAGCAUUUCGAUGGAAGACAUAACGAUAUGCCGACUAACGAACAAAAUUUAUAACAUGAAAUGAAUCAAUUUAAUGGUCUUCACAAAAUUGUGCUACAAUACUAGAAACAGUUUUUGAGUGAUAAUUGUUCGUUAGUUCUAAACCUAUUUAAUGGUCAAUAUUGUUAUAAACUUUUAGUUUUAUCAAUUUAGCUCUAAAUAUUUUGAUGAUUUUUCAAUGUAGUCUAUAUGGCUAAUUUUUGCUAGCAAUAGUUAAUGUGACCCUCCCGUUAGUACUGGCCAUCUUACAUUGUAGCGCUAACGUGGAAGAUUUUUACAAAUUUUUGAUUUUUCUAUUCUAUUCUUUUCUUUGUUUUUCCAUUGUCCAUCUUCUUGAAAGGGCUAGUGGAGGCCGAUGGGGCCUUGAAGAUGGCCUGCGCAAAAUUGAAAAAAUAAAAUAAAAAGAUCAUAUAUUUUUAAAAAAUUACAAACAUAGGACAAUUAACGUCCACCUUAGCGAUUUCCGACCCAUAUUGACCCUGAGGAUUAUAUUAAAAAAGUCAUCAAAGGUUUAUGACUAAAUUAGUCAAACUGAAAAAUUUAGUAUUGAAAUGGCAUUGUACAAUAGGUUCAGGACUCUUUAGAUAAUUUUGCCUUAUUUUUCAAUAGAUAAAAAGGGGAUAAGUGCAUUAGAAAUUCUAAAUCUUAUCAUGAAAGUGCGAUUAAGUCUUAAAACUUUCAAAAAGUGCAAUUAAGUCAUAAAAUUUGUCACCAAAGUGCAAUUAAAUCCUAAAACUUCUUACCAAAGUAUAAUCAUGUCCUAAAACUUUCAAAAUGUGUUAAUGGAAGGAUUUAAUUGAAAUAAUUAGAUAAGUUUUAGGACUCAAUUGCACUUUUGAAUUGAGAACGCAAUUGGACUUUCGUGACAAAUUUUAGGAUUUGAUUGCACUUUUUGAAAGUUUUAGAAAUCAAUUAUACUUUUGUGAUGAGUUUUGGAAUUUUCAAUACACUUAUCCAGAUGAAAAAGUAAAAACUUAUAGAAUUUUUAUGAUAUUUGGCCAUCAAACUAUUUCUCUUUUGUCUACUAAUGCUGAUUUCCUUUUAUUAGGAGCCAAUAGGUUUUAUCAACUCAUAUUAGAAAAAAAAAAGAUUUAGUCGAAAGAUGAAAAAAGAUUUCUAAUCACGAUGAUAGUUGAAUGCAUGCGUGGGAUCCUUCGAGAAAUUUUGAGUAGAUCCUAAGCACGAGAUUCUUAUUUAUGCAAAUCAAUAAUCGCAUUUCCAAGGCUAUAAACUUUUUUCUAUGACCGGUGCUCAACAACAACACCAUCUAUAUAAAGCGGGGUUAGAAUACUGAGAGAUUCACUACAACUUUCGCAAUGGCUCUUCCUGCUUUGUUCACAAGCUUCGUCCCCUCCUCAAUCAGCCAUAACCAACCCUCCCUCUUGUCCUUUAGACACCCUCGCUGCUCCUCCUCCUCCUUCUCCUCAAGCGCUAAAUCGGUGACAUGCGCCGUGACGAUCGAGAAUCCAGAGAUCGUGAGACGUUCGGCAAAUUGGAAACCUAAUGUGUGGGACUACGAGUUUCUCCAGUCACUCGGAGUUGAUUACACGGUAAUGAUCCUUUUUGGAUCGGCACAAUACCAAGCCUGGCUAUGUUCUAUGGAAAAUGUUCACAUCUCGGUCCUGAACUUUGUAUUCCUUUUUUUCCAAUCUUGUCCUUGAACUUGUGGGAAUUCCCUAUCCAAUUUCUUGGUCUAUGGUUCUGGCAAAUUGAAGCUCAUGCGCGUGUCAAUGCUAGCGGAAAGUAUGAUGCAGAAAACUCGGUACAAGUUUUAAGUUCAAGGAUCAUGUUGAGAAGGGGAAAAAAAACAACAUAAGUUGAGGAUCGUAUUAUUGCUUUUCCCUACUUUCUUUUUACUUUGAUGGGAUAGAGUCCACAGCACCCAAAAUGGCAUAGAAACAAAAACGAAACUGUAUUCUGAAUUAGAUAUAAGGAUGUAUACCAUUUGAGUACUGUUGUAUACGACCAACCACUGCCACUCUAUCAAAUACGACUGACAUAACAAUAUUCCAUAGAGAUACUAAUAAACUUGAUCAAAAUGGCAUAUUCUCAACAAUGCUUACUCUGCUUAUGUAUUACUUUUGAUUAAGAUCUCAUUUUUCUGAAUGUUUUACGUGCCUAGGAGGAUAAAUAUGCCGAGCAAGUCCCAAGGUUGAAGGAAGAAAUCAGGGGUCUAUUCAACAGGGAGAUGAACCAGGUGGCCAAGCUCGAGUUCAUUGACGCAGUUCAAAGACUCGGACUAGGAUACCAUUUUGAGACGGAGAUAAAAAAUGCUCUCAGUUCCAUCUAUGACAAUGCCGGAUAUGCUCAGCUUUUGAACGAUCUCCAUGCAGUUUCCCUUGGAUUCCGGUUACUUAGACAACAUGGAUACAAAAUAUCGCAAGGUAUUCGCCAUAUGGUUACCCUUUUAUAAAUCAUGUUGAUGCAUCAAAAGUUACCUUACCAUUCCUUUUUUUGGACAUAUAGAUGUGUUUCAACAAUUUAUGAACAAGAUGGACACGUUCAACGAAUCACUCAAUAAGGAUGCGAGGGGGCUUCUUGGUCUUUAUGAAGCUUCUUUUCAUGGAUUGGAAGGUGAAACCAUCCUUGAUGAAGCGAGGAACUUUGCUUCUAAGCAUCUAAAGGAUCUAAACCUCGACAAAGUUCCUGCUAUGUUAGCGAGCUACGUGAGUCAUGCAUUAGAUAUGCCGAUCCACUGGAGGCCAAAUAGGUUGGAGGCUCGGUGGUUCAUGGACAUGUACGAGAAACAGCAAGACAUGAUCCCUUCCUUGCUGCGAUUGGCUAAAUUAGACUUUAAUCUAGUGCAAUCAGUCCACAAGAAGGAAGUUAGCAAUAUGGCAAGGUAUACGCAAGCACUCUAUAUAUAAACACCAAACCUAUAGGAGCGCAUUUAGAUCGACUUAGUUGUUGAAUGGUGAAUUUCUCAGGUGGUGGGUUGAACUUGGCGCGAACAAGAUGACCUUCUUCAGAGACAGAUUGGUGGAACACU
rnacentral:lncRNA from 1 species